rnacentral:lncRNA from 1 species
CAUAUACACUCACAAUUUUGUCUAUGCAUUAAUGAACAUGAUGAAGUUAUAUCAAUUUGAAUUUCUCUUAUCCCUCUUCCUUAUCAUUGUCAAUACAACCUUUUCGGGUUAUGUCCCUCAAUUGUCUCCUUCUCUUGGCAAACAAAUAGGGAAGACAUUAGACAAGAUCAAACAAUCUCCUCCAUCAGAUGAACAACCAACAAAAGAGAUUGAAGGCCUAUCUCAAAUCAAACAACAUUUGGACACUUUCGGCUACUUCCAACGAUCUCCGCUGGACUUUGAUGACGUUCUAGACAAGGAAACAAUAUCCGCUAUUAAGGCUUACCAACAAUUUUUCAAUCUCCAGGUUACUGGUCACCUAGACUCCGAGACUUUACAACUACUCUUGUUACCAAGAUGUGGUGUUCCUGAUAUGAAUUUUGAGUACAGCUUCACUGACGCAAUUAAUAUAUCAUUACCGAAAGGAAACAAGUGGUUUCCCAAGGGCACGAAAAAGCUUACGUAUGGUUUUCAUCCGGAGAGCCAAAUCUCAACUGACAUGAUCAAAGUGUUUAGAAAUGCCUUCACACGAUGGUCGCAGACCACUAGGGUCCUAAAUUUUAGCGAGACAACAUCAUACGAUGAUGCUGACAUUAAGAUUGGAUUCUACAAUAUUACCUACAAUGAUGCAGUUGAUGAUGUUGUUGUGGGUGACUCUUUCAUCAGCUUGAAACUUGAUUCGAAGGCGAAGUCAGGUUUGAUACGUCUAGACGCUUCAAAGUACUGGGUGUUGCCAACUACCUACUUUUGGUACUGGGAAUUUCACCAAUUCGACUUGGAGACUGUUGCCAUGCAUCAAAUAGGUCAUCUACUAGGACUUGAUCACUCGUCUGAUGAGGAGUCUAUUAUGUACCCAACAAUAGUGCCAUUGCAACAAAGGAAGGUGCAGAUAACAGUUUCAGAUAACUUAGCUAUUCAACAACUCUACACCAACUCUGUCAAAGCCAAUCCAGACUCUGAUCAUAGUGGGUGCUUCAAACUUUUUGAGUCUACUUUUGAUACCUCUUUGUCCCUUGGUUUUGCUUUCGUGGCUCUGAUGAACUUGGCUUUCUAAUUAAUACAUCAUUUGAUUAGGGACUCACUUUUACGUAAGUUAAAUAAUUAAUUUGUGUACUUUACUUCAUGUGUCAUUUUCGGUUAAUGUUAAAUAGUUUGUUAUGGGGUAUCAUGAUACGUGAUUAUUGUAAUUGAUUAGAUAUCCAUUGGAGUGCAAAAUUCACUACAAUAUUGUUGGGAUAUUUAGCAACAUUUGAAAAAUGAUACAAAGCCAUACAAAAAUGUAAUGAAUUUGAUUUAGUAACAUCUUAGCCUCCGAGAUAAAACCAACGUUGCUAAAAGGUUCUAUUGGAAUGAUAAAACCUUGGAGUGUGCUCAUUUCAAAGUUUUAGGUUAUAACAUAAGCCAGAUGAAGGAACAUAAAGACCUAUAUUAUAUACCCACUCAUGAAUUUUCUCGAACUAACCGAACUCCUUCAUAUACGUCAGGAGUCCAUUGAUGAGAGGGCGUUGGAGAAAGCUUGAACCCAAUUCCUACGGUGAUGAAUAUAAGAUCAAUUGAAAUAUCUCUUUGAUAAAGGAUUUCUCCAUAAUGGCCAUGAAUGGUUGCUCCUUGAGUCGCCAAUAUAGAUUAGCUGACUCUCUCAAGUGUCAAUUUCAGUAGGCUAAUUUAUCUUCUUUAAAAAUGAAUUAAAAAUGGUACAUGCAUUAAUGAAUUAAAAAUGGUACAAUGCAUUAAAAAUAAAUCUGCCAAAUAAAAGUUUUAAAAAUGUAUAAAACAUGUGGUGCAAACAUAAAAUUAUUUUACGCCGCUAUGGUGAUUUGCAAUAGUUAUAAGGACACUCCGCAUCGGUGGCUAAUAACAAUUCUAAAAUAACUUGAAUAACAAUGUCACAUAGUUGAUCUAUCUAAGAUCGAUGAAGAUGAAGAUGAAGAUGAUGAUGAGUUGAGUAGGUGCGGUGUAGCGGAGUAGCUGGAUAUCUAGAAAAAUACUUCGACGCUCGGUAAGAGCUAAAGGUGUUUCGAGGUUUUUUUGGAUUGAGAAUGUGUACUAUUUUUUUUAGAAUGGGUGACUCCUUUUAGAGGCGGUGAUUCGGGUUGUGAUAGUGAUCAAAGGGGCCAUAUUGUCUCUGCCUGCCAUUCUCUAUUUUGUGGUUUUAUGUUGACGUUAGUGUACUGCGUUUGAAUCAGGUAGCUUAUUGAGCAGUCAUGUCUUAGAAUUGGACCUUGACUGGUGAAAAACAAUACCUUAAAAAGAAAAACAACGUGCUAGUUAUUGGUUGAUUCAAUUACUACUUAUUAUAACUUCAGUUUUUCAAGGAUCACUUGUUCUUUUACAUAUUUGAAAUCAUACACUAAUGUAUAUUAAUGUUAAAAAAUGUUUGAAUUGUUAACCUCUAAUUGUUGCAUAUGAAACAACAAUUACAAACUGUCACCAUCAAAAUAUAAAAUUGAAUUAUAAACACUUUUGAUGUCUAAACUACCAAUUUAAAAGUUUUUCUCUAUAUUUUAUUUCAUUUACUUUUAUUUUAUAAACCCUCUAAUUCUUGCCCUAUUUUCAGUUCAUAUUUUAUCUAUGCAUUGAUCAUUAAUGAACAUGAUGAAGUUAUAUCAAUUUCAAUUGUUCUUAUCCCUCCUCCUCAUCAUUGUCAAUACAACCGUUUUAGGUUAUUAUAUAGCUCAAUUGUCUCAUUCUCAAAUCAAAAAACAUUUGAACACUUUCGGCUACUUCCGACGAUCUCCGCUGGACUUUGAUGACGUUCUAGACAAGGAAACAAUAUCCGCUAUUAAGACCUACCAACAAUUUUUCAAUCUCCAAGUUACUGGUCACCUAAACACCGAGACUUUACAACAAUUCUCGUUUCCAAGAUGUGGUAUUCCUGAUAUGAAAUACGAGUACGGCUUUCAUGAUGGAAGUAAUGUAUCAUUUCCGAAAGGAAACAAGUGGUUUCCCAAGGGCACGAAAAAGCUUACGUAUGGUUUUCUUCCGGACAACCGAAUCCCAAUCGACAUUAUCAAGGUGUUUAGAAAUGCCUUCACACGAUGGUCGCAGACUACUAGGGUCCUAAAUUUUAGCGAGACGACAUCAUAUGAGGAUGCUGAGAUUAAGAUUGGAUUCUACAAUAUUAAUUACAAUGAUGCGGUUGAUGAUGUUGUGGUGAGUGACUCUUUCAUCAGCUUGAAACUAGAUUCAAAUGUGAAAUCAGGUAUGUUACGUCUAAACGGUUCAAAGUCUUGGGUGUUGCCAACUUACACCAAAUUUUGGGACUGGCAAUUUCAGCAAUUCGAUUUGUUGACUGCGGUGAUGCAUCAAAUAGGUCAUCUACUAGGACUUGAUCACUCUUCUGAUAAGGAGUCUAUUAUGUACCCAACAAUAUUGCCAUGGCAACAAAGGAAGGUGCAGAUAACAGAAUCAGAUAACUUAGCCAUACAACAACUCUAUUCCAGCUCUACAAAAGCCAAUGCAAACUCUCAUUAUAGUGGCCUCUUUGCCUCUUUGUCCAUUGGAUUUGCUUUUGUGGCUCUGUUGAACUAGCAUUUAAAUUAUAUCCCUUCAUUAGAGACUCUUUUUUACAUAAGUUAAAUGAUUAAUUUGUGUAAUACUUUACUUCGUGUGCCAUUUUCCGGUAAUGCUUAAUAAUAUAUGUUUAGGAUUUAGCAACAUUUGAAAUAAGGUGCUAAAACAUGCUAAAAGUUAUAAACUUUAUAUAUUAACAUUUUAACUUCCUAUAUACACAUUUUGAUCACAUAUAUGGAAAAUUCUAUGGUGAAGUUAUGAGAAUGACUUUUUUGGUGAAGUUAACACUAUAACAUCAAAAGUUUUGUGAGUAACACCCCACUGUUUAUACAAUGACAUCAAAGUUCAGUCCCAUAAUAUCAUCAAUUCAUCAAAUUAACAAGAAUACACUUAAUUUAAUUUUAUUCUACCUUAUUUUAAGUAUAACACGCCCCAAAGUGUAUCAAUUAAGACUAUCAUAUGAUAUCAACAACUUUGUUUACAUGUUAAAGAUGUCAACUAUAAAAUAGUACUUGUAAGUCCAAAAUAUUGUAAGCAUUACUAGAUGAAUUACUAUUAAUCAUUAAUCAAUAAUCAACAAUUUAAAAAUGAAUCAAACAUUAAAGUUAAAAUUAACUUUUUCAAAAAAAUUAGUUUCAUGACUUCACCUUAAAAGCUCCCAUAGUAUAUAUCCAAUUGCAAAAUGAAGUAUUAUCAAUCAAUUCAAACCACAAAAAAGUUGGUACACAUUGGCACACCAAUGUGUUCGAAGAAAUGCUGAAUAAAUUUAUAUACCUUCUUGAUGACCAAAGAAUCCAUUUGACAUACUAUUCCAUUGAAACUGUUUCUUACGUACCCAAUCCUUAGUUUCAUGUUUCUUACGUACCCAAUUUUUAUUCCUUUUAUUAUUCUUUGUAGUAAAGGUAGUUUGUGAUUAGAGAAGCAUGAACAUGAUUAAAUCACAUUGAUUCAACCGUAUGAUAUCAUAUUUGGAUAAAUCAUGUUUCGCUAUUACUCAUCAGUUUACGAUGAGCAAAGAAGUAACUAAAUAACAAGAGUUUUUUUUUCUUUUGUUAUGGUCGGAAUUCGAACCCGGACCUUGUAUAUAUUAUACAUUGUUCAUACUAACUGAGUUAAGCUCACGAAGACAAAUAACAAAAGUUAGUUACAUAUGUUAAUAUAUGGGUUUCCCUCAAAAAAUAAAAAAAUGUCAAUAUAUGGGAUUAAAUUAUUAGUAUCAUGUAAUCGUCCUUGCGCCGAAUAGGGAGUUUAAGAAAAAAAUUGUGUAAUCGUAAGAGAGAAAUAAUUUUGGAAUAUAUUUGGGAACUUCUACGGUACACCUCACAAAUAAUUUGUUAAUACUUUAAUUUUAAGAAACAUCAUUUCAUAAAAAAAACAAAACAUCAAUUCAUUGUUUAUAAGAAUCAUAUUAAAUUUUUAACAUUUUUUCAUAAAAAAUAAUCAAUAAUCUUUGUCAUGAGUAGUAGAAAAUAAAAAAUAAAAAAUAUUUUGUUGACGCUUUUGGAAAAUAAGAUUUAAUUAUUAUAAUUGUCAAUGAUAAAAAAUAAUUCUUUUUCUUAAAAAAAAAAAAAAAACAACCCAUUUAAUUAUUAAUUUAAAGAUUUGGUGUACCGGAACACUCAAAUUGUUGAAUUUACCAUAAAAUUUGCCUAUGUAUUAUUUCGUUCAUGCAUGUGAAUGCUUUUGUUGCGGGCAAAUUUUAUGGUACACCCAAUAAAUUUGGGUGUAUCGAUACACCAAGUCGUAAAAUUAAUAAUAAAUGAGUUGUUUUUUUGAAGAAAAAUAAUUAUUUUCUAUCAUUGACAACUAAGAUAAUUAAAUUUUAUAUACCAAAAGAUUCGACGAAAUAAAAUUUAAUUUUUAAGAAUUUUUAUUACUCAUAACAAUGAAUAUUGAUUAUUUUUUAUGACAAAAUGUAAACUUUGUAAUAUGAUCCUUAUAAACAAUGAAAUGAUGUUUUCUAAAAUAUAAAUAUUGACAAAUACCUUUUUAUUUCAUUAAAGUGAUCUUUAAUUUAUAUAUUUUGUGAAACAAGAGUACCGGUACACUCAAAAAUGUGAAUGUACCAUAAAAGUUCCCUUUGUUGCGGCCGACACAAGUAUUACUGCAUCUCGACAGUGGACGCCAAAUGUUCUUGCUGGUACACGUGGAGACGAGCCAUGAGAUAUUUGUGCCAUUUGGAUAAAAGUUAAUUAUUUAAUAUAUAUAUAUAUAUACACUCUUUUUUAAAAUUUUAGUCCCUAUUAAAAUUUAUUGAAAAAUUUAGUUCUCCAUAAUAUUGUAGCUUAAAAUAACGGUUCCUAUUUUAAAAAUAUUUUACUGAAAAUGAAUACUCUUAGUCCUUAAAAUAAUCGAUAUAAAAGGAAAAUAAGGUUUAAAAGUGAAUAGAUUUUUUUGAAUAACUAAAUUUGAAAGCUCCUGUUUUUGUACUAGGAUAUUUAUAACCAUUAAUAAAAUAAAUUUGUAAGCCAAAUCUUGAGAAAACAAUUGUUAAAACUUAAAUGUAAUGUUGUAAACUCUUUUUGAAAUCUUCUUUUACGUAUCUUAUUCUUAUGCUUGAAUGCAGCGACGGAUUCAGAAUUUUUUAAUAGUGGGGCACCAUAUAAAAAAAUUUGUAGCAUUAAUAAUUGUCCUCUAUAAUUUUUCAUAUUAUGGAAACUUUGAAUGGUUUUCUUAUUUUGAAAAUCAAUAAAAAUAUAUUUCUUUAUAUAAAUAACUAAACAAUCAUUUAACCGAUCAUCUCUCAUUCAAUUUUGCAUCAGAUUCUUGAUAAUAUUCAUACUAUCAAGAAAUAAUUUGAGAUAUAUGAUUAUAUAUGUGGGCCAAAAUACAAAUAAUUUGUGAUAAAUGUGGAUCGUAUGAUCAAAAUGUCAACUAUUGAUACAUUAUACUACUAAAAAUAAUAGUUUCUUAAAAAUUUAGUGUAGGCACAAGCCCACAUAUGGAUGAACAUACAUCCGUCCCUGCUUGAAGGACUUGUGAGCUUUGAUUUUUUUAUUUUAUUUUGGCUUUUUAAACAAAAAAAAAAAAACAGAGAAAACAAUUGUAAAAAAAAAUUAAAAAAAAAAAUCCUGCAAAAGAGUCAACAAAACACUUAUUGAGUAUUUGGCUUUCAUGUCUUUGCAAAAUCUUGCCUUAGCAAGCCUUAACUCAUAACAACCAUGUCGUUCUUUCCCUCUCGUACUCACAUGAAGAAAAAUAAAUUGACUAUUAUUUUUCUCACCCUAUGUACUUUUCACGUGCCUUAUUUUUUCCCAAAAUAUCAUUGGUUCGGAUUUUAUAAUUUGAACAUGAUUUCAAGAAAUAUUCAUAUUACAUAAUCCGAAAAUGUCUUUUACCAAAAUUUUAAUUUGAGUUUGGUUUAUUUUAUAUUAUUUAGAUGCAAAAAUCAUAAAAUAAAUGAAAAAAAUAAAAGAACAAAAGAUAUACAUAAAAAUUUCAUUUUAUUAUUAUAUCAAUACAUUUACAAUAAAGCUGAAUCUUAAAGCUUAUUACAUAUAACAUUCAAACACCUAAAACUAAUUUAUUAGCGGGGUAUAACUAAAUCUGCAGCACAAGAAGAUGUUGGGGGAGCUAAACUAGUGGCGCAAGCUGAUGGGGAGGAAAGGUGAACGGGUGGGCGAAGGGGAAAGAGAUGUUGGGGGGGGGGGCAUAGGUAUGGUUUGUUUCCUUUUAAGGGCGAAAGAGACCUUGAUGGUAAACUUUGCACCCAAACAAACCGUGCUUCUUUGCAGUGCAUUGCCUUCCCCGUUAACCGUUCAUACAAUCCUUGAGUCCAAAGUAGCAUCUUUUUAUGAAAUGCCAACGAUGGGAACACAUUGUUGUAUAAGGAAGAUGAGGAAGAGGAUGAGAGUGUGAGAUGAUGGUGUGAGAAAUGGUGAAGGUUUAUACGUUAUUUAUAGGGGGGAAUGGUUGCAUAUAGUGUAUCUACACUUAAUGUUGAGUCAAAAAAACGUGGUUCAAAGGGGUUUUACCACCCAUUAAUGCUGGUAAAAACCUUUGAAAAUGUGUUUUAUGUGGUUCAGACCACCGGCCAAGAAACUCACUUGGUUCAAAUUAUAUAAUCUGAAAUCAUACCCAUGGUUUUCGGAUUAUAUAAUCUUAAUUAAUUCAAUGCUAGGUGGAAAUGAAGGAAACUUCAUACCUUAUGCAGGGUGAGAGACUUUUCGGAUUAUAUAAUAAGAAAAUGUUUAGGACAUGAUUUUUUUCUGUGGUCCGCAUUGCACCGACAGUUUAUGUGCUAUAGGACACCCAAGUACCUCUAUAAAUAGGUGUCCUUGUUUUCAUAACCAAAAAACCACACACAAAAAACAUGGAAAACUCUCAUUGAUCCGAACACCAAGCUAGCUACAGUUUACUACAACGGGGAGAAACCAAUCCAUUUGUUCAGGAUUCACACUUAUGUCGCCCUCUCCGUGUUGAAGGGUCAGCUGGAUCGAAUCAACCGCCAACUCAACUAAAGAGACACACAGAGGGUGGAUGGUGUUGAGUAUCGACAUCCAUCGAUCGACUCAGCCGGGAGUGUGCGGUUCACCCGGAUGAUGCCUAUGAACGACGAUGUGAGAACCAUAUUCUUGAUCUUUGGUCAGUACAGUACUAGAGGGCCGAUCGAGUUAGACGCUUCGUUGGUCAUAUAUGUUGAACAAAUUCAUAAAAGUUUGAUCCGACCGAAGAACUACGAAGAGAUUAGGGCACUCCUGGACGCACCAUAUGAAGACAUUAAUUUAGCUCAUAUGUGGUAUGAUUCUCAUCAAAGGGUCCAUAUUUUCUUUGGUUCCCAUUCUCUAUUUUGUGGUUUUAUGUUGACGUUAGUGUACUGCGUUUGAAUCAGGUACCUUAUUGAGAACUCAUGUCUUACAAUUGGACCUUGACCCAGUGAAAAAACAAUACCUGAAAAAAGAAAAACAAUGUGCUAGUUAUUGGCUUAUGCAGUUACUACUUAGUAAUUGUUUUUCAAGGAUCACUUGUUCUUUAACAUAUUUGAAAUCAUAUACUAUGUAGAACGAUGUUAAAAAAUGAUAGAAUUGUUAACCUCUAAUUGUUGCAUAUGAAACAACAGUUACAAACCGUCACCAUCAAAAUAUAAAAUUGAAUUAUAAACACUUUUGAUGUCUAAACUACCAAUUUAAAAGUUUUUCCUCUAUAUUUUAUUUCAAUUACUUUUAUUUUAUAAACCCUCUAAUUAUUGUCCUUUUAUUUUUUCUAUGCAUUAAUCAUUAAUGAACAUGAUGAAGUUAUAUCAAUUUGAAUUGUUCUUAUCCCUCCUCUUUAUCAUUGUCAAUACAACACUUUCGGGUUAUAUCCCUCAAUUGCCUCAUUCUCUUGGCAAACAAAUAGACAAGAUUAAACAAUCUUCUCCAUCAGAUGAACAACCAACAGAAGAGAUUCAAGGCCUAUCUCAAAUUAAAAAACAUUUCGACACUUUCGGCUACUUCCCACAAUUUCUAUUGAACUUUGAUGACGUUCUAGACGAGGAAACAAUAUCCGCUAUUAAGACGUACCAACAAUUUUUCAAUCUCCAAGUUACUGGUCACCUAAACACCGAGACUUUACAAAAAAAUCUCGUUACCGCGAUGUGGUAUUCCUGAUAUGGGAUACGAGUAUGGCAUCGAUGUUGGAAGUAAUGUAUCAUUUCCGAAAGGAAACAAGUUGUUCCCUAAGGGCACAAAAAAGCUUACAUAUGGUUUUCUUCCAGGGAAAAAAAAUCUCAUUAGACAUGAUCGAAGGGUUUAGAAAUGCCUUCACAUGUUGGUCGCAGACUACUAGGGUCCUAAAUUUUAGCGAGACAACAUCAUACGAUGAUGCUGACAUUAAGAUUGGAUUCUACCAUAUUUACAACAAUGAUGUUGUUGAUGAUGUUGUGGUGGGUGACUCUUUCAUCAGCAGGAACCUUGAUUCGAAUGAGAAAUCAGGUAUGGUACGUCUGGAAUGUUCUAAGUUCUGGGUGUUGCCAACUACCACCUACUUUAAGAAGUGGGAAUUGCAAGAAUUCGAUUUGGAGACUGUUGUCAUGCAUCAAAUAUCUACUAGGACUUGAUCACUCUUCUGAUAAGGAGUCUAUUAUGUACCCAUUAAUAGAUCCAUUGCAUGAAAAGAAGGUGCAAAUAACAGAUUCAGAUAACCAAGCUAUACAACAACUCUACACGGUUUUCCUUCCAAAAAAAAAAAAAAAAAAAAAAAACAACAACUCUACACCAACACUACCAAAGCCAAUCCAAACUCUGAUCAUAGUGGGUGCUUUAAGCUUUUUGAGUCAAGUUUUGUUCUUCUUACCUCUUUGUCCUUUGGUUUUGCUUUUGUAGCUCUCAUGAACUUGGCUUCCUAAUAAUUGUGUACCUUACUUCAUGUGCUAUUUUCCGUUCAUGUUGAAUAGUUUGUUAUAGGGGGUAUCAUGAUAUAUGGUUGUUGUAAUUGAUUACAUAUCUAUUGGAGUGCAAAAAUCACUUCAAGUAGACUUUCGACUUAUCGACUAUAAUAAAGAUCAAUAAAUUAUAUUAUCUAUUUUCAUUGAUGAUAAAUAAGUUGUAGGGUUUAUUACCAUAAAAUAUGGUAUGAUAAACAUUCAUAUAUUUUGAGGCCAGUGGCGGAGCCAGGAUUUUUAAAGAAUCUGAGCAAAAUUUUGAAUGCAAAUUCACAUGUGACAUAAUAUAUAAAUAGUGUUAUACAUCGAAAUCAAAUAGGCUCGUCAUUUUGACAAUAAAAGUACAAUUUGAAAUAAGAGAGAUGAAACAUAACCUGCUAAUAUUCAUAUUUUGUUACCAUAAAGUAAAUGAGCAAUAUUCAAAUUUUAUUACCAUAAAGUAAAUGAGCAAUGAAGUAUAUAUAGAUUUUGAUUUAUGAGAGUAUUAAGUAUUGGUUUGGGUGAAUAGUAUAAUAGUUCAUAGUUAGGAGAAUUAUUCAAGUUAAGUCACUUUAAGAAUUUAUUCAAAAAAUUGAUUAUAGUAAUCAAUUUCAAAUUCCAAUGAUAUUGAUUAUAAUAUAAUAUUUUAUUAUAUUGAUUAUACUAAUUUUAGUGGUAAUUUUAUGAAUUAUUCAUUUUUAAAAUUUAUAGUAGAAUAGAAAAUAUAAAAAAUAAAAUAAAACAAUGAAUAAGUUUUAGUGACAGCCGCAACCGUAGGUAGAGGUCCAUAAUAUUUUUAAAAUGGCCUCUUAGAAUUACCAAUGGUUUCGUCCGUAGUUAAAGGUGGAAAACAUGCAGUGACAACCACUUGACAACGAUAGAUGGAUUUAGCUACGGAAAUUUUUCCUACAGUGACGAAUUUUGGCUGUCACUGAUGAGUCAUUUAUAUACUAUUUUAAUAUGCUUUUUAGUUUAGUUUUAUUUAGAUUUUAUAUAAUUUUAUAUUAGUAUUAUUUCCUUUUUAGGAUAGUUUACUUUAAAUUGCAAUUUAUUAUAUUUCAGGGAAGAAUAUUGGAUGGAUUGAGUCUUGGAGCAAAAGAAAGGGAUUUGGAGCAGAUUGGACACGAAAAUAUGAAGAUUGGGAGACAAAAUAUGUCUCCCACAAGUCAGAAGCCUGGCACGGCCCGUGCUAGCCUUGGCACGGCCGUGCCACCCUCCAGAAGACCUUUUGCUGCUUUUGCUUGGGCUCUAAGCUAUUCUAUUUUGGCGCACAAUCUACCGUGGAAUAUUCUUGGAAUAUACUUGCUUAGAUUUUAAGUCAAUUGUGUACUAUAAAUAGAGUAGCUAGCCAUCACAAAUAUUCAUCUUUUCUUGGAAUGCAAUAUGUGACAAUUGUUUUCUAAUAAAAGUUCAUUUACUUUAUUGUUAUUUACUUUUAUGCUUUCUCUCUUCUUCUCCUUGUCUACGAUGAACGUCAGUGAGUAGACUUCUCUUGUCUUGGGAUUGUUGGAUAAGUCUAAUGACAUAAUCCUAAUCAAACCAAGCUUUAAACCUUAAUCUUAUGUAACCCUAAUUCCUUAUCUAAAUUCACCGCUUUAACAUGGAUCAACCAUUAUCAAACUGUGGAAACGAAAGUGGAGGGUUUGAUAAUUGUUUAUCCAUCAUCUCAAAUAUCAAUUCAUAAAACGAAAGUGGAGCUUUGAUAUUCGAACAAGUGAAUUUAGACAAGGAUUGCAAAGUCAGCGAAAUAGGCUUUGCAAUCUUUGAGACAUAUAGUUUCGAUCUUCAAGGGAACUAAUAACAAUCAAGUCAGCGAAAUAGGCUUGGUUGUUAGAGGAACCAAAAUCUAAUAGUAAUCAAGUCAGCGAAAUAGGCUUGGUUGCUAGAGGAACAAAAGAGAAACUGUCUUGAGAAAUUAGGUCUAACAUAAAGUUAUAAGUUUAAUAGUUUGGUUUGAGAAGGACUUGUCGUUAGGAUGAACCAAUAACCCCAAGGCUUUUAUCUUUUAUUUUAUUAUUUGCUCUUAAUUAAAAUCCCAAACUUUUCUACCUUAUAAACCUUUAGUCCAAUCAUUAUCUAAAGUUAAUUGAAUUCGUAACUCCCUGUCGGAACGAUACUCAUAUUUUACUACUUCGGUAAGACCGUGCACUUGCGGUUUUAUCCCAUCAAGUUUUUGGCGCCGCUGCGGGGGAUUGUCCGAAGGUGAUUCAAGAAAACGAGAAAAUUUUGAGGCCCCAUGUCCAGAACCUUGGCACGGCCCGUGCUAACACUGGCACGGCCGUGCCAGACCUUGCUACCCAAAAACUGACCCACAAUCCAGAAAGUUGGCACGGCCCGUGCUAAGUUUGGCACGGCCGUGCCCGAUCCCAGGUUCAGUUUUAUCUAACUUUUCAUCUUCUUCAUCCCCCAUUCUCAACCACUCACAUCCCUCAUCCUCCCAUUUUUAUCUAAAACCUCCAUAACCAAAAAACCUUACAAACUCCAUACCUCCCUCAAAACCUCACCAAUUCUCAAAAUUUCUUCACCCCAUCAACCACAAUCCACAUUUCAAUCAUAACCCUUCCAUCAAAAACAACUUUCUUCCAUCCCUACCAAAAAAAAAAAAACAUCAAAUUCGUAGCCCCCAUUCAACCAACUACAAAACCCACAAAUUCUUCACCAAUUCACCCAACCCAACUCCUAACACUUACUCAAACCCCAACCCCAUCACCCAACCUUCACCCAAAACACAAAAGGUCCACCAAGGUUAAGGAUAAUGGCAUCUAGGAAAGGUGGAGCAAGCUCUUCCGGAGGACCACAAUCAAAGAAGAAAACGCAAGCCAAGAAUCAUGGCAUAAUCUUCAAGGACACCAAGCAAAGGGACAGGUAUAAAAUUCUUCUCUCUAAACCUUUGCAUCCUUGUCGAUAUCCAGAUCCUUAUACUUUGAGUGUGCUAGGACUAAGGGAUAAUGUGUUUAAAUUACUAGGAAAUUUAGGAUGGGUUGAUAUGCUUAGACCUAUGAAAGGUUUCGAAAAUUUCACUUAUGAAUUCUUAAGUUCUAUUGAAUUUACGAAGGAUAAGGUGAAUUUUGACAACCCCGAUCAUAGAGUCUCUUUCCGACUUUUGAAUAUGGAUUAUGAGAUGUCUCUUGAAAAUUUCUGUUUAGAGAUGGACUUUGCAAAUGCGGGGUUCAUCCAUGACUCUUGGAAUCCAAAUUUAAAGUCGGAAAACUAUGACCCCGCUCUCUUUUGGAAACGCAUUACCGGGUUAAGGCAAUAUAAUCCCCGCAACAAUAAGGCUAGUAACAUUCACAACCCAGUACUUAGAUACCUCCAGAGAGUCAUGGCUUGUACCAUUUGGGGUAGAAAAGAGGUAGGAACAACUAGGACGGAUGAACUUUUUAUGCUUUGGGCAAUGCUUAGUAACAAUCCCGUUAAUACUUGUUUCUACCUACUUGAUUACCUUUCCUCCAUAGGAGCUAGACCUGAUAAUAGAGCUGAGAUAGUAGUCGGUGGUAUCAUUACCUUCAUCGCUAGGAAGUUUGGAGCGGGUGAGGAAGAUGGGAUAAAUCCAAUUGAGGGCAACAAUAGACUUAAUAUUGAAACCCUUGUUGCUAUGAACUUCAUUAAGAUUCACCCACCCAUGACUUAUGCACUUCAACUUCGCAUACCACUUUUAUUUCUACUUCCUAACCCAUCUCGGACUAACCCCGAGGUGGAGGAAAAUUUGUUGUAUGUUGGUGAUGGAUUACAGGUACAUGAAGAGCAUAAUCAAGGUGACGAAGAAGGUGCACACAUGCACCAUGAAGAGGAGCCCCAUGACCAUAACGACAACAAUGAAAGAUGGGCAUGGAUGCAAACCGAGGUACAAAGGAUAAGCACCGAGCAACAAAGGCAAGGUGUUGAAUUAUCCGGGCUAAGAAAUGAUGUCCUACGGGGCAACCGCAUAUCCGAAGAAAAUAACCAAAUGCUUCGGAACAUGAUGCAACACUUCAACCUCCAAGGCCCUCCCUAUGGACCUCAAUAAAAAUGUGAGCUUUCCUCUUCCUCUUUUUUCACCUCAUCUCUUUAAUCUCUAUCUCACUCUUCUACCUCUCCUUCUCUUCUACUUUUCUUUUAUCUUGAAUCAUUGAGGACAAUGCUUCUCCUAAGUGUGGGGGGAGCCUAAUAAAGUGUCUUUAGUCGUAGUGUUUCCAAACUCCCUUGAACUUUAUUCUUUUGUUUUGUUUUAUUGUAAAAGGCAUGGUUAAGUAGCUAAUUUUUAUUGAAAAUAUCAUGACACAAAAAUUUUCAUUGUCUCCUCUUAUUUUGUUGAUUAUUGUACAUGAAAGCAAACUCUUGUGUUUUAAGUCUUCUUGAUAUACCCACAUCUUGUUUUAAAGUGAAUAAAAUUCUCCAAUGAGAAAAACACAAAGUUGCUUCCCUUGAGUAAAUGUAUGAAUAGGUAUUUUAAGGAAACGCGUUUUAAUCUUAGUGGUGCAUUAACCUUUAAAGAUUCUCAAAAUGCCAGUAGUAUAAGUCAGUAUAAGGGAGUUCAUGAAAAGCCAAAAAGCCAAAUAAAUUCCAAGAUCUCAUCAUUGAAUCUAGAUUGGGGAAGGAGGUAGGCCCUCCGACUUCCUACGUGAAGAUGAUUGUUAUCUUGAGGAAAAACUUUAAAACGCAUCAUUGAAUCUAGAUUGGGGAAGGGGGUAGGCCCUCCGACUUCCUACGUGAAGAUGAUGUUUUAAGGGAUACCAUUGAAUCUAGAUUGGGGAAGGGGGUAGGCCCUCCGACCUCCUACGUGAAGAUGUUGUUCCUUAAAUAAAGAACUUAAAAUGUGCAAAUGGCAAAGAACAAAGAUUCUCAAAUACUCCCAUCUCUCUUAUAUGAAUUAUAGAAGGAAUCUUUCUUGGUUGGUUUAGUGCUAGGAUUAGACCAUGUUUCCUCAUAAUGCCUAUCUUAUACAGGAGCAAGAAAAGGGUUGGACUUCACACACACACUCACUUGAAACUUGAUCGUUGGGUUGAAUAAAAAUUACAAGAAACACUUGAGUUUGUGAUUAGUGUACACUUGGGAUUUAAGCCCUUGAGGAGACAUGUGCUUUAAUUGAAUUGUCAUUUGAUAUAACUGUUGGUGCUACUAUGUUUAUGCCUUUUGCUUGAGGACAAGCAAAGAUUCAAGUGUGGGGGAGUUUGAUGAGUCAUUUAUAUACUAUUUUAAUAUGCUUUUUAGUUUAGUUUUAUUUAGAUUUUAUAUAAUUUUAUAUUAGUAUUAUUUCCUUUUUAGGAUAGUUUACUUUAAAUUGCAAUUUAUUAUAUUUCAGGGAAGAAUAUUGGAUGGAUUGAGUCUUGGAGCAAAAGAAAGGGAUUUGGAGCAGAUUGGACACGAAAAUAUGAAGAUUGGGAGACAAAAUAUGUCUCCCACAAGUCAGAAGCCUGGCACGGCCCGUGCUAGCCUUGGCACGGCCGGGCCACCCUCCAGAAGACCUUUUGCUGCUUUUGCUUGGGCUCUAAGCUAUUCUAUUUUGGCGCACAAUCUACCGUGGAAUAUUCUUGGAAUAUACUUGCUUAGAUUUUAAGUCAAUUGUGUACUAUAAAUAGAGUAGCUAGCCAUCACAAAUAUUCAUCUUUUCUUGGAAUGCAAUAUGUGACAAUUGUUUUCUAAUAAAAGUUCAUUUACUUUAUUGUUAUUUACUUUUAUGCUUUCUCUCUUCUUCUCCUUGUCUACGAUGAACGUCAGUGAGUAGACUUCUCUUGUCUUGGGAUUGUUGGAUAAGUCUAAUGACAUAAUCCUAAUCAAACCAAGCUUUAAACCUUAAUCUUAUGUAACCCUAAUUCCUUAUCUAAAUUCACCGCUUUAACAUGGAUCAACCAUUAUCAAACUGUGGAAACGAAAGUGGAGGGUUUGAUAAUUGUUUAUCCAUCAUCUCAAAUAUCAAUUCAUAAAACGAAAGUGGAGCUUUGAUAUUCGAACAAGUGAAUUUAGACAAGGAUUGCAAAGUCAGCGAAAUAGGCUUUGCAAUCUUUGAGACAUAUAGUUUCGAUCUUCAAGGGAACUAAUAACAAUCAAGUCAGCGAAAUAGGCUUGGUUGUUAGAGGAACCAAAAUCUAAUAGUAAUCAAGUCAGCGAAAUAGGCUUGGUUGCUAGAGGAACAAAAGAGAAACUGUCUUGAGAAAUUAGGUCUAACAUAAAGUUAUAAGUUUAAUAGUUUGGUUUGAGAAGGACUUGUCGUUAGGAUGAACCAAUAACCCCAAGGCUUUUAUCUUUUAUUUUAUUAUUUGCUCUUAAUUAAAAUCCCAAACUUUUCUACCUUAUAAACCUUUAGUCCAAUCAUUAUCUAAAGUUAAUUGAAUUCGUAACUCCCUGUCGGAACGAUACUCAUAUUUUACUACUUCGGUAAGACCGUGCACUUGCGGUUUUAUCCCAUCAGUCACUAAAAGUCAAAUUUCUUGUAAAUUUCUUGUAGUGAUACAAAGAAAAUAUAGGUUGAACCCGGGUAUGUGCCCAUACUCGCGAGGUGGUAAAACCGCCCCUGCCACUAGCCGCAAAAAUUCUAAAGAAAUAGAUUCAAAGUUGCCUCUUAUUCAACGUUAUAGAAUUGACUUGUAAGAAACUUUUAGUUGCGACAAUUUAAUUUAUUUCAAAUGUUUCAUAAGACUAAUUAGUGGCUUCUCCUUGUGAUCUGAUUAAGGCAUAUAAACAAAAAGCCAUGUUGAUUUUCAUAAAGUAUUUUGUCGAAAGAAAAGUUAAACUUAUCACCAGCUUCCAACCACUUUACUUUGCAAACUGAUCUAUAUCCAUAGUAGACAUUUGUGUCUUUAUUUCAGUCCUUAAUAACAUGCACUCAUAGAAUGCUAUGAAGAAUUUUGAGUUAGCAUCACCUUUCUGAAGCCAGUCAUCCUCGCCUUCUACCAAUUAAUACUUGUUUGAACCCGUGACAAAGAAUGCAAACUAACUGACAACUCAUGAAGCUCCUGCACCUCAUCUUCAAGAAGCGUAGAUUCCUCCCCUUUGUGUUCAGGGAAGAGUUAAUUGUUUUUUUUUUUUUUUUUUUUACAAAAGGGAAGAAUUAAUUGUUAAUGACCAAACUAAUUGUAAAUUGUUAAAAUAUAUGGGAUUAAUUGAUAUAUAGUAAGUUGCUAAAUAUAAGGACCAACUCGACAGUUGAAUCGUGUCAAGAACCUUUUUAAAAUACUCAUAAUCUCAAGGAUGUAUUUGAGAAUACUCAUAAUCUCAAGGACGUAUUUGAUAGGGCACAACAUAGUUAGGGACUAAUUUGAUAGUUAACUCGUUAAUAAUCCUUCUGAAUGGUGCGUUGGAUAGGUCAACUGGUUUUAGUUAAUCUGAUUAAAAUUAGUUAUCUUCACUGUCAAUCAUUUUUUUUGCGCAUUCUCGGGCGAUUUCACAGAGAAUUCAUUCUCUCACGUUUGCAUUUUAUUUGUUUCAUAUUUUCUUUCUAUGCUAUUUAAAAAUCACUUUAGUCUUUUCAUACUUAUCAUUCUUAUAUUCUUAAUUUUUUUUUGGCUUAAUUGCACUUUUUGACCCCUAUCUUUUCAAAAGUUGCGGUUAUGGAUCCCUAACUAAUUUAAAUACAAAACAGCCCCCUAUGUUUUGAUUUUUUGGCAGUUUUGGACCCCCAAGGCAAAAAAAAAAAAAAAAACCACACGUGGCACCUCACUUAGGAUGCCACGUCAGCGUUGACCGAGUCAACAAUGGACUGGGGGUCCAAAACUGCCAAAGAAUCAAAACAUAGGGGGUUGUUUUGUAUUUAAAUUAAUUAGGGGUCCAUAACCGCAACUUUUGAAAAGAUAUGGGUCCAAAAGUGCAAUUAAGCCUUUUUUUUUGAUAAUUUUUAGUAUACUUUUACUUUGAACAUAUAUUAUAAUUUCUAAUUUUUUUUUUGAAAGAUUAUAAUUUCUAAUUAAAUUGCUUGUCUGUGCAUUCAAAAAUUUAUUUUUUUCAUUAGUAAAGUAUACUUUGAAUAUGGUCCCUUAAGCGUAAUUGUUGACUCAGUCCCGGCUAGUACAACUAUAUGACGGUGAUAGAAUGUAUUUAUUUUUGCUUAUAAUUAUAAUUAUAACGUGGACAGCAUAACAAUCGUUGAUUUAAGAACGAAGCGAGUAUUGAAAGAGAAAGAAUGAUUGAAGCUAACGCGUCCUAUUUUGUUUGUGUAUUUUAAAAUAGUUGAGGGAUGAAUAAAAAAAGGAGUGGUUAUACUCAAAUAGAAGGUAGAUGAGUUGUAUAAUUAUUGUUUUGUAUUUUUUGUACUUUGUGUUUUGUCUUGUAAUAAUAGUUGACUUGACUCUUGAGUAACGAUGUCUUCCUCUGAUCAUCCAUGGAUCUACCACAUGUUCAUCAACUUCAGGGGGAAGGAAUAUUUUUUGAACUUAGAUAGAUUCUUUAAAUUUUGUUGGAAACAUUGUAAAUAAAAUAUAUUUAUUGAAUGUGGAUUGACUUUUAAAAUUGGGAAAAAUGACCAAAUUUCUUUAAAAAUGUAAUUUUAGAAAAGAAAAUACUAAAAUAGAUUAAAAAUAGUUAUUUUUUCUAUGUUAAAAUUAAUUAAUUCCUUUAUGUAUAUAUUGGUGAUUGAAAGAAAUAAUUAAAGAGAAAAAGAAGAAUUAAAUACAUAAAAUUAAAUUUCUAUUAUUCAAAAUUGUUUUUUUUUAUUGGUAAAGAAAGAUAAAUAUUGGUAAAAAAAAAAAUAAUUAAGUGAUUGGUAAAUUUGGAAAGAAAAAAUGUAACACCAAAAGCAAUUAUUUUAUAAGUUUUUUUAUAAUAUCCAAUAUUAUCCUUAUUGUUAUGAAGUGUUCUUUCUAUUUUAUAAUUUUAAUUGAUGAGUGUAUUCCCUUAGGUUUUGUUUGAGAGUUUGAAGGGGAGUGGAGAUGAGGGUUUUGAAGGAAAUGAAUGUGCAAGUGGGAAAAAUAGAAGACAUUGGAAGAAGAGGGUUUUGAGAGGUUAAUUUUUUAUUCAUAAUACAAAAUCUUUCUCAUUUUGGUUAACUCAAAUUGUGUUGGUGGAUGAUUUUGUUGGAACAAAAUGUGUUUCACAAUGAACCUUAUUAAGUUUUGAUGAUAACAAGGUAUUAAAAAUUGUCAAUUGGUUAUUACUAAUAAUUGUUCAAGUGUACAGGACCAAAGGCUACUCAAGUUAUUUCAAUAGGUCUUGGAAGAACAAUGGAAAGAAAAAGAAAUUCUGAGCAUCUGAAGAAAACUGCUCCUGAAGCUAAACUGCUCCUGAAGAGAUGACGUCAUCAGAAGCAGAAAGCUGCUCCUGAAGCUAAACUGCUCCUGAAGAGAUGACGUCAUCAGAAGCAGAAAGUCAUCAGAAGCAGAAAGUCAUCAGAAGCAAAAGUUUUCAUCAGAAGCAAUAUUUUCACCAGAAGCUACAUUUGAUCCUUUAAUCAAACUGAAGAUUCAAAGUUGCUGAUUCUCAAUUCAGUCUUAUCAAAGAAGAACGAAGAAUUGAAAGGGAGGUAUCAACGGAUAUAUGGAUAGCACUGAGCACUUGUCUCUCAUUAAUAGAGUUGACAAAGUACAAGUGUACAACCACUACCUCCACUACUCUGUUUUCUGUCUACGCUACAAGACAAAACAACAGCCAUGCCUGCAGAAUUUGUACAACUCAAGAUGGGAAUGAAUUUGAAGUUUAUCCUUCAAAGGACUACACCCAAAUCAGGCAAAAGAUCACUGGUGGAUAAUCAAAGGAUUUCAAACGACUCUUUAGACGUGCUGAUUAUCUCAACGUCUCUUUCACGCCUCUAUAUAAAGGAGUGAAGACUUGAAGAUUCAAGAUAGAGAUACAUAAGUUCAAAAGCGCCAAAACUCUGUCAAUUUGAUUCUACAAAGCACACUGAAUUUCUGCACUGAUUUGAUACAUCUUAGAAAUUCAAAGUCUAGAGUCUUUUCUGUAUUGUAUUGUGAACACCACUGAUUGUAUAUCAAGUGUUCAAUUCAAACUCAAUUCUCUGUAUUUUUGUUUGAUUAGAAGUCUCUUGCCUGCGUGCUUGAGCAUUAGAAGUCUCUUGCUUAGUGCUUGAGCAUUGGAAGACUCUUGCGUGUGUGCUUGAGCAUUGUUUUGUGAAGUCUCAUACUUUGAAAGUAUUGAGCAGUUGUAAUCUUGUGAUUAUAGUGAAAUCUCCUUGGAAGUGCAAGGGGGACUGGACUACUUCCGUGUUGUGGAAGGAACCAGGAUAACUGCCUGUGUCUUUGUCUUUCUUUUCUCUGCUCUGUUCUUUUCCGCUGCAAUCUGACUCUGAUCAUUUCAUCAGAAGCAAUCAAACUGCUUCUGAAGUUUUAUCAGAAGAAGAAUCCUUUUUAUUAAGAGAAAAAGAAAACACAAUUCAACCCCCCCCUUCUUGUGUUUUUCACCUUCAAUUGGUAUCAGAGCUUGCUCUGUUAUCACAGCACUUAACCGUGUUACAGUUCAAGAUCUAUUAGAAAAACAUGUCUGGAGAUGAGGAAUCAGUUACUCCAAAAUACACAAGUGUCAAGCAUGACUAUGAUACUGCUGACAAGAAAACAGACUCUGGAAAAGCUCCAAAGUUUAAUGGAGAUCCAGAAGAGUUUUCAUGGUGGAAAACUAAUAUGUACAGCUUUAUCAUGGGAUUGGAUGAAGAGCUAUGGGAUAUACUGGAAGAUGGAGUUGAUGAUCUGGAUUUGGAUGAAGAAGGAGCUGCUAUAGACAGAAGAAUACAUACUCCUGCUCAGAAGAAGCUUUAUAAGAAACACCACAAGAUAAGAGGAAUCAUUGUGGCUUCUAUACCUCGCACCGAAUACAUGAAAAUGAGUGACAAAUCUACUGCGAAAGCUAUGUUUGCUUCUCUUUGUGCAAACUUUGAAGGCAGCAAGAAAGUAAAAGAGGCUAAAGCUUUGAUGCUAGUUCAUCAGUAUGAACUUUUCAGAAUGAAGGAUGAUGAGAGUAUAGAAGAAAUGUACUCAAGAUUUCAAACUUUAGUUUCUGGAUUGCAGAUACUGAAGAAAAGCUAUGUUGCUUCUGAUCAUGUUAGUAAGAUUUUGAGAAGCUUACCUUCAAGAUGGAGACCCAAAGUAACUGCUAUUGAGGAAGCUAAGGAUCUAAAUACUUUAAGUGUUGAAGAUCUUGUUAGCUCACUCAAAGUGCAUGAAAUGAGUUUAAAUGAGCAUGAAACCUCUAAGAAGAGUAAAUCCAUUGCUUUACCAUCUAAAGGAAAGACCUCAAAGUCUUCCAAAGCCUACAAAGCCAGUGAAUCUGAAGAAGAAUCACCUGAUGGAGAUUCUGAUGAAGAUCAAUCUGUAAAGAUGGCUAUGCUGUCCAACAAGCUUGAGUAUCUGGCAAGGAAGCAGAAGAAAUUUUUGAGCAAGAGAGGUAGCUACAAGAACUUCAAGAAAGAAGAUCAGAAGGGAUGCUUCAAUUGUAAGAAGCCUGGUCAUUUCAUUGCUGAUUGCCCUGAUCUUCAGAAGGAGAAGUUUAAAGGCAAAUCCAAGAAAUCAAGCUUCAACUCCAGUAAAUUCAGAAAGCAAAUCAAAAAGAGCUUGAUGGCGACCUGGGAAGAUUUGGAUAGUGAAUCUGGUUCUGAUAAAGAAGAAGCUGAUGAUGAUGCUAAGGCAGCCGUUGGGUUAGUGGCAACAGUAUCAUCAGAAGCAGUAUCAGAAGCUGAAUCAGAUUCAGAAGAUGAAAAUGAGGUAUAUUCCAAAAUCCCUAGACAAGAACUUGUUGAUUCUCUAAAAGAACUUUUAUCACUGUUUGAACACAGAACCAAUGAGUUGACAGAUUUAAAAGAAAAAUAUGUUGAUUUGAUGAAACAACAAAAAUCAACUCUAUUGGAACUGAAAGCUUCUGAAGAAGAACUCAAAGGGUUUAACCUCAUAUCAACAACAUAUGAAGAUAGACUCAAGAGUCUUUGUCAGAAGCUACAAGAAAAAUGUGAUAAAGGUUCAGGCAAUAAACAUGAGAUUGCCUUGGAUGAUUUUAUUAUGGCUGGAAUAGACAGAAGCAAAGUUGCUUCUAUGAUCUACAGCACAUACAAGAACAAAGGCAAAGGGAUUGGAUAUUCUGAGGAGAAAUCCAAAGAAUACAGUCUCAAGAGCUACUGUGAUUGUAUCAAGGAUGGAUUGAAAUCCACCUUUGUGCCUGAAGGUACAAAUGCUAUAACUGCUGUUCAGUCAAAACCUGAAGCUUCAGGUUCACAGGCUAAGAUCACAUCAAAGCCAGAGAAUCUUAAGAUCAAGGUAAUGACAAAAUCUGAUCCUAAGAGUCAAAAGAUUAAAAUUCUGAAAAGAUCAGAACCUGUUCAUCAGAAUCUGAUUAAACCAGAAUCUAAAAUUCCAAAACAAAAGGAUCAGAAGAACAAAGCAGCUACUGCUUCUGAGAAAACAAUACCAAAAGGUGUCAAACCUAAAGUAUUGAAUGAUCAGAAGCCACUCAGCAUUCACCCUAAGGUACAAGGGAGGAAAAGUAAAACCUCCAAAACUAACCCAAAAGGACCCAUGAAGAUAUGGGUACCUAAAUCUGAAUUGGCCAAAAAUGCAGGUGUGCUUAAGGGCAAGAGAGAAACAAAGGUCAUGGUACCUAGACAGCGGAUGUUCAAGGCACAUGACUGGAGAGAAAGCUUUGUUCCUUACCCUUACAAUGAAAGAUGGAGGAGAAGUGAAGUUUGGUGGCAACCAAACUGGAAAGAUCAUUGGUACAGGUACUAUUGGUAAUUCCUCCAUCUCAAUUAAUAAUGUGUGGCUAGUAGAUGGUCUGAAGCAUAACCUAUUGAGCAUUAGUCAAUUUUGUGACAAUGGGUAUGAUGUAACGUUCAGUAAGACCAACUGCACACUAGUCAACAAGGAUGACAAAUCCAUUACAUUCAAGGGAAAGAGAGUUGAGAAUGUUUAUAAAAUAAAUUUCUCUGAUCUGGCUGAUCAGAAGGUAGUUUGCCUUCUGUCAGUGAAUGAUAAAAAAUGGGUAUGGCAUAAAAGGUUGGGACAUGCUAAUUGGAGAUUAAUUUCUAAAAUUAGCAAGUUACAACUGGUCAAAGGAUUGCCUAACAUUGAUUAUCAUUCAGAUGCACUUUGUGGUGCAUGUCAGAAAGGGAAAAUUGUGAAAAGUUCUUUCAAAUCUAAAGACAUUGUAUCAACCUCCAGACCCUUAGAAUUACUCCAUAUUGAUCUUUUUGGUCCAGUUAACACUGCAUCUUUAUAUGGAAGUAAAUACGGAUUAGUCAUUGUUGAUGAUUACAGCAGAUGGACUUGGGUAAAAUUCAUUAAAAGUAAAGACUAUGCAUGUGAAGUGUUUAGCAGCUUCUGCACUCAAAUACAAUCUGAAAAAGAAUUGAAAAUUUUGAAAGUCAGAAGUGAUCAUGGUGGAGAAUUUGAAAAUGAGCCAUUUGAACUUUUUUGUGAAAAACAUGGGAUUCUCCAUGAGUUUUCUUCUCCUAGAACUCCACAACAAAAUGGGGUUGUAGAAAGAAAGAACAGAACCUUACAAGAAAUGGCCAGAACCAUGAUCCAUGAAAACAACUUAGCUAAACAUUUUUGGGCAGAAGCAGUCAAUACUUCAUGUUAUAUUCAAAAUAGGAUCUAUAUCAGACCUAUGUUGGAGAAAACAGCAUAUGAACUCUUUAAAGGAAGAAGACCAAAUAUCUCUUACUUUCAUCAGUUUGGAUGUACUUGUUACAUCUUAAACACUAAAGACUAUCUGAAGAAAUUUGAUGCCAAGGCUCAAAGAGGAAUCUUUUUAGGUUACUCUGAAAGGUCAAAGCCAUACAGAGUGUAUAAUUCAGAAACACAAUGUGUUGAAGAAUCUAUGCAUGUAAAAUUUGAUGAUAGAGAGCCUGGAAGUAAAACUUCAGAGCAAAGUGAAAGUAAUGCAGGUACAACUGAUUCUGAAGAUGCAUCAGAAUCUGAUCAACCUUCUGAUUCUGAAAAGUAUACAGAAGUUGAAUCUUGUCCAGAAGCUGAAAUCACUCCAGAAGCUGAGUCUAAUUCAGAAGCAGAACCUAGCCCAAAAGCACAGAAUGAAAUUGCUUCUGAGGACUUUCAAGAUAACACUCAGCAGGUUAUUCAACCUAAAUUCAAGCACAAAUCUUCACAUCCUGAGGAGUUAAUCAUUGGAAGCAAAGAUAGUCCUAGAAGAACAAGAUCACAUUUUAGACAAGAAGAGUCUUUAAUAGGACUGCUUUCAAUAAUUGAGCCUAAAACUGUUGAAGAAGCUCUCUCAGAUGAUGGAUGGAUAUUAGCUAUGCAAGAAGAGCUAAAUCAAUUCCAAAGGAAUGACGUGUGGGAUCUGGUACCCAAACCUUUUCAGAAGAACAUUAUUGGAACAAAAUGGGUAUUCAGAAACAAGCUGAAUGAACAAGGAGAAGUAACCAGAAACAAAGCCAGACUUGUUGCUCAAGGCUACAGUCAACAAGAAGGCAUUGAUUACACUGAAACAUUUGCUCCAGUUGCAAAAUUGGAAGCAAUCAGGUUACUUCUAUCCUACGCAAUUAAUCAUGGCAUAAUAUUAUAUCAAAUGGAUGUCAAAAGUGCCUUUCUUAAUGGAGUCAUUGAAGAAGAAGUGUAUGUUAAACAACCUCCUGGGUUUGAGGAUCUUAAGCAUCCUGACCAUGUUUAUAAACUUAAGAAAUCACUAUAUGGCUUGAAACAAGCUCCCAGAGCUUGGUAUGAUAGACUAAGUAAUUUCUUAAUUAAAAAUGAUUUUGAAAGAGGACAAGUUGACACAACACUCUUCAGAAGGACUCUUAAGAAAGAUAUUUUGAUUGUGCAAAUAUAUGUUGAUGAUAUAAUAUUUGGUUCUACUAAUGCAUCUCUUUGCAAAGAAUUUUCUAAGUUAAUGCAGGAUGAAUUUGAAAUGAGUAUGAUGGGAGAAUUGAAAUUCUUUCUGGGAAUUCAAAUCAACCAAAGUAAAGAAGGAGUAUAUGUUCAUCAAACAAAAUAUACAAAGGAGCUUCUGAAGAAGUUCAAGCUAGAAGAUUGUAAAGUGAUGAACACUCCAAUGCAUCCAACCUGCACCUUAAGCAAAGAAGAUACUGGAACAGUAGUAGACCAGAAGCUUUACAGAGGUAUGAUUGGUUCUCUGUUAUACCUCACUGCAUCUAGACCUGAUAUUUUAUUCAGUGUAUGCUUGUGUGCAAGAUUUCAAUCAGAUCCUAGAGAAUCUCAUUUAACUGCAGUUAAGAGAAUCUUCAGGUAUCUGAAAGGAACAACUAAUCUUGGACUCCUGUAUAGGAAAUCCCUAGAUUAUAAGUUGAUUGGAUUCUGUGAUGCUGAUUAUGCUGGUGAUAGGAUUGAAAGAAAAUCAACCAGUGGAAAUUGUCAAUUCCUGGGAGAGAAUCUGAUAUCCUGGGCAAGCAAAAGACAAGCAACUAUUGCUAUGUCUACAGCAGAAGCAGAGUACAUUUCAGCUGCAAGUUGUUGCACACAACUGCUUUGGAUGAAACAUCAGUUGGAAGACUAUCAGAUCAAUGCUAACAGUAUUCCCAUUUAUUGUGAUAAUACUGCUGCUAUUUGUUUGUCAAAGAAUCCAAUUCUACAUUCAAGAGCCAAGCAUAUUGAAAUCAAACACCAUUUUAUCAGAGACUAUGUUCAAAAAGGAAUUUUAGAUAUACAAUUCAUUGAUACUGAACAUCAAUGGGCUGACAUAUUUACAAAACCUUUGUCUGUUGAAAGAUUUGAUUUUAUUAAGAAAAAUUUGAACAUGCAUUUUGGGUCUGAUUGAAAAAUUGCUUGCCUCUGAAUAAGAAGUUUGGUUCUGAAGUUUAUUCAGAAGCAUUUUGGUUCAUCAGAAGCUCUUAAUUGAGGUUCUGAGGAAAAUGUGCUUCUGAAGAUGACGUCAGCGCUAAAACUUCAGAAGUGUUAUUCUUUGCUUCUGAAUAGCUUGGUUAGUGGGAACGUUGGAAGUUACUUUAUGUAACAGCUGUCUCAUUACCCAAAAGGUAGUUUUCUGAAGAGUCUCUGACGUGGUUUAUUUGUAUUGGAGUAUAACAAAAAGGGCAAUGAUGUUUUUAUUCGCUUUUUAACGUACUUACACGCGCCCCCAAUUUGUCAUUAAUGCUGUGUUUGUCUGUCCCCUCUGAAUUACAAACGUUUUAAUAAAAACACUAAGUCAUUUCACACACUUCUCACUUCACAACAAACACUUUCUAUUUUCUUCUCAACCCUCUGCGAAAGUAAGCGCAUUCUCUCAUCCUCUCAAAAACUCCUUAGAACCCUAAAACCACUUCAUAUCAAUGGCUUCUUCAAGUUCUGCAUCUGGUUCAUCAUCAAACGAACAACAAGGAGAAGCUCCUGCUUAUGAGAUAAAGGGAAGAACCAUGUCCUUGGAGGAAUGGGAAUUAAACAUUCAAUCAGAAAGUCCGGUGGAUUUUGAUUCUUUGGCCGCUCACGACUGUGACAUUGGCAAGUACUACGAGAAACAAGGUCUGGGAAGGUACUUCAAUCUUCUAAAUGGACCAACUUAUCAAACACUGGUUCGUCAUUUCUGGGUUAGAGCCAGCAUCUACGACAGGGAAGCCGCCAAGAUUGAAGAAGAUGAAAAAGUUCUUCUCAAUCCUGAACUCAAAGGGAAGUCUAGAGCGGAAAUGGGCUUGGAAACUUUCUCCAAAACCCAGAUAAGAUCAAGCAUCAUGGGAAUCCGUGUCUGGAUCACUGAGGACACUAUUGCCUUUGUCAUCAGAAGACCAGCAGAAGGAGAACAUGAGGCUGGGAUUUCAAAGCCAAAGGACAGCCCCUGGAAUGCUAUUGUUAACAAAACUCUCUACAACAAGGUAAAGGACUUUGCCUAUUCUGACAUGAACACCAAGACAAAGGUUAUGUUGAAGAUUCAGAACGAAAACCUACUACCAAAAGGUGGUGGUGGUGAUCAGCCCUCUCUGGAACAUAAAAUCCUCUUACACUUUGUCAUAAAGGGUGUAGAGGCAAAUAUUCCCAGAUACAUAUUCAGACAUAUGGUUCAUCAACUCAGAGAGAGUCAACUGAAUAAAAGGUCUUGGGUACCCUAUGGAAGACUACUCUCUGAGAUUUUCCAUCAGGGAGUGUUAUCAUGGUUUUUGGGUGCCAAGCCAUUAAUUGGACUUGAACCUUUCGACCGUUGAUAUCUCUCUUUUUUCUUGGGAAGGGAAAAAUUGAGAAAAAAACCCUUAGAUUCUAAGUUCGGGGGUCGGUUUUACUACGGGAAGGUGUUAGGCACCCGGAGUAACUAUAGUCCUCUAUAGGAGCCGUUUUCCUAAGUCUAUAUUCACGCUUAUUUUUACUUACUUUUGAAAAUGGGAGGUUUAUUUAGUUAAGAAUGGGGGUGAGAAGAAGUAGAAUUUUGAUUUUAUUUUGGCUUGGAUGAGUUUUGACUCAUUGCCUACGUACCCUUUUAAGGGAUCAAAACCGUUCGUAGUUCUUGCUAAAAAACUUGUUUUUGUUCUAAUUGUUUGAUUUUAAGUUUUGAAAAUGGUUUUGAAGAAGGAGAUUGGGAGGCUUCAUGAGCAUUAGAUUUAGCAAAAAAGUGAGGUUUGAUUAGUGAUUAGAAAGAAAGUCUAAAUGGUUAAGAUGAAUUGAAUUUUCCUUAAGAAAAAGAAAAGAAAAAAAAUGAAGUGUUGACUUCAUAUUUAUUAUGAAAUUUUUUGAAGUGAAGUUCAAUUGUUUUUUUGGAAAAAGAUGGAUUUUCUCUAAGUGUUUAAAACCUAAACGCUUAUUUAACCAUACAAUCCUAUGCAUACAUCUAAGGUGAGUGUGUGCGUGUCGGUGCGCCAUAGUGUCCAUAGUCCAUAUUACAACAUUUCCUAAAUACAUUCUAUGGCCUCUUUGCCAAGCUACAAACCAAUGAUAACAAAUUACAUCACUAAAUGAAUCAAAACUUGCAAAAAAAAAUAAAUGCUAGACUAAAGAGGGUGGAGAGUGGAGAGGGUGGUGGAAUGCUUAUGAAAUGUAUGGCACAUGAGAUGAAAUGGUUAGUAAUCAUAAAGCACAAAAUAGUAGGAAAUAAUCAAAAGGAAAUGUAUAAGAAUGGCAAAGGAAAGGUAAUAAAGUGGCAAUAAACCUAAAACUUUUGAUGUGAUACCUAAAGGUGCUUGUAACCCAUAAUCAUCACAUCAUGGCAAUUUUGAAAGAAAUUUUGUUUCAAGCCAUGACAUGAAAUUAGUGGAAGUACAUGCAAGCAAAGUAUCACACCAAACAUAAAGAAAUUUACCACUUUAUUCCUAAAAAUAAACGCUUAUUACUUGUAAAACAAGAAAUCCAUAAAAUCACAUCCAAACACAGCAAAAAUAAACACAAUUCCAGAGGCAUAUUCAUCACCAUAUUAGGCAUCAUUUAUCCAUGUCAUACUAUCAAAAUGUCAAGAACAAAACAUAGCAAAAUGCAUACAAAAAACAUAAAAACACAUGGAAUUAGUUCACACCAUUUUAACAUCUUUUUUACAUGCAAAGAUACCCUAAAAAUACCAAGAAUAUAUCAAGAAACCACUAGGAUUUUUUUAGAAAUUUUGUAAACAAAAAUGAGCAGGCCACAGGUGCAGAUAGCAAAGAAAAUGGUGUAAAUAGCAUACAAAAGCAAGCAAAAAAAACGUAAAACCUUAAGCCCAAACCAAAACCCAAUACAGACUGGGCCUGGAUCAUCCAAAGGCCUUAGAGGCGUUGGAUUGAUCCAAACCUAGAUCUGACGGUUCAAAACACGCAGCGCAUGGUAACACAGAUCAAACACGUGGGAGCAAACGCAUCACAGCCAUUCAAAAGAGAAACCCUAGAUCCUACGGUCCAAAAAGGAAACCAAAGUGAACCGGACCGGUCCAGGUGUCUAUAUAAACGUAAGGACACCGGUCCAGCUCACUUUGCUCACCUCUUUCUCUCUCUAAGCUCUUCUCUCCUCUCAGUCCUCUCUCUUCUCUCCAGAAAACCACCACCGGAGGUGAUGAAGCUACGGCGGAGACCUUGAAGGUCCGCCGGAAACUUCAUCUUCUCCGGCGAGACUUAUGAACUUCCGGUGACCUAAAUUUCCAGAUUUCAAAGAUUCUUACUCCUUUUGAUUCGUCCUUUAACCCUAAACACGAAUCCAGCAACUAUUUUUUCAAAUACGGUUCGAAACGACGUAGAUCUUGAAGGAACUUUGUACGGUUUUGAAAUGAUUUUUGAUUUUUGAACAAAAACGUUUAGAUUCUUACAUCGUUUCGUUGUUUGAUUGAUUUUCUGGUAUGCGUUCUUGCUUUCAAAACUUAGAUCCUUAUGGAUCUAGGUUUUGUGUUUACGGUUACGGCUUUGGCUUUGAAUUCUGGAAAUCUUUGGAUUCGGUUUGUUUUUUACUUCACUGAUUCAUGCUUUUUUUUUAAAGAAAAUGAUGUUGAAGUUAUGCUUUUACCUGUGAUUUCAAUUGGAGGUGCUGAUGAAGAUUUCUUCGGAAAACUUCAGAUGCGUUUCUAUUGAUUCUUGCUGCUUUGAACCGAAAAUAAAUCGGUGUUCUUCUUUCUCACUGAUUCUUCGUGAUUUUGGCUGGAAACUUCAUCUUCUUUCUCUGCUUCUUUCUCACUGAUUCUUCUUUGUGAUCGGUGCUGGAGUUUGCUGCUGCUGCAGCGAGCUCGUGCCUUGAAUUGCAAAGAAGAUGAUUCGAUGAUGAUGAUUCCUUAGGAAUCUCUGAGAAUCAAUGGAAAAUCCAAUGAAUUUUGAUGAUUUUUUGGUCUUCUGGAAAUCUAGGGUUUGGAUUUUGUUCUUGCUUGUUCUUGGAGAAUUUCUGUUUUUGAUCUGUAACUGAAUGGAGAGAGAAAAGAAAUCUGUUUGUGAUGAAUUUCUGACUUUUUGACUGUGCAUUGAAUGCGCCUUUUAUAGGCUGCCAUGUGUGCAUUGGGACCAAUAGGAAAUCGACAUGUGGCAUUGGACUUAAAAUGGACUUUGGACCUUUCUGCAAUUUUGUAAAAUAUGGGACUGGACUGCAAUUUUAAAAACAGAACUAAAAAAAAUAAAAAAAUAAAAAUUGGACAGUUUGGACUUAAAUGCAAUUUUAAAAAGUUGAAGGAUUAAAAUGCAAAGUAAAAAUAAAAAAUGAAUUAAAAUAUGUAAUUUGACUAAACGUAAAGCGAAAUAGAAAUAAAAAUAAAAUCGACAAAACGGACUAAAACGAACCAAUGGCCUAAAUGAGGUACUUCAAAGUAACCUCCCUAUGUCAAAAUUUUGUGUGAAAUGACCAAAAUGCCCCUAGGGCUAAAACGACCUAAACAGAUUCAAAUUGAUCUGACACUGACUCAGACGCAAAUUUAAAAUGAACUUAAUCAAGAUUUACUAAUGAAAAUGCAAAAACAAUCUGAAAAGACUCAGAGACAGUCACAAGGAUGAAAAUGGGUCCCACUGCAGGAAAUGACCAAAAUACCCUUCUGUAUGACUUUUUGCAAAUUUUGAAAUAAACUGUAGAAAAAGCAAUGCAAUGAUUCAGAGACACUUCUGAAUGACUUACAAGACAAGUAAAGACACUUCAAAAGGUUUUAUGCAAGAAAAACAUAAGUAAAAUUGUGAUUGGAAAUACUGCGAGGCAGAGACAAUUUGAACUUUGCAGUUGAAAUCUGAUAAUUGACAAAGUUUGAAAUGAAAUUGGGCCCAGUAUUUUUAGGUCCAAAAACAGGGUAUAACAGCUGCCCCUAUUUAAGUUUCUUUGUCUGGAGAGUCAAGAGACGGAGUCUUUGGCUUGACAGGACGAAGAUACUUAAAUAUUAGCAUUUGCACUGUGUUUGGACGUAAAAAUACGCCUACCCAUUUUCAAAUAAUAUGCAUGCCAUGCAUCAUUUGGAUUAUGAAUGCAAGACCUCAUGGGGAUUGGAAUUAACAAAAUAUGUCGUAUCCAUUGCAGGAUUGGUAGACAUUGACAAAGAUAGUGAAUAGCAGAGUAACGGGAAACUAGAAACAAAUUGGACAGGUACAAGCUGUUCUUGGAUUCAAACUAGCCACUUGACCGGGGAUGAAACAAACAGACAACUGCGAGUUGUUCUUAUGGAUUCGAACUGGUCACUUCACAGGGGAUAGAGGUUACUGGACAAACAUGAGUUGUUCUUAUGAAUUCGAACUGGUGACUCACUUGGGGAUAUUGGAAAGUGCGAGUUGUUCUUACGGAUUCGAACUGGUGACUCGACUGAAAGCAAGGCAAAUAGACAGGUGCGAGCUUGUUCUUGGAUGCGAACUGGUUACUCCACCGGACAGAAACAGAUAGACAGGUACAAGCUGCUCUUGGAUUGAGCUAGUCACUUGACCAAACGGAAACAUAUAGACAGGUACAAGCUGCUCUUGGAUUGAGCUGGGCACUCGACCGAUAACAUUGAAAAGUAAAAGGGUACAAGUCGUUCUUGGAUGCGAACUAGUAACUUGACCAAACAGAAACACAUUCACUGGGGAUUGGUUUGUUGACAAAAUAUAGAUUGAGGUUGACUUGACGUCGAUUUGAAUUGAAAGGCAGAAAUUGACCGAUAUUAUUGGCUCACAAGGUUUUGACAGAGAACCUGACAUGAGUAUUGAAUUGAGACUGAUGUUGACAUUGGAAAUGCAAUAUGCAUGGAUGAUAUAACAAUUUCAUUAAAUGCAUGGGCACGUAAUAUGCAUGAUUAUGCAUGUAUGAAUGCUUGUAAUGCAUGACCGUUGGCAUUUUGUAGGCACGACUUCACGGGGAAGACAAGACAUUAGAGUAUUGGGCACGUAGUGGCUCGUGCUAUAUUACACAUUCUUGGAAAUCCUCUUUGGGGAUGACGUCGUUGGGAGACGUAUCGGAACCAUGGCUGAGGGCAGGUAGCUAUGCAUCUUGCUGGGGAUAGAAUCUUGGAAGACCCGACUGGGGAAAACGCCGUUGUGCUGGGCAUUUCAGCGCUGGGUAUGUUGUAGACAUUGCAUCUGUGGUCAAUGCUUUUGCAUGUUAUAUUCUCAUUUUCAUUCAUCAUUUUUUGCAUCCCAUUUUUGCCUGGAUCGCCCUUUCGGGUUUUCGGUCCACCGGGGAAAUAAAUUCUUUUCAAUGCCCCAUUUUUGCCUGAACUGCCCUUUCGGGUUGUCAAUCCAGCGGGGUGCUCAUUUUUGCCUAAGCCGCCCUUUCGGGUUUUCAACUUAGCGAGCUCAUUUAUUUUCAUGCAUUUUCAUUCUGUUUUUUCAUUCUUGCCAUUGACCACAGAUUAUCUUGGAGGAGAACCUGCUGGUAACAUAUAUUGAAAUAGACACCAACAUACUCUCGCUCAUGCAUGUUUCAUUUGAAUGUACCCUGUUGCUCAGGUUUGCUUUUCAAAAUAGACAAAAGGUUUUCAAUUUUCAAAAUGUUUGUUUCAAGUAUUGUCAUUAUCAAGAAAGAAAAUGUUUUGUAUAUAGCUUUGAAAGUAGAAGAAAAUAGAAUUUCAAACAAAAGCACAAGCUCAAAUUGAUGUAUAAGAGUGGUGGUCAGCCAAAGGCGUGACUCCACGGAUUCACAAAGCUUGGAAAAUGGUAAUUUUAUUGGUUGGUGAUACAUUGAACACAGUAAUCAUGACAUUUCCUAGAAACUUUGAAUUCGCAAGCAUAGGAGCUUUUGAUGAAGAUGGUCAUUAACAGCUGCAGAUGCCCCAAGGGGACGGUGGUUAGCCAGAUAUAGUUACUUGCCUUUUGCUUCAAUCUCAUUUUUGCAUGAACCGCCCUUCCGGGUUUUCGGCUCAUCGAGACGCUCAUUCUUGCCUGAUUUGCGUACAAUCUCAGCGAGCUUUUCAUGUUUGUUUUUUUUGUCCCUUAUUUUUGCCUGGACCGCCCUUUCGGGUUUUCGAUCCACCGGGAAGCGCAUUUUUGCCUAGGCCGCCCUUUCGGGUUUUCGACCUACCACGCUGUUCUUUUCAUAUUUCUAGGCAAAGUAUUUCUUGACUAUAUCGGCAUUCACUGGAUUUGGAAGUUCUACACCAUCCAUGUGUGUAAGGAUUAAAGCACCACCGGAGAAGGCCUUCUUGACAACAUAAGGACCUUCAUAGUUAGGCGUCCACUUGCCCCUUGGGUCGAGUUGCUGGCUUAUCCUCCUUUUCAAUACAAGUUCCCCUACCUUGAAUUCUCGAGGAUGGACUUUCUUGUCAAAGGCAGUCUUCAUUCUUGCUUGAUAUGACUGUCCACGAGCCAUGGCAUCCAUACGUUUUUCCUCAAUCAAAUUCAACUGAUCAUACCGGCUUUGGCACCAUUCAGCCUCGGAUAACUUUGCUUCCAUGAUCACACGGAGAGAUGGGAUCUCCACUUCCAAAGGAAGAACUGCUUCCAUACCAUAUACAAGAGAGAAAGGAGUUGCCCCGGUUGAACUGCGCACGGUAGUGCGGUAGCCAUGCAGAGCAUAGGGUAACAUCUCAUGCCAGUCCUUGUAAGUAGUUACCAUCUUCUGGACGAUUCUCUUGAUAUUCUUGUUGGCGGCCUCAACUGCACCAUUCAUCUGAGGUCUAUAAGGAGAAGAGUUAUGAUGCUCAAUUUUGAAUUCUUCACAAAGAGCUUGCACCACAUUGUUGUUCAGGUUGGUACCGUUGUCGGUAAUAAUCUUGCUAGGAACACCAUAUCGACAGAUGAUGUUGUUCUUGAUGAACUUAGCUACCACUUGCUUGGUCACAUUGGUAUAAGAUGCUGCUUCAACCCAUUUGGUAAAGUAGUCAAUUGCCACUAAGAUGAAACGGUGACCAUUUGAAGCUUUCGGUUCAAUUCUUCCAAUCAUGUCGAUGCCCCACAUUGAGAACGGCCACGGGGAUGACAUAACAUUGAGAGCGUGCGGAGGCACAUGAAUCUUAUCAGCAUAGAUUUGACAUUUGUGGCAUUUUCUGGCGUACUGGUAGCAAUCAUGCUCCAUGGCCAUCCAGUAGUAACCUGCUCGUAGCAACUUUCUUGACAUAGUAUGUCCUGUAGCAUGGGUCCCGAAGGUACCGUCAUGUACAUCAUGCAUUAACUGCUCUGCUUCAUGUUCAUCAACACAUCUUAAUAAUACCAUGUCAUAGUUCCUCUUGUACAGAAUAUCUCCGUCUAACAGGAAUCUACUGGCCAAUCUUCUCAGGGUCUUCUUAUCUUGUUUGGAAGCACCCGACGGAUACUCACGGCUCAGCAAGAACUGUUUGAUGUCGUAGUACCAGGGUCUAUAGUCAACCACAUUCUCACCAGCCUGAUCGAUCACAUCCCCAAUAGCAAACACAUGCGAAGGUCUUUCAAGGCGUUGCACUUUGAUUAAUGGCACAUCAUUCCAAUGGUUUACUCGAAACAUGGAGGAUAGAGUAGCAAGAGCAUCAGCCAUUUGGUUCUCAUCACGAGGAAUAUGGUGCAGCUCAACCUUUGUAAAAUAUGUCAGCAAACGUCUCGCAUAAUCACGAUAAGGAAUCAAAUUAGCAUGGUGGGUCUCCCAUUCACCCUUUAUCUGAUUGAUGACGAGCGCAGAAUCUCCAUAGAUGUCGAGGUGUUUGAUUCUCAUGUCAAUUGCUUCCUCGAUCCCAAAGAUACAUGCUUCAUACUCCGCCAUAUUGUUGGUACAUUCGAACAAGAUUCUGGCGGUAAAAGGAAUGUGAUGCCCCUGCGGGGAUACAAUGACUGCCCCAAUUCCCUUGCCAUAAGCAUUGACAGCACCGUCAAAGACUAAACCCCACUUGCUAUUGGGAUCUGGACCUUCAUUAAUCAACGGUUCUUCGCAGUCUUUGGAUUUCAAAUACAUGAUCUCUUCAUCAGGGAAGUCGAAUUCAAUUGGUUGGUAAUCGUCAAGAGGUUGAUAAGCAAGGUGAUCGGCAAGAAUGCUGCCUUUGAUUGCCUUUUGAGUUUUGAACACAAUAUCAUAUUCAGACAAAAGCAUCUGCCAGCGUGCGAUCUUCCCAGUAACGGCCGCUUUCUCAAAGAUAUACUUUAUCGGGUCCAUUCUGGAUAUCAGCCAAGUCGUAUGAUUCACCAAAUAAUGACGCAGGCGUUUGGCAGCCCAAGCUAGAGCACAACAAGUCUUUUCAAGCAUUGUAUACCGAGUUUCACAAUCGGUGAACUUCUUGCUUAAAUAGUAGAUAGCAUGCUCUUUCUUUCCGGUUUCAUCUUGUUGACCAAGCACGCAUCCCAUGGAUUCAUCAAAUACUGCUAAAUACAUGAUCAAAGGCCUUCCUUCCACGGGUGGGACAAGGAUAGGUGGUUCCAGCAGGUAAUUCUUGAUGCUAUCAAAAGCUUCUUGGCAUUCAUCAUUCCAUACAACAGGCUGGUUCUUUCUAAGUAGCUUGAAGAUCGGCCCGCAGGUUGCAGUCAUAUGAGAUAUGAAUCGGGAGAUGUAAUUCAAACGUCCCAAGAAACCUCUGACUUGCUUCUCUGUCCGUGGAGCUGGCAUUUCUCGGAUGGCCCGGACUUUAUCAGGGUCGACUUCAAUGCCCUUUUGGCUGACAAUGAAGCCUAAUAACUUUCCGGACCUGACACCGAAUGUACAUUUGUUGGGAUUCAAUCGCAGCUGGUAUUUUCUCAACCUUUCAAACAUCUUUGUUAAAUAUUCAACAUGCUGCUCCUCAUCUGCUGACUUCACAAUCAUGUCAUCCACAUAUACCUCAACUUCUUUGUGAAUCAUGUCAUGAAACAGAGUGGUCAUUCCCCUUUGGUAGGUAGCACCAGCAUUGAUUAGGCCGAACGGCAUCACCUUGUAGCAGAAAGUACCCCAUGGAGUGAUAAAAGAUGUCUUUUCUCUAUCUUCAGGAGACAUCUUGAUUUGAUUAUAACCGGAAAAACCGUCCAUGAAGGAGAACACCUUAGAUUGAGCAGUAUUAUCAACAAGCACAUCAAUAUGAGGUAAUGGAAAGUUGUCUUUUGGACUGGCCUUGUUCAGGUCUCUGAAGUCAACACACAUCCGGACUUUACCAUCCUUCUUUGGCACGGGCACAAUAUUGGCAACCCAUUCGGGAUACUCAACUGUCAUGAGGAAACCCGCAUCAAUCUGCUUUUGAACUUCAUUCUUGAUCUUGAGAGCCAUAUCAGGAUGAGUCCUUCUCAAUUUCUGCCUGACGGGAGGACAUUCAGGCUUGGUAGGGAUCCGAUGCUCCACGAUCAUAGGGUCUAGACCUGGCAUAUCUUCAUAGGACCAUGCAAAAAUAUCCGGAUAUUCCCGGAGGAGUUGGAUAAUCUUCUGCUUAACCCCUUCCUCUAGAGUAGCACCAAUCUUGAUUUCUUGCUUAUUUUCCUCGGUACCUAUGUUGAUAAGCUCAAUUUCUUCCUGGUGAGGCUGAAUGGCUUUCUUUUCUUGCUCAAGUAACCGAGUAAUCUCAUAUGGUAUACCAUCACCUUCCUCAUCUUCGGCUUCAUACACAGGGAAUUCAAAAUUUGGAGGAACCGUAGGAUUACUGUGUUCAACGGGUUUAUUAUGGUUCAACCUGCAUAUAAUGAUUGGAUGAUUUUAGAAAGAGUUUUUUUUUUUUCAUGCAGAUUUUUGAAAUUAAUAAGAAAAUACAGACAUUUUGGUUUUUUCUGGCAUUACCAUUGUUUCCAAGGGAAAAAGCACUAAAAAAAAAAAAUAGUCGUGGAAGAAACGACAAAAUUUUAUUAAUCAACGGCAAUGCCGAAACAAACAUGCCCUUACAGAAAAUAUCACUCUCGCUUUGGGCAGAGCGAGAGGAUUGUUAUUUUUGAAAACAAAGCAUUAAAGCAACAAGACACAUUACUCAGAAACAUGCAUUAUUGAAGGAAUGUCAAUGGCAUCCCAAUCUCUCGCAAUGCCUCCUGGUGUAACAAAUACAGGCCUGAGACCAGAUCCAGUGGCUUCUUCAGAGAUAGCAUUAACAAACCCAGCACUGUGGAAGACUCCCGAGGAAACUCUUGAUGACGGGGAGAACCCGAGACCUUCUUUACGCUUGUUCUCACAGAGCUGUAUCACCUUGCCCCAGCCGGCAGUCUGACCUUCUUGAAUGGCUCUCUGAGCAUCCUUCAAUGAAGCCAUAGCAGCCCCAGCUUCCUUAGACUCUGCACCUUCAAUGGUCAAACCUUGGAAAGCAGUUCCUUCAGCAGACCCUGCUUCAAUACAAGAAAAAGAAGACAAUUGGCUGACUAAGUAUGCUUCUUCACCAUGGAUUGUAACGAGUUUUCCAUUCUUCACAAAUUUCAACUUCUGAUGUAAGGUGGAAGUAACUGCACCUGCAUCGUGUAUCCACGGUCUUCCCAGCAGGCAACUGUAGGAUGCAUUAAUGUCCAUCACUUGGAAGGUAACCAAGAAAUUCUCAGGGCCAAUGGUUAUCGGCAAGUCUAUCUCUCCCAGCACAUUCUUUCGAGAUCCAUCAAAAGCUUUGACCAAGAAAGUACUUCUUCUCAACGGGGUCCCACGGUAGCUCAACUGAUCUAGAGUUGUCUUGGGCAUUACAUUGAGAGAGGAACCGGUAUCUACCAACACAUUUGAUAUCAUGUCUGAUUUACAGUUCACCGAGAUGUGCAAAGCCAGAUUGUGACUCUUUCCCACUUCCGGCAGCUCUUCUUCACUAAACCAGAGAUUGUUACAAGCAGUAAUAUUUCCCACUAUGCCACCGAAACGAUCUACCGUAACUUCGUGGUCAACAUAUGCCUGCUCCAGCACUUUCAACAAGGUAUUCCUGUGAGCCUCGGAGCUCAAGAGCAAUGACAAUACAGAUAUCUUCGAAGGAGUCUGCAGCAACUGAUCAACGAUCUUGUAGUCGCUCCUCUUUAUUAUCCUCAAAAUCUCAUCUAAAUUUGAAUCCUCUAUAGAUUUGCCUGACUGGUUCACAUCUGUAGCAAUGGGUGAAACAACGGUUGGAGUUGCUUCUUCAACUGGCGGAAUGGUCGGUGUAGCCACUUUCUUCUGAAAUAAUGGCGGACGAACCUUCCCGCUUCUCAGCGCUGCAGAAGUCCCUUCGGCAAUAUUGCUUACUGUGGCAAAGGAGGCUAGAGGCACCUCUACUCCAUUUUCUAUCAUAGUAGCAUUGUACUUGUAUGGAACAGCCUUAUCCGAAACAUAAGGAAUUGGUCCUGGCAACCUUAUCACCAAAGGCUCAGCAUUCUUCUUCAAAGGUGUACUCUUGACAGGCGGAUCGUGAAAAACUGGCACGACCACGCAAACAUCACUGACAGUCAGAAGAUUAUCAUCCAUCAAGCUUUGGAUGUCGUCUCGAACAGCAUGGCAACCUAAAGGAUCACGGAGGCAUCCUAGACACUUGGCAUGCUCAUGGCUGAACAGGGAAGCUUUGCACAGCUUGAUGUGCAGAGGCACCAGAGGAGUUGCGACGUUGCGGACAUCAAGUCUAGGAGCUUCCUCACACACUUCGAUCAUAUUCACAGCGGCAUGAUUUGGUAGCGGAUUGUCAAGGACAUGUGGAACAUUAUUCUCAAAAGUCAGCUUCCCUUGAUCGAUGAGCUUCUUCACGAUAUACUUCAAAGCAUAACACCCCUCGACAUCAUGACCUAGGGCACCUUGAUGAAAGUCACAUUUGAGAUCAGACCUGAACCUUGGAGGCAACGGAUCAGGUGGAGGCUUGCCCUGUCUAGUUGUACAAUGCCCUCUCUGGAGUAAAGUUGGAAGCAACUCAGCAUAUAACAUCGGUAUCGGAGGGAAAGUAGGCCUAGCUUGCUGAUUUUGUUGUUGUUGUUGAACCGGCAUCUGUUGUUUCAUCUGUUGGGCAAUCGCAUUGACGGGCACUUGAGGCUGGCCCGGCGGCAAAGGGUACUGAUGAUAAAACGGUGGGAAGAACGGAUGCUGAGAAUACGGCAUAUAUGGGUAUGACGGAGGCAUUUGAGCUGCAUUGAUAGGAGCAACAGUAGCCAUUGAUUGACCUGCUCCAGCUGACACCAUCCCCACUUCAGUUUCUUUCUUCUUGUGGUGUCCAUUACCAUACCUCUUCGACGCACUUGCAGAAGAUUCAGCUUUCUCAAACACAAUAAUUCCAUCCCUGACGGCUUCCUCAAGACGGGUUCCCAUAGUGACCAUCUCCGAAAAGUUGUUCGGGGCAGCGAUGAUCAUCCUCUCAACAUAAUCUUUCUUCAACGUCUUUAAGAACGUCUGGGUCAUUUCUUCUUCAUCUAAAGCAGGGGUGAUACGGGCAGCCGCCCCUCUCCACCUUUGCGCAUAUUCACGGAAGCUUUCCUCCUUCUUCUGAGAUAGGGACCUGAGAAACUCCCUAUUUGGCUUCAGUCGAGUGUUAAACCCGUAGUGGCUCUUGAAAGCGGUGGCUAACUCAUCAAAGGUAUGGAUGUCAUUCUUACUCAAACUAGUAUACCACUCUGCGGCAUCCUCCAUCAGACUAUCCUGAAAACAGUGGAUCAUAAGGGAAUCAUUGUCUUUGUAAUUGCCCAUCUUCCGGACGUAUUUGAUGAUGUGAUUUUGAGGACAAGUUAGCCCGUUGUACCGGUCGAAGUCCGGAAUCUUGAACUUUUUAGGAACAUCCACUUUUGACACUAAGCAAAGGUCUUGAGUUUUGACAGAGUCUGCAUUCCCUCGAUUGGCCUGGAUCUCGUGACGGAGUUCUUUAGCAAGUUCCUCCAUCAUCUCUUCCAUAGUCUUGGUUACGGGGAUGCUUCUGUGCUGUGUGUUGAUGUUAAUACUUUGAGGCAGAGUAUGUAUCAGUGACUCAGUGACAGCAGCUGUUGUUUGUGGCAAAGUAGCAUUGAUAGAGGCAGCAUUUGUUGCAGGGAUCAGAACAUUGUUAGCAGUGCCCGAGGUGCUUGCUGUAGCAACGGGAGUGAAGAACGGUGGAAGCCCAUACGGAAACCCUACUGGCAUAGUAAAGCGGUUGUCCGCAGAAGUGGUAGGGAGCACGCUUGUAGUCACCUGUGCAGCUGUGGUUGUAGGGAUAGCUGUAGCUGAUUGCUCUUGAGCAGCUAGUAGAGCAGUCAUGACGUCAUUAGCUUUAGCCAAUUCCUCCUUUAGAGAGGCUAACUCGGUGCGAAGCUGAGCGUUCUCUUCUUCCAUAGCCCUUUUCUUUCUUCUGUAUUCUCUGGUUCGAUCAAUUCUAUCUGGUUCGUAAACUCUCUGAGCACGAGCCACUUUUCACACUGCGGCAGAGGAACCAGGAGAUAGUGAGCACUUGGAAGCCUUUGUGACCAAUGCAUGAUGCAUAUGAUGCAUGAUAUGCAAAUGCGAAUGCAAAAGACUUAUUUUUUCAUCGAAGGAUUUUAAAACAAAUUAGAAAUCUUGCAAAUAAUCAAAACUACAUAGUAUCUUUAACAGGAAGACUUUGAAAUUUCAACAAGAUGAACACAUGAAGCUCUCAAGCAUAGGAAGUAGUCGGAGGAUCAUCGGACUCGGAAUCUGAAUCACAGUAUCUGUCAAAGAAAUCUCGUCGUCCUCGAGCUCUCUUGGAAUCCCUCAUAAGCAGCUCGUCUUUCUCUUCCAAUUCCCUCCGGGCCUUAGCUAGCUCUUUCUUCAACAUUAGAUUCUCAUGAGUCUUCUGCUCAUCUCUACCAUCCAAAGUCAUGAUUAGAUUUUCGGCUUGAUUGUACCGAGCUUUCCACACUUGCUUCUCACGACUCUCCAUGGCUAGAUGCUCCUGAUACAUAUCCUGAGUCGCAGGGAGCAAAGGUAGAGGCAUAGAUGGAGUGGAUGAAGAUACGUAUCUCAUAGCUGGAUAAGGCAUACCAAUCUCCUCAGCUCGAUCUAUCACCCACUGAGUAUAGGCCUCAUGAGCGACACCGGAUCUCACACCUAGAUGCUUCACACUCUUCCUUCGAACCUUGGACCAAGCAUCCAUGAAAGCUUUCCUUUGUCCGGUAGGAGCAUUCGCAUAGAAGAAGAACUCUGGAGAUGUAGCAAGAUUGAUGGGCUUCGACUUCAUAGGAAAACCAAACUGUCUCAUAGCAAGCUCGGGAUUGUAGUUGAUUCCUCCACGAGUACCAAGAAGAGGUACAUUGAGAAAGUCUCCACAACCCAUGAUAAUCUCCUUCACCUGAGCGGCCGGAGCGAGCCAGACGACCUCGUCAGGAGUGAGGGCCAUAAUCCGCUGCGAGUAGGACCAAUUCUCCGAGUUGUCAUGGAAGGAACUCGGAAGGUGCGAAAUAAACCACCUAUACAAAAGAGAUGUGCAGCAAAGAAUAUACCCACGGCCCUUGAGAGUCCUGUCAUGAAUGGCGUGGUAGGUAUCUGCUAGCAAAGUAGGGACCGGGUUCUUGGAAUGAAAGAUCUCGAUAGCAUUCAUGUCCACGAAGUUGUCGAGGUUCGGGAAGAGAAUGAGCCCGUAGAUAAGCAAAGCAAGAAUAGCCUCGAGUGUGUCCUGACGAGUAGUACCGAGAUUGGCCUGAUCAAGAAGAUACUUCGAAGUGAACCCCCGGAUGUGAGACUUGGUGAUAAGAUGGUUGGAGACGUCGGAAGUCUUGAGGUAGAGAUCCUUAGCAAUAACCAGAGGAGUAAGAGGAGUUCCGGGACCGGUGAAAGGUGUCUUCUCGGCUAUAGGUAAACCCACUAGAUUGGAGUAAGCCUCGAGAGUAGGAACCAACUGGAAGUCCGGGAAAGUGAAGCAACGAAAGCUCGGAUCAUAAAAUUGCACUAGAGUGUGCACUAGCUUCUCGUCCACAUCGGUUCGGAGCAAAGUAAGCAAUCCCCCAUACCGGAGUCGGAACCCUGUUUGACUCUUGACCUUGAGUGCCAACUCUCUCAAACUAACCAAAUCCACUUCCUUGAACUUGUAGCACUUAGUCUUCUUCAUACCUGUGAUUAUUUACAAAAAUUUCCAUUUGUUUAAACCCUUCGAUGAAUGCAUGAAAAAUGUUUAUGCAUGAAUGCAUGUAUGCAUGAUUGUGUUGUUUAGUUAUAAUGUGGGUUGAGAUUCAAAGUAACGGAUGGACAUGGCGUCCGGUGAACUAAGGCUUUGGAUAGUAGUAACCAAGGUUCUAACACAGUUCCCAAACUGCAACCUCUCUCACAUAUAUCAUGGUAGUACAGGACGACACCCGUUCCAUGAUUAUUUGUGAGAAGGUCUAGCUUGAGUGUAGUAUCGCGUGACGACUAAAGUUUGAGACAACACUCAAUUUAGCCACCGCACUACGUCCUAAAAAGGCUAGGAUGGGUUUGGUAACUACGGUUCAUAGCUUCGUCGAACAAUUGAAAGUGAAGUGCCUAAGCAUGACAACACACGCCGACAAUAUCACCUUCAAAAUGCCUCAGCUAUGUGAGAUUGAUCGCAUAAUCCAAUACACGAGGCAACCCCCGGAUCGAAUUGUCGAUUAUAUCUCUACCUAAACAUAAGUUCACUCAGCCCGGGUAUAGGACUUUUGAUAUCCUCACCCCACACGUCAAAUGAAAGUAAACAAGUAUUCACAUAUAUAAGCAAUAAAACAAAGCGUAAAUAUAAACUAAGGAAAACUAGGCGUGACCCGCUAAAAGAAAUCCCCAGUGAAGUCGCCAUUUCUGUUAUCAUGGUUUUUGGGUGCCAAGCCAUUAAUUGGACUUGAACCUUUCGACCGUUGAUAUCUCUCUUUUUUCUUGGGAAGGGAAAAAUUGAGAAAAAAACCCUUAGAUUCUAAGUUCGGGGGUCGGUUUUACUACGGGAAGGUGUUAGGCACCCGGAGUAACUAUAGUCCUCUAUAGAGUCGUUUUCCUAAGUCUAUAUUCACGCUUAUUUUUACUUACUUUUGAAAAUGGGAGGUUUAUUUAGUUAAGAAUGGGGGUGAGAAGAAGUAGAAUUUUGAUUUUAUUUCGGCUUGGAUGAGUUUUGACUCAUUGCCUACGUACCCUUUUAAGGGAUCAAAACCGUUCGUAGUUCUUGCUAAAAAACUUGUUUUUGUUCUAAUUGUUUGAUUUUAAGUUUUGAAAAUGGUUUUGAAGAAGGAGAUUGGGAGGCUUCAUGAGCAUUAGAUUUAGCAAAAAAGUGAGGUUUGAUUAGUGAUUAGAAAGAAAGUCUAAAUGGUUAAGAUGAAUUGAAUUUUCCUUAAGAAAAAGAAAAGAAAAAAAAUGAAGUGUUGACUUCAUAUUUAUUAUGAAAUUUUUUGAAGUGAAGUUCAAUUGUUUUUUUGGAAAAAGAUGGAUUUUCUCUAAGUGUUUAAAACCUAAACGCUUAUUUAACCAUACAAUCCUAUGCAUACAUCUAAGGUGAGUGUGUGCGUGUCGGUGCGCCAUAGUGUCCAUAGUCCAUAUUACAACAUUUCCUAAAUACAUUCUAUGGCCUCUUUGCCAAGCUACAAACCAAUGAUAACAAAUUACAUCACUAAAUGAAUCAAAACUUGCAAAAAAAAAUAAAUGCUAGACUAAAGAGGGUGGAGAGUGGAGAGGGUGGUGGAAUGCUUAUGAAAUGUAUGGCACAUGAGAUGAAAUGGUUAGUAAUCAUAAAGCACAAAAUAGUAGGAAAUAAUCAAAAGGAAAUGUAUAAGAAUGGCAAAGGAAAGGUAAUAAAGUGGCAAUAAACCUAAAACUUUUGAUGUGAUACCUAAAGGUGCUUGUAACCCAUAAUCAUCACAUCAUGGCAAUUUUGAAAGAAAUUUUGUUUCAAGCCAUGACAUGAAAUUAGUGGAAGUACAUGCAAGCAAAGUAUCACACCAAACAUAAAGAAAUUUACCACUUUAUUCCUAAAAAUAAACGCUUAUUACUUGUAAAACAAGAAAUCCAUAAAAUCACAUCCAAACACAGCAAAAAUAAACACAAUUCCAGAGGCAUAUUCAUCACCAUAUUAGGCAUCAUUUAUCCAUGUCAUACUAUCAAAAUGUCAAGAACAAAACAUAGCAAAAUGCAUACAAAAAACAUAAAAACACAUGGAAUUAGUUCACACCAUUUUAACAUCUUUUUUACAUGCAAAGAUACCCUAAAAAUACCAAGAAUAUAUCAAGAAACCACUAGGAUUUUUUUAGAAAUUUUGUAAACAAAAAUGAGCAGGCCACAGGUGCAGAUAGCAAAGAAAAUGGUGUAAAUAGCAUACAAAAGCAAGCAAAAAAAACGUAAAACCUUAAGCCCAAACCAAAACCCAAUACAGACUGGGCCUGGAUCAUCCAAAGGCCUUAGAGGCGUUGGAUUGAUCCAAACCUAGAUCUGACGGUUCAAAACACGCAGCGCAUGGUAACACAGAUCAAACACGUGGGAGCAAACGCAUCACAGCCAUUCAAAAGAGAAACCCUAGAUCCUACGGUCCAAAAAGGAAACCAAAGUGAACCGGACCGGUCCAGGUGUCUAUAUAAACGUAAGGACACCGGUCCAGCUCACUUUGCUCACCUCUUUCUCUCUCUAAGCUCUUCUCUCCUCUCAGUCCUCUCUCUUCUCUCCAGAAAACCACCACCGGAGGUGAUGAAGCUACGGCGGAGACCUUGAAGGUCCGCCGGAAACUUCAUCUUCUCCGGCGAGACUUAUGAACUUCCGGUGACCUAAAUUUCCAGAUUUCAAAGAUUCUUACUCCUUUUGAUUCGUCCUUUAACCCUAAACACGAAUCCAGCAACUAUUUUUUCAAAUACGGUUCGAAACGACGUAGAUCUUGAAGGAACUUUGUACGGUUUUGAAAUGAUUUUUGAUUUUUGAACAAAAACGUUUAGAUUCUUACAUCGUUUCGUUGUUUGAUUGAUUUUCUGGUAUGCGUUCUUGCUUUCAAAACUUAGAUCCUUAUGGAUCUAGGUUUUGUGUUUACGGUUACGGCUUUGGCUUUGAAUUCUGGAAAUCUUUGGAUUCGGUUUGUUUUUUACUUCACUGAUUCAUGCUUUUUUUUUAAAGAAAAUGAUGUUGAAGUUAUGCUUUUACCUGUGAUUUCAAUUGGAGGUGCUGAUGAAGAUUUCUUCGGAAAACUUCAGAUGCGUUUCUAUUGAUUCUUGCUGCUUUGAACCGAAAAUAAAUCGGUGUUCUUCUUUCUCACUGAUUCUUCGUGAUUUUGGCUGGAAACUUCAUCUUCUUUCUCUGCUUCUUUCUCACUGAUUCUUCUUUGUGAUCGGUGCUGGAGUUUGCUGCUGCUGCAGCGAGCUCGUGCCUUGAAUUGCAAAGAAGAUGAUUCGAUGAUGAUGAUUCCUUAGGAAUCUCUGAGAAUCAAUGGAAAAUCCAAUGAAUUUUGAUGAUUUUUUGGUCUUCUGGAAAUCUAGGGUUUGGAUUUUGUUCUUGCUUGUUCUUGGAGAAUUUCUGUUUUUGAUCUGUAACUGAAUGGAGAGAGAAAAGAAAUCUGUUUGUGAUGAAUUUCUGACUUUUUGACUGUGCAUUGAAUGCGCCUUUUAUAGGCUGCCAUGUGUGCAUUGGGACCAAUAGGAAAUCGACAUGUGGCAUUGGACUUAAAAUGGACUUUGGACCUUUCUGCAAUUUUGUAAAAUAUGGGACUGGACUGCAAUUUUAAAAACAGAACUAAAAAAAAUAAAAAAAUAAAAAUUGGACAGUUUGGACUUAAAUGCAAUUUUAAAAAGUUGAAGGAUUAAAAUGCAAAGUAAAAAUAAAAAAUGAAUUAAAAUAUGUAAUUUGACUAAACGUAAAGCGAAAUAGAAAUAAAAAUAAAAUCGACAAAACGGACUAAAACGAACCAAUGGCCUAAAUGAGGUACUUCAAAGUAACCUCCCUAUGUCAAAAUUUUGUGUGAAAUGACCAAAAUGCCCCUAGGGCUAAAACGACCUAAACAGAUUCAAAUUGAUCUGACACUGACUCAGACGCAAAUUUAAAAUGAACUUAAUCAAGAUUUACUAAUGAAAAUGCAAAAACAAUCUGAAAAGACUCAGAGACAGUCACAAGGAUGAAAAUGGGUCCCACUGCAGGAAAUGACCAAAAUACCCUUCUGUAUGACUUUUUGCAAAUUUUGAAAUAAACUGUAGAAAAAGCAAUGCAAUGAUUCAGAGACACUUCUGAAUGACUUACAAGACAAGUAAAGACACUUCAAAAGGUUUUAUGCAAGAAAAACAUAAGUAAAAUUGUGAUUGGAAAUACUGCGAGGCAGAGACAAUUUGAACUUUGCAGUUGAAAUCUGAUAAUUGACAAAGUUUGAAAUGAAAUUGGGCCCAGUAUUUUUAGGUCCAAAAACAGGGUAUAACAGGGAGGAAUUAUUGAGAUGCUGAAAGAAGCUCAGAUCUUCACAGAUGAACAGUUGGGAACUGUUAGAGGGAAGAUUAUCAAUGGUGAGACUCUAAGGGCUAUGCAUCUGAUUAAAGCAAAAGAUGUGAAGAAGAGUCCUACUGACUUGAAACCUUCUGAUGCCAAAUCAGAUCUUAUCCCAGACUUUCCUCCCAUCUGUAAACAAGAUCCCUUGGAGGUUCAAAGGGCAUAUAUCAUGGAUCACUACAAAUCCUUUAACCAGAAAAUCAGCUUGAAGGAUGUUCCUGACCAAAUGUAUGGUGGUGAGCUGCCUGUGGCCAAAAGUAGAAAAUCUAAGAAGAAGCAGAUCACCAAGGAAGAAUACCUUGCUGAAAAUGCUACUGAGGUGGGUGCUCAGAAGCAUAAGAAAGCUAAGAAGGUAAAAUCUGCUAUGUCCACCAUUCUUGAGGAAGUGGAGGAUUUGGAAGAUGUCCCUCUUAUCAGAAAAAGGACAAGGAGUACUCAAGAAACAGCAGAACAGCCUGCUUCUGAACAAGCUGGUUCAGAACAAGCUGCUUCUGAAAAGCCUCCAAGUCCCAAAAAUAAAAGAGAAGCUGCUCUUCAGACCAUCAAAAGGAAAAGGUCUAAUUUAACAAGAAAUCUGAAGACAGGUGAAGGAAGAAGGGCACAAAUGUUGGAAGAACUGGAAGAGAACUGGGAUGAAGACUCAAGCCCUAAGAAAGCAAAAAGGACUGCAACUUCUGAGCCCAUAGUCAUGCCCAGUUUCGAAAUGACUGAAGAAAUGGAGCAGUAUACUAGGGAGGUUGCUGCAUCCAAGAUAGCAGAAAAGAAAAGGAUGAAGAUUUUGUAUGAAAAAGAAAGGGAUGAACGUCUCAAGGCUGCAGGGUAUGUGCCUACUCCUGACAUUGCUGCUUUAGCAUCGGAGUUAGAAACUGUUAAGUAUGGAGCAACUCUGCUUUCUCAAGCCUUGAAGAAUAAGCAAGCUUCAGGAGCAACUUCAUCAGAACCAGCUUCAGAAGCUCCAGAAGCAGUUCAUCCAGAAGCUCAGUCUUCAGGUAAUCCAUCUAACGCUCCAACUAAUACUCAGAUUCCAUCUCUACCCUCUUCACCCUCUUCAUCAUCAACAGAAUCAGAUGACCAACCUCUUAGCCAACACAUAGACAAGCUUCUAAAAACCAAACCUACCAAACUAACAGAUUUAGGAACACUUGACUGGGAGCAAACUCAAAUAGAAUUUUCUAAGAAUAGAAUUAAACUUUGUGAGAAAUUCAAUUUGCCUCCUACUCAUCCACUCUAUCCAGAUAAUCCUGAACCUGUUAGUGUACAACAACCUCAACCCAACCCAGAACCUACAACAAACUCACCACAUAACUCAACCACACAAAAAGCCUCUGAAGUAGCUUCAGAUGCAACUACUUCAGAAACUCCCCAACACCAAGAAUACUCAACCCUUCACAACUUAGAAAAACAUCUAGGUGGUGAAAUGCAACCAACACCCACUAAGGCCUCUAAGACAGUUCCUGAAAAGACUGUCUUGGAAACCCAAACAGAAACCCAAACCAUCCCUGAGCAAACUGUUCAGGAGCAAACUGCCUCUGAACAAGUUGCUCCUGACCAAACAACUUCUGACCAACAUAUACCUUCUGACCAAACAACAGAACAACAACAACAACCAGAUUCACCCACUAUAAUAGACUUAACCUCUGACCAACCUUCCAUAUCAAAUACAACUCAAACCGAACCUUCACCCAUCCCUGACCAUAUCCUAGAGUCUGAGUAUAUAGAGGAACAACUGAUCAGACUCAGUGAUGAGAUUCAGGCACUGAUUCUUCGCAGAACAGUUCCUGUACCUCCUAUUCACUAUUAUGAUCAGUGGAUGGAUCUACAGAAAAGCUUUGAUGAGCUGCUGGAUCAACUUAGAACUAAAUGUGUGUCAUCUCACUCUGCUAUGCUGAAGAAGCUUUUGGAUGAUAUGCAUGAAGCAGCUAAGGAGAAAGAGCUGAAUUUUGUGCCUCUGCUGGACAUCACUCCUUUCUAUCCAGAAGAAGAGUACAUCACUAGGGCUGCUAGAAUUCAGGCUGGAUAUAAAAGAAGAAUGAGAGAAAAGGAUGAGCUACUUCAGAAGAAGGAUGAUCAGAUCAAGUAUCUCUUAGAACAGUUGUAUAAGCAAGCCCAACCUUAGUUGCACACCCAACUCUAGCUUGUUUUUUACUUUUGUUCUUAGUAGCUGUGUCUUUGUAUCUUAAUCUUUCUUUCUAUAUAUAUUAUCAUUGUUUCUGAAUCUUGUGCUUUUUCACCUUCAAUAUGUUUUACAAGCUUUAAUUCUGAUGAUAUUUACUGUUUUCAAUGCUGCUUGCUCUGAAAUACUAUCUUUAAAAGUUAUAUGUUUAUAUCUUGGAACAAAAUGUGUUUCACAAUGAACCUUAUUAAGUUUUGAUGAUAACAAGGUAUUAAAAAUUGUCAAUUGGUUAUUACUAAUAAUUGUUCAAGUGUACAGGACCAAAGGCUACUCAAGUUAUUUCAAUAGGUCUUGGAAGAACAAUGGAAAGAAAAAGAAAUUCUGAGCAUCUGAAGAAAACUGCUCCUGAAGCUAAACUGCUCCUGAAGAGAUGACGUCAUCAGAAGCAGAAAGCUGCUCCUGAAGCUAAACUGCUCCUGAAGAGAUGACGUCAUCAGAAGCAGAAAGUCAUCAGAAGCAGAAAGUCAUCAGAAGCAAAAGUUUUCAUCAGAAGCAAUAUUUUCACCAGAAGCUACAUUUGAUCCUUUAAUCAAACUGAAGAUUCAAAGUUGCUGAUUCUCAAUUCAGUCUUAUCAAAGAAGAACGAAGAAUUGAAAGGGAGGUAUCAACGGAUAUAUGGAUAGCACUGAGCACUUGUCUCUCAUUAAUAGAGUUGACAAAGUACAAGUGUACAACCACUACCUCCACUACUCUGUUUUCUGUCUACGCUACAAGACAAAACAACAGCCAUGCCUGCAGAAUUUGUACAACUCAAGAUGGGAAUGAAUUUGAAGUUUAUCCUUCAAAGGACUACACCCAAAUCAGGCAAAAGAUCACUGGUGGAUAAUCAAAGGAUUUCAAACGACUCUUUAGACGUGCUGAUUAUCUCAACGUCUCUUUCACGCCUCUAUAUAAAGGAGUGAAGACUUGAAGAUUCAAGAUAGAGAUACAUAAGUUCAAAAGCGCCAAAACUCUGUCAAUUUGAUUCUACAAAGCACACUGAAUUUCUGCACUGAUUUGAUACAUCUUAGAAAUUCAAAGUCUAGAGUCUUUUCUGUAUUGUAUUGUGAACACCACUGAUUGUAUAUCAAGUGUUCAAUUCAAACUCAAUUCUCUGUAUUUUUGUUUGAUUAGAAGUCUCUUGCCUGCGUGCUUGAGCAUUAGAAGUCUCUUGCUUAGUGCUUGAGCAUUGGAAGACUCUUGCGUGUGUGCUUGAGCAUUGUUUUGUGAAGUCUCAUACUUUGAAAGUAUUGAGCAGUUGUAAUCUUGUGAUUAUAGUGAAAUCUCCUUGGAAGUGCAAGGGGGACUGGACUACUUCCGUGUUGUGGAAGGAACCAGGAUAACUGCCUGUGUCUUUGUCUUUCUUUUCUCUGCUCUGUUCUUUUCCGCUGCAAUCUGACUCUGAUCAUUUCAUCAGAAGCAAUCAAACUGCUUCUGAAGUUUUAUCAGAAGAAGAAUCCUUUUUAUUAAGAGAAAAAGAAAACACAAUUCAACCCCCCCCUUCUUGUGUUUUUCACCUUCAGAUUUUGGAGGAUUUUUGGGGUUUAUAUGAAUUUUUUAAAUUCAAUCUAUGUUGUUAUAAUAUUCUUAAAAUUAAAGAUAUAAUAAACAUAAGCAUUAAUUUAUCAUUAUCUAAAAAAUUACUCUUUCUCAUUCAAUAGAAACUUUUUCAUAAAAUGUGAAAGAUUUCUGCAUUUCUCUAUAUAUUUCUUACCUCCAAAACUCUCACCUUCAAACUCUCAAACAAACCCUUAGUAUAUUGUUACAAAAUAUAAAAUAUACGGUAUAUAGUAAUAUGUGCUAAACACUUGAUGAUUUUUUUCUUUUUUGACUCAGUAAGAUCGUACAAAGUGUAAUCUCAUAACCCUUCAUGGGAAAUACAACAAUGUCAAGCUACACUUUUUAAGCACAACCCUAAAGGGUAAAUAACAAAAUAAACAAAAACUCAGCCACCACGUGUACAAUCUAGCGAACACAACUCGGAGUGCGAAACCAAAUUGCAAAAGAAAGUGGUUUUUGAGCGUUCCUCUCCGUAACAAUGGAAUGAGUGUUUCUUCGUGUCAAAAUUGAUAAUUGAAAUUGUCAGCCAGCACAAAAGCAAUUACACUUACCCACCACUCACUGAUGAAACCAACAACAAAUUUACGGCUAUGAAUCAACCUCAAAAAGCACUACAAGAAAGAAAAAAAAAGCUCUUUGCAACAGUUAAAUUGAGAUUCGCGACUAUUCAAACCGUCGCAAUUUUCCAUUUGCGACACUUUCCCAAUUGUUGAGGAAAAGGGGUCGCAAGAGCAUUUUGAUACAGCUCAAAAACCCGUCGUUACAACUGCCGCAGAGCGUAUUGCAAAGCACUCGUUUUAAUUUUGAAAAAGGGUGUUGCGAUCGUUUAGAACCGUCACAAUUCAUGAAAAAUAAACUUACAAAAAUAUUGCAGCUGUUUUGAACCGUCGUUAUUUGGUGAAUUUAAUUUGAAAAAAAAAACAGAUAUUUUAGAAUUAAUAAUAGAACAUCCGAGUUAUCAUAUUUUAAUGACAACUAAAUUAAUUCAUAGUAAAAAAAUAUGAGCUAAUCCAUAAACUAAAAUAUGAAUUACAUUCAAAUAAAAUGAUUCAAUAAAACAUAAACAAGUGAUAAUACAAUAAGGUUUCUUGAGCUAACAUAAAAAUUUAAUCAAUUAUGUAGAUGCUCCGUGGCAAGAAAAUUGUUUUGAUAAACUCAAUGUGAAUAGACUCCAAAAUUGUUAAAUAGUAGUUAUUAUUAAUAAGGUUUCAAUUUUCUAGAAAUUAAAACAAAAAUAUUGAAAGAAAAAUCAAGAAACAAGAAGGAUAAAGAAGAAAAUACUUAAGAUUUUCAUUUUGUUUGGAUUAUCUCUUUUUCCUUAUGAAAGAUGAAGUGACGAAGCAGAUCUGACCUGAGACUAGGGUUUAACGAAAUUGGGAACGGAUUUGAGAAAAGGAGAAAGGGGCAACACACAAUGAAGGAGGUUAGGUUCGAUCUAAGGGUUACAUCUUUUUCUUCGGUUGGAGGUUUGAAUUGGACAUGAGAGAAGAAAGAAGGGACGAUCGAUUCAAGGUUUAGAACAAAUGUGAGAGAAGAGAGAAGGCUUUUUGGGAUGGCCGAUUGGGGGUUUCUCUUUUGGGAUUUUUUCGAUGCUGGACGGAGGUUUUUUUUUUCUUUCAUAGAUCUAUAUGCUAAAAGUUUUUUAGCGGUGAGAUUUUUGGAUUUUGAAAAUUCAAGAGAGAAAAAAGGUUAGCGAGCUUUAUGCUAAAAGACCACCUUUAAUUUCACUCUAAAAUUUGCGACGGUUGGGAUUACCAGUCGCAAGACCCGCCUCAAAUAUACAAUUGUGACCCUUAUUAUUGAACUGUUGCAGUUCAUGUGUCGCAAAAUAACAAAUUUCUUGUAGGGAAGAUUGCAAAGUCGUCGCCCUUUUGAGCAUUACAGAACCAAAUCAACAAAUUUGGUCCUCUAUGAAUAGAUCAACGACGAAGCUAGAAAGUGCAAGAAGGAAUUGUUGCUUUUUAAGGUGGAUUUCGAGAAAGCCCAUGAUUAUAUUGAUUAGGGUUAUUUAGAUGAGGUGAUGAGAAGAUGAUGUUUUCGACGCUUUGGCGAAAGUGGAUUAGAGAAUGUAUUGGUACAACAACAACUUCGGUCUUGGUCAAUGGGUGUCCUACGAAUGAGUUUCUUAUGGAGAAGGGCUUGAGGCAAGGCAAUCCUCCCUAUCUCUCUCCUUUCUUGUUCCUCUUGGCAGCAGAGGGGUUCCAUGUUUUGAUGGAGUCUUUGACUGAGAAUGAUCCUUUUGUUGUUUCUCACUUUCAAUUUGUGGGUGAUACGCUGAUUUGUCUGGUUUGAAGGUGAGCUUUCAUAAGAGCCAAUUGGUUGGGGUAAAUGUGUUUGAUUCUUGAUUAACAGAGGCAGCUAUGGUUUUGAAUUUCCAAGUUGGUAGGUUAUCCUUUGUGUAUUUUGGGAUGCCAAUAGGUGGUGACGCGAUACAUUUGUCUUUUUGGCAACCGUUGAUUCUAAGAAUUAAUUCUAGAAGGUCGGGUUGAAAACCUAAGAACUUAUCUUUGGGUAGUCGUCUGGUUCUUUUAAAGUCUGUCAUGUCAUCUCUGCAUGUUUAUGUUCUUUCUUCCUUCAAGGCUCCCUCAGAUAUUGUCUCCUCUAUUGAAUCUAUUUUAAUUUUUUUUUUGGGGUGGGGGGUGCGGACCAUAGGAAAAUCUUUUGGGUUGAUUGGAACUAUGUUUGUUUGAGAAAAGAGGUUGGAGGUUUGGGGGUCAGCAGAAUUAGGGAGUUUUAACAUUGCUUGGUUGGGGGAAAUAGUGUUGGAAGUUGCUGAUGGAUAAAGAGAGUCUUUGGUUUAGGGUGUUGUUGGUGAGGUAUCGUGUUGAGGGAGGUAUUUUGAAGGAAGGGACGGUUCUAUCUGGUGGCGCGAGCUUGAUGUUGUGCAUAAUGGCUUAGUGAUCAUGUUAGCCGAAAUGUGGGGAAUGGCGGAGGUUCUAAGGUGCGGCAAUCUAUUGUGCACUUGAUUUGGUUUGUUAGUAUGUGAGAAAUUUGGAAAGAAAGAAAUAACAUGAUCUUUAAUGGUAAAGAAUGCUCAAUGUUGCAGCUUGUGGAAAGAUUAAGUCGAUUUCCUUUUUGUGGUUGAAGGCGGAGUUUAGUUCUUUCCUUUUCAAUUAUCAUAUUCGGUGGAUUAGUCCUCUCACAAAUGUUGGGCAUUAACUAGUUGUUAUUUCUUCUCUUAAUCUCUUGUUUUUUUAUCUUCUAACUUUUGUUGCGACUCUUUUGUUCUCUUUUGACACACCUCAUACUAGAAAGGACAUUUUUAGUUAGUAAUAUAUUUUAUUUUGGCUUCUUAAAAAAAAAAAAAAAAACACUCCUCCAUUGAGAUAAAGAGUUGUCUCUUCUACUUAAUACGAAAGUUCUAAUAUUAUUUAGUCAUCAUAUAUAUCAUCCUUAACAUGUGUGUAAGGUCACUUUCUUGAAAAGUAUGAGUAACUGAUAAGACAGAACACCAAUGACAACAAUUUUUUAGAGAGAUUGUCAUAAUAUUCUAACCAAUUUAUUGAAAAUUUUAUUAAAAAAAAUAUGAAGGUUAAACAUGAGUUGACUAAAAAGUAAGGAUUAAUUCUUUCAAAAAAAAAAAAAUUAUGGAUUAAUUUCAUGGAUGAAAUUUUUUGGAGGGACCAAAAGCCUAAGGGAUAUUUUAGGAAGACUAAAAUCAAUUGUUAGUAUAUUUAGAAGGACCACCAUUUACUUAUUUUUUUUUUUUUUUGGGUAGAAGACCACCAUUUACUUAUUUAAACCUUUUUUCAAUUUAUAUGUGAUAUAUGAAUUCAAUUUAUAUAUUUUGUUUAACUAAACUUCAUUAUUAUUGUAUCUUUUUAUUUUCUAAUUUUUGAUGGAAACUUAAACCUUUUUUUGUUUUUGGUGGUAUCCAAAAUUUGCCUUGAACCUUACAUAUAUUAUGCAUUAUCUAUACCAACUGAACUAAGUUUACGGAGAUAAACUUUUUUAUUUAAACUCAUACUAAUAAAUAUGAUAUAUGAGUUCAAUAUAAAGAACAACAUACUUUAUUUUAGUCUGUAAGAAAAAAUGGUUUAUAAAUUGAACCGAAAGAUGCACAGUAAAAGAAAAUAUAUAAGAAGAGGCAUUGGCAAAUGUGGGCUGUUUUUUCUUGCUUAGCGGGUAGUUUUUUCUAUUAUGAAAAAUAAUAAAAUAAAAGUAAAGAUUAAAAAUGGUAAAAUGCAUAAAAAGUUAUAAGUUAUACGCUCAAAGUUAGUCUUUUUAGCUUCUAAAAAAAGACUAUAAGCUAACGAAAAAAGUUAGUUAUCAAACAUUUAAUUUUGUCAAACAAACUUAUAACCUAGUACAACAAACUAUAAUCUAGCUUAUUUUAUCAUACAGGCUUUAUUAUCCUAUUAAAAUUUUCAUUCAUAGAUAGAAGAACAUCAAUAUGAUUUAUUUAUCGAAUUGAUGUAUUCUAGAUAUUUUACUAAUAAAACUAUAUCUAUUUAUAAAUCGAUUUUGUAAAAAUAAUCAGUUAUAUAUCCGCAAAUAAAUUUAUAAUAAAAUAAGUCAUGAUUAUUAAUACAUUUUUUUGAAGCAAUGAUUAUUAAUACAUAUCCAUACAAAUAUUUUAUAAGUGGGUAUAAUUUGGUUGGUUAAAAUAUAUAUUUUCUUUGAAAUAACAAGAUAUUAUAUUAAUGGAUUAGAUCAUGAAAAUAUACAUCAUUAGUUUCAUACUACAUCCAUCCCUAAUUAUAAUGUCCUUUUAAAAAAAUAACGGGAAUUAAGAUAGUGGAUAUUUGUAUUAAAUAUGUUUGUAAUUACUAUUGUUUUUACAAUUUUAUCCUUUAAGAAAGAGGGUUGACUUAUGUUUUCAACAUUCUAUUUAUUGUUGAUUAAAGAAAAAGAUGUACAAUAAAUAGGGGCAUAUAUGUAAAAAAAUAAUUAAUGUAGUCGGAAAUAAAAAAUGAAUUUUAUAAAAAAGAACAAAAAAAAAAUCUCAAAAGCGUCUUAUAAUUAGGGACGGAUUUAGAAUGGGAAAUUUGAGCUAAAUUAUGGGCUAUCUUUAUACAAAUUCUAGGGAUAGAUUGCACUGCCAUUUGUCAAAAUGCCAUUGGAGGGAUUGGACUUCCUGGUGGGACCUUUUUCAACUAUGAUGAGUUUUGACUUUUGACUAUAAAUGCUUGAUCGAUAUCCAUAUAGUCUCCCGUGAUCACCCAUUUUCCUGUUUCUUAAGAAAUCAUUAUCCAUGUCGUCUUCAACCUCCAAAACCAAAUGGAUCUACGAAGUGUUCAUAAAUUUUAGGGGGGAAGAUACUCGUAGCAAUUUCGUUUCUCAUCUUUAUGCAACCCUUUCAAAUGCUGGAAUUAACACUUUUCUUGACGAUGAGAAUCUUGAAAAGGGAAAGGAGCUGGGACCAGAAUUAUUGCGAGCAAUACAAGGUUCUCAAAUAAUCAUUGUUGUUUUCUCCAAAAAUUAUGUUCAAUCUAGUUGGUGUCUUGAUGAACUCGAACAAAUCAUGGAGUGCCACAAAAGUACGGGUCAAGUUGUUAUGCCCGUAUUUUAUGGUGUUACUCCUUCAUUUAUACGUGAAUAUGCUAGCCAAACUUUUGGGGAAGCUAUCGUUAGCAAAACAAAUCAUUUCGUCCUCCAUAAUUCGGAUCCGAGGAAAAAUCCACGAAAUAAGGCACAAGGCGAUGAUCAUUAUAGGUAUUUUUUUUACUAAGAUAUUUUUUACUAUGAUAAUUAUAGGUAAAUGUCUAUUUUUGUUAGAGGUAUGGUAAAUGUCAUCGUGAGUUUAACGGUAUGAACUCUGAACAAUGUAUAAUAUAUGUAAGGUCUGAGGUUCAGACUAUGGCCACCACAAAAAAAAAAAAAACGGUAUGGUAAAAAAAAAAUUUGUCAAGUACUCGUAGCUGGAGCUCACAUAUUUUAAAUGUGGAGAUGUAUGAUAAAUAAAUGUUUAAUAAUAAAAAUAUGUGUUAUUUCCGUAGUAGCACAAUGGAUAUUUCAAAUCUAAAAAAAAUAUGUGUUAUUAGAUUUCUUACUUACAGGUAAAUGCCUCUUUUUUUAGGGGUGUGGUAAAUGUCUAAACGUAAAAAUACGUGUUAUUAGGUUUCUUACAAAUUUACUAAAUUUUAUUUUUGAUUAUAAAAUAUUUCUGGUAAUAGAAAAAGUUUCCAAAGAAAAGGGUGUAAAAUUAAAGUUUCUCGGAGAUGGAAAUAAUAUCUGUAUAUUUUCAUAAAAGUUAUUUUUAAGAAUAAAUAUAGUAAACUUGAAUGUCUAUUACCAAUUUGUAAAUUAUUAUUUGACAAAUAAUCCGUCCAUUUUAAAAUGGAUGUCUCUUAAGAUUUUUACACACAUAUUAAAAAAUAUAAAUUAUAAUGAUUAAAAGGAAGAUAAUAUCUAUUUUUAUCAAAUUAUCCUUAUCAACUAUUGAUUUCAUUUUUAUUAUCAUAAAUGCAAAGUAAAAGUAAUGUUUUGGGAGUAGUGUGUAUAAGGGUACGAUUGAAAAUAUGUAAUUAAUAUUGCAUUGGAAAUCAAAAGUGACAUUCAUUUUAAAACAAUUUUUUUUACUAAAAUGACACUCAUUUUAAAACGGAGAGAGUAGUAAAUUAAUAUGUGUUCUAAAAUGUCUGAUCAAUUUUCAAUAAAUCAAUAAUUAUUUUAUUCACCUAUACUCUACUCCCUUUAGACUCAUAAAUAAUUGUUUUUUUUUUUUUUUACCAAAAAAUAAAAAAUAAUAAUUGUUUUUAAGUUCAUUGAAAUAAACCUAAAAAAAAUCUUUUCUUAUAUAUGAGACUAGAUUGAGUAAUUAACGGUACUUCUUUCACUUUCGAUUUCAUGUAUUUCACAUCCCAUUUAUUAUAAAUAUGAAUACACCAGCGCAAAAUAAAUUUGUUAAUCUAGAUAAAUUAGUCAACUAAAUCUUUUAUUUCUAGAUAAAUUUGUCUUUUGAAAAAUAUUUAUUGUUGCUGCAAUUAUGUAAAGCCGUGACAGGCUGAAAAUUUCAGAAAAGAAAGAUUCACUUGAGCAAGCACUCGGGGAUGCUUCGAUCUUGGCUGGUUGGGAUAUGGAUAAUUACAGGUAAAUGUUUAUAGUAUUAUGUUUUGUUUAGUAUACUUGUAGCAAUGAUAAGAAUUCCGCUCUUCUUCCAACAAAAAUCACUUGUUCCCAAUUGAAAUAUCCACUAAUAAACUCACGCACCUUAUGCCUACAAUGUGAGUUAACUCACGCACCUUUGAACAGUGGCAACGAGACUUAACUCAAGCACCUUUGGUUGGUGGCGUGAGUUAGAUCACGCAAUUUUGGUCGAUGGUCUAUGCACAAAGAACACAUUUUUUUGGACGUGGUCACUUAUUCAAACUUGGUUUUACUCGAUUUUUACAAGUUUUUACACGUUUUUUUAUUGUAUUUAGUGUAGUUAAAACCUAUCUAAGACAUUCCCCCUAUAAAUACCCUUCCAACCUUCACCAUUUCUCACACCAUCAUCUCACACUCUCUCCUCCUCUUCCUUCUACAACAACAAUGUUUUUCCAUUCUUUGCCUUUCUUAGAAAGAUUCAUCUUUGAAAAUUUCAGGGAUUGUAUGAACGGUCAAUGAAAAUGGCAACACACUGUGUCGCGUCAUUUUUGGAGAUCAAGGCUAUUUGAUUAGCUUUUGACUCACUAAUUAUUUCACGACUGAACAUUUAAUUUUUAAGGAAAAGGGGAAAAAAGUUCAAAACACCCCAUAUUGAAAAGAUUUAGGGUUCGGGGGUUAGUUACAUAAAGGGAAGGUAUUAGCACCCUUUACGUCCGUAGUACUCUACGGGAACCUCUUGGUUUUAUUUAAUUUAAUGUGCUAUAACUUGCUUGCUUUUGAAAAAGAAGUUAAUGUGAUGAUUAAAAGAAAAAGAAAGUGAGACCUAAUUUAUCUACAUUUUUUAUUGUUUGGAAGGACGAGUGUCCUCUGCCUACGUACCCGUGAAGGAUCAAAACCUCGUAGUUCGGGGUAGAAAAUGACGCUUGAUUGGUUUUGUGUUUUUUUAUUAGUUUUUGAAAAAGGUUUUAAAGAUAAAAGCCAAGUGGCAAAUAAGAAUUUGUUUGUGUUUUUUAAUUUAAAUGAAAAUAAACUCAAGGUAGAAUUAAAUUGAUUGAUGUUUGAUUAAGAAAAGAAAAUAAAGAUGCGGUCACUUGAUUUGGAUCAAGGUUUAUUAUAAAAAAUAUUUUUUGUGAUUUUUUUUUUGGUUAUUUGCAUGUUUUGUGAUUUUUUUGAAAAUAUUUAAACUAACGGAGCAUAAAGAAUAAAAGCGUGGCUACCCUAAGUUAGAAAUAUAAAAUCUAUGACUAUUACAUAAAAACCUAUUUACAUUCUAAGGUCUGCAAUAAAAUUAAAAUGCUAAGAAAAAUAAAUAAAUACGAAAAAGAAUAAAAAAAGGUCCAAACACAUGGUGGGGUGCAGUGGUAAACAGGGGUGUGCAGAAAGCAGAAAAAAAAAGGAUUGGGCUCAAGGAAAAUGAACCGGGUUGCGGGUCAUGGGUCAUGGGUCGUGGGUUGACCCGUUUGGGGGGUAUAUAAGGGCUGUUGGGCCCUUUUUCUUUCAUUUUUCUUUUUCCUUUCUCUCUCUUCCUCACCGGUUCUCUCUCUUCUUCUCUGUUCUCUCUCUAACUCUCUUCUUCUCCGGCGGAGUGGGGUGGGGGUUCCGGCGGGAUUCCGGCGCGGUGGCCGGCGAGCCAUCGCGGCUGCGCCGCCGCGCCGGAGCUAAAAAAACUCCCCCUUUUUUAUUUUUUCGCUCUUUCUCUUCCUCUUUUCCCCCCUUACGUGAUACUAAACCCAAAAAUCCCAAAACCUUUACUCAAACGUCUAGAUCUAAAAAGAAAGAAAUUUAUACCUUUUUGUUUUUUUGUUGAUCCGGUUUCGUGAUGUGAUUGUCGCUGUUGUGACGGUUUGUGCGCCUCUGUGUGUGCGUGUAUGUGCUGUGUUGUGUUGCCCGCGGCCGUAUUCCCGUUUCUGUGCACGUGCGUGUGUUGUGGCGUGGACUGGUGCGUGUGUGUUGUGCGCGGACUGGUACGGUUUGGACUAGUGCGUGGCGUGAGUUGUUGGCUUGUGCGACUGUGUUGUUGCUUGUGCGACUGUGUGUUUGGCUCUUCUUGCUGCUUCUGUUGUUUGUGGCCUCUUUUUUUCGUUCUGCUGCGUUUUUUGUUGUGUUUUUAAUUGUUGUGCAGGUCUCUAUUUAUAGAGUGGGUUUGAAGCUUGAAUUUGUUACUGAUGAGCACAAAAUCAGUGGCUUGUGGAGGAGAAAAAAGGAAAUGUGUCUGUUUGUUACUGGAUUUGUUUCAGAGGAAGCGUGAAUCCGGAUUUGGAUUAGAAUGGAAAAGGAACAGAACGUGUAUAAGGAUUGAGAUGAAUUUGGACUAUUUUGUUGGACUUAUUUUUGGACAAUUUUGGGAUUUUAAUUAAAAAGAAAAAAUUAAAAAUAAAAAAAGGAUAAUGUCUAUAUUUUUGGUUUUUAAAAAGGAAAAUUUAAAAUGGGAAUAAAAGGAAUUUAAUCUAAAUUGGACUAAAAUUAAAAUUAGAGUUCUAAAUUAAAAAUUUAAAAGAUGGAAAUAAAUAAUUAAAGACUGAGAGAAGAGGGCCCGAUUCGGAACUUUAUGAGGUAUUUCAAAAUACCUCCCUGCCGAAUUUUUCACUGAAAUGCGAGUCUGGUCCGAGUUCGGAGACGUGUGUCAGUGGGACCUUAGGUCAAAAUUUGGGGUAUGACAGAUGCCCCUAUUUAAGUUUCUUCGCUCAGAGAUUCGAAGGUAAAAUCCUUGACUCGACGAGCCGAAGAGACUUAAAUACAAAAGUGCACCAAUUUUGACCUAAGAGGUUUAUGAAUGCUCAUGAUUUAAUUAUGAAUGCAUGAUGAUAAUGACGGCUCGACUGGAAUGAAAAGACACUAGGAUACCCAAAUUCUUUGAAGAAAGGGAUCCGACUUUACUGGGGAAUCUGGUUUCACUGGGGAAAAUGGUUGUUCCUCAUUGUUUCGACAUCUCGAAACAAAGUGCAAUGGUUCAGACCUCCAUGUCUAUUUGUGGACUUGGUUUUGAAAAUGGAAAAAAGAAAGAUACAAGCUUUUUGUUGGUUGAAAUUGGCCACUUGUCACAGAUUGUUCGUUGGUUGGAACUGGUUGCUGAGCAUAAAGAUAAAAGAUUGGCUCGAGUUGUUCGUUUGUUGGAACUAGUUGCUCGGAAGGUAAAAGACAUUGGCAUAGGCUAUUCGUUUGUUGGAAUCGGUCGCUGGGCAUAAAGAUAAAAUAUUGUCAUGAGUUGUUCGUUCGUUGGAACUGGUUGCUCGAAAGGGAAAGAACUGACAUAGGCUAUUCGUUUGUUGGAAUCGGUCGCUUGAAACAUAAGUUGUUCGUUGGUUGGAACUGGUUACUUAAAAUAAAGACACAAGCUGUUCGUUGGUUGGAACUUGGUCGCUUGAAAAGUUUGGAUUGGUGACAUCUCUAGAACAGCUAUGCUGGGGAUGAUACCUGGAGUUUGAAGUUGACAUCGAGAUCAACUAGCGCCAUGACUAGUACGGCCUUCUGCCGGGGAUGUCACUUCGAAACUAAAAUUGAAAUUGACUUUGAUUAGUGGCAUGACUUAGCACGGUUUUUCGCCGGGCAUGACACCUUUGAAUUUUGAAAUUGAGAUUGACAUUGAUUAGUGACAUAACUAGCACGGCUUUACGCCGGGGAUGACACUUUUGAAUUUGAAAUUGAAAUUGACAUUGAUUAGUGACAUAACUAGCACGGCUUUACGCCGGGGAUGACACUUUUGAAUUUGAAAUUUGAAAUGGAAGACGCUCAUUUGUAGAAACUUGCGGCUUGACACAAUGGUAAGCUUUGACUGAUGCGAUUAUGUGUGAAUUGAUGUUAUGCAUAUGUCGUGUACGCGUAAACGUAUGAUCAUGUGAAAAUUUUGGUGAAUGCAUGAUUGUAUGAAUGUAUGGAUAUGUGAAUGUACAUGACACGUGAAUCGAUGAACCGAGACAAGACAGGUAAGAUGGGAGUCGGACCGACAUUGUAUUCCAAACACUCGGCAACCUUCCUUGGAGAUGAUAUUAUUGUGAGCAAAUCGAGCCGUUGAUGGCGUAAGAACCUGGCACUUAGGUAGCCACCGAUGCCUCCUGGGGGGUGAGCCCAUUGUCGAUGAAAGAAGUCUGAAGAAGUCGCUAUUUGUAAAUCGGCACAGAGUGUCCUUCCAUUGGUAUGCUUCAGCAGUCAUACCUUUUGUUUUUUAAACGAAAAUCCCUAAUUUUUGCCUGGACCGCCCUUUCGGGUUUUCAGUCCACCGGGAAUAUUUUUGUUUUGCCCCUAAUUUUUGCCUGGACCGCCCUUUCGGGUUUUCAGUCCACCGGGACGCCCUCUGUUGCCUAAGUCGCCUUUUCAGGUUUUCAACUUAGCGAGCUUUUUUUGUAUUAUUUUUGUAUUUGUUUAUUCAGAGACUUUCCUUAGUGUCGAGCCACACUUUUAGCGGGAUCUAACCUCUCUUGAGUUGAUAUAUGCCUUUCUUACUCCCGAGUGCCAAGUUGUAUCUAUUUGUUUAUGCUUUUUAUUAUAUAAACCCUUUUUAGAAAUCUAUUUCAAAGUAUUAUCAUCAGUAAAAGAGAAAAAAAAAAAAAAAAAAAAAAAAAAAAAAAAAAACGAGAAACAAAACAAGUAGGAGUCAAAAGAGAGGUAAAGGCUCAAAGUUUAUUAAUCGAGUGACGCUAUGCCAAUGGCAUGACUUCAUGGAGUUAUUUACAAAGUUUGAAAAGAAAUGGUAAUUUAAAAUGGAAAGGUACGUUGAACUUCAUAACCCUAUCGUUCUCUAGCAACUUUGAAAUCCGUUAUCUUGUGGCUCGAAUGUUUUUGAUAUCAGGUAUGCCCCAAGUGUAUCUGUGUUCGACUGGAUGCAGUUACUUUGUCUCUAUUUUCCCUUUUUUUUUUUUUUUUUUUUUUUUUUUUUUUUUUUAAAAAUCCUUAAUUUUUGCAUAGACUGCCCUUUCGGGUUUUCACUCUAUCAGGAUAAUGAUCUCUGUUUAUUGUCUCUAAUUUUUGCCUGGACCGCCCUUUUCGGGUUUUCAGUCCACCGAGACGCUCAUUUUUGCCUAAGUCGCCCUUUUCGGGUUUUCGACUUACCGAGCUGUUCUUUUAAAAUUUUUAGACAAAGUAUUUCUUGACUGCAUCUGUGUUCACAGGUCGUGGAAGUUCUUCACCGUCCAUGGUUUGUAGAGUCAUGGCACCACCUGAGAAGGCUCUUUUAACAACAUACGGACCUUCAUAAUUAGGAGCCCACUUGCCUCGGGAGUCUGGUUGGAAAGAGAAAAUCUUUUUGAGCACGAGAUCACCUUCUUUAAACUCACGGGGACGAACUUUCUUGUCAAAGGCCUGCUUCAUCCUUUUUUGAUAUAAUUGUCCGUGACAUAGGGCUGUCAUGCGCUUUUCUUCAAUUAGAUUCAACUGGUCGUAUCUAUUCUGAACCCAUUCAGCUUCCGAUAAGUCAGCCUCCAUUAAGACUCUCAAUGAUGGAACUUCGACUUCUACAGGGAGUACUGCCUCCAUGCCAUAUACCAGGGAAAAAGGAGUUGCCCCUGUUGAUGUGCGUACAGAAGUACGAUAUCCAUGUAAUGCAAAGGGAAGCAUUUCAUGCCAAUCUUUAUAAGUCACCACCAUCUUCUGGACAAUCCUCUUUAUAUUCUUGUUCGCAGCUUCGACAGCACCAUUCAUUUGAGGUCUGUAAGGUGAAGAGUUAUGGUGCUCGAUCUUGAAAUCAUCACACAAUUCUUUCAUCAUCUUGUUGUUUAGAUUUGUUCCGUUGUCGGUGAUGAUCCGGUUGGGGAUGCCAUAGCGACAAAUGAUAUGAUUCUUGAUAAAUUUGACCACUACUUGUUUGGUCACGUUGGCAUACGAUGCGGCCUCAACCCACUUAGUGAAGUAGUCAAUAGCCACUAGGAUAAAACGGUGUCCAUUUGAAGCUUUGGGCUCAAUCCUUCCGAUCAUGUCAAUGCCCCACAUAGAGAAAGGCCACGGAGAGGAAAGCAAAUUGAGUGUAGUUGGCGGCAUAUGAAUCUUGUCGGCGUAUAUCUGGCACUUGUGACACUUUCUGGUAUGCUUGUAGCAAUCUGAUUCCAUUGUCAUCCAGUAGUAGCCUGCUCGCAAUAUCUUUUUAGCCAUUGUGUGCCCAUUAGGAUGAAUUCCGAAGGAUCCUUCGUGUAUUUCAUGUAUCAAUAAAUCAGCUUCAUAUUUGUCUACACAUCUGAGCAAGACCGUGUCAAAGUUUCUUUUGUACAAGAUAUCCCCAUUCAGGAAGAAAUUACUAGAUAAUCUUCUGAGAGUCUUCUUAUCUUUGUUGGAUGCUCCAGGAGGAUACUCUCGAGUUUGGAGAAACACCUUAAUAUCAUGAAACCAAGGUUUAUCGUCGAAAACUGCUUCAGCGGCAAACACAUAAGCGGGUCUAUCAAGGAAUUUGACACUGAUUAGUGGCACGUCAUUGUGAUGAUUCACCUUGAUCAUUGAAGACAAAGUAGCCAAGGCAUCCGCCAUCUGAUUCUCAUCCCGAGGAAUAUGAUGUAAUUCCACUUUGUUGAAGAAGGUCAAUAAGCGUCUUGCAUAGUCUCGAUAAGGUAUUAGUCCUGCGUGAAGAGUUUCCCAUUUUCCUUUGAUCUGGUUGAUUACAAGAGCUGAAUCUCCAUAUAUUUCGAUGUUCUUGAUUCUUAGAUCAAUGGCUUCUUCAAUACCCAUGAUGCAGGCCUCAUAUUCAGCGAUGUUGUUUGUGCAGUCAAACCGGAGUCUUGCUGUGAAAGGGAUGUGAGUACCCUUAGGAGUAAGGAGUACUGCUCCUAUGCCGUUGCCGUAUACAUUGACAGCCCCAUCAAAUAUCAAACCCCACACUGAAUCUGGAUCAGGACCUUCUCCGAAUAGUGGCUCGUCGCAAUCUUUCAUUUUUAAAUACAUAAUCUCUUCAUCAGGAAAGUCAAACUUGAUAGGUCGAUAGUCUUCAAGUGGUUGGUGAGCUAAGUGAUCAGCAAGAAUACUGCCUUUAAUUGCCUUCUGGGAACGGUACUCGAUAUCAUAUUCAGAUAGUAGCAUCUGCCACCGUGCAAUCCUUCCUGUCAAAGCGGGCUUCUCAAAUAUGUACUUGAUUGGAUCCAUUUUAGAUACCAGCCACGUAGUGUGAUUAAUCAUAUAAUGACGGAGGCGUUUGGCAGCCCAGGCUAGAGCACAACACGUCUUCUCGAGCAUGGAGUAGCGAGAUUCACAUUCAGUAAACUUCUUGCUUAAAUAAUAAAUGGCGUGCUCUUUUCUUCCGGUUUCAUCUUGUUGUCCGAGCACACAACCCAUGGAAUUUUCUAACACUGUUAGGUACAUGAUCAAAGGUCUCCCUUCAACUGGAGGGAUGAGAAUCGGUGGUUCUAGCAAGUACUUCUUUAUGCUGUCAAAAGCCUUCUGGCAUUCUUCGGUCCAUACAAUACCUUGUUCUUUGCGGAGUAGUUUGAAUAUCGGCCCACAAGUUGCAGUCAUAUGAGAAAUGAACCGGGAGAUGUAAUUUAGUCGUCCAAGAAAACCCCUUACUUCUUUUUCUGUUCUCGGAGCAGGCAUCUCUCUGAUGGCUUUGACUUUGUCAGGGUCUACUUCGAUGCCUUUCUGGCUGACGAUGAAACCUAGAAGCUUUCCGGAUCUGACACCAAAAGUGCAUUUGUUGGGAUUUAAACGAAGUUUGUACUUCCUCAGGCGCUGGAACAUCUUCUGUAGAUACUUGACAUGGUCUUCUUCAGUAAUCGACUUGACUAUCAUAUCAUCCACAUAGACCUCAAUCUCUUUAUGUAUCAUAUCGUGGAAAAGAGUAGUCAUACCCCUCUGAUAAGUAGCUCCUGCAUUGAUUAAACCGAACGGCAUUACUUUGUAGCAAAAAGUGCCCCAAGGUGUAAUAAAUGAUGUUUUCUCUCUAUCUUCGGGUGCCAUCUUGAUUUGAUUAUAACCGGAGAAUCCAUCCAUGAAUGAGAAGACUUUAGACUUGGCAGUACUGUCAACCAACACGUCAAUAUGAGGUAAAGGAAAGUCGUCUUUUGGGCUAGCUUUGUUUAAAUCACGGUAGUCAACACACAUUCUGACCUUACCAUCUUUCUUUGGAACAGGCACUAUGUUAGCUAACCAUUGGGGGUAAUUUGAUGUGACGAGGAAACCUGCGUCGAUCUGCUUCUGUACCUCUUCUUUGAUUUUGAGAGCCAUGUCAGGACGUGUUCUUCUCAAUUUUUGUUUGACUGGCGGACACUCAGGUUUCAACGGUAGGUGAUGCACCACAAUAUCAGUGUCUAGACCCGGCAUAUCUUGGUAGGACCAGGCAAACACAUCAACAUAUUCUUUGAGGAGCUCUAUCACUUGCUUUUUAACACUUGUUUCGAGCGAUGCCCCAACCUUGAUUUCUUUCUUGUCUUCUUUGGUGCCCAAAUUAAUCACUUCUAAUUCGUCCCCAUAAGGCUGAAUGGUCUUCCUCUCUUGUUCGAGUAGUCGAGAGAUUUCGUCAGGGAUCUCUUCAUUCUCUUCUUCCUCCGUUUCAUACACAGGGAACCCAAAGUUGGGAGAGAUCAUAGGGGUAUGUUGUUCAACGGGUUCGUCGAUUUCUAAUCUGCACAUGUGAUGGAUGAUUUUUUAGAAAAAAGAUACAUGCAGAUUUUUUUGAAAAUUCAUGUUGGGUUUUUUGUAUUACCACUUUUCAGAAAAGCAUAAAAGAAAAUGAGACAAAACAUCGGGAAAAAAAACGACAUUUUUAUUUUAUUGAUGAUAAUUUCUUGAAAUAAAAAAAAAGCCCUAGAUAAGUUCACUUUCGCUUGGGGCGGGGCGAAAGGAUUUUUUUGAAAAGAAAAGCAUAAACUAGACAAAUGCAUUACUUGGACAAGUGAGUAACAAAAGGAACAUCUACGGCAACCCAAUUGUGGCUGGAUACUCCUGGCGUUAUAAAACCUCGUGGCACACUUUCAGGACCAUCUUCAAUGAUUGCAUGGAUAAAGCCCGAACUGUGGAAAGCGCCCUUCUUCGCUGUGGACAAACCAGUAGAUGGGAAGAAACCCAAACCUUCUCGGUGCUUGUUUUCUGGAAGCUCUAUCAGCUUUCCCCAGCUUGUGGACCCCCCUGCUUGUAUGACCUUCUGAGCAUCUUUUAGGGACGAGAUAGAGGCUUCAUUCUUCUGGGUAUUCUUAUCUUCUAUAGUAAACCCUUGAAAAGGUGUCCCUUCGACAUCGUCUGCCCCAAUGAAAGAGAAAGAUGACAAAUGACUCACCAAUAAAGCCUCUUCACCGUUUACAGUUACUAGCUUCCCAUUCUUUACAAACUUCAGCUUUUGAUGCAGCGUGGAUGUGACAGCUCCUGCUUCGUGAAUCCAGGGUCGACCCAGUAAGCAACUAUAUGAAGCUUGAAUGUCCAUGACUUGAAAAUUAACUUGAAAAACUUGUGGCCCAACUGUGAUAGGUAGAACCACCUCACCAAGGACAUCCUUCCUCGAGCCAUCAAAAGCUUUCACCAUUACCCCACUUCGUCUUAAAGGUGCGCCUUGGUAAGCGAGUUGGGUAUAAGUUGUUUUGGACAACACGUUCAAAGAUGAUCCAGUAUCCACCAGUACAUUUGACAAAGCAUCGGUUUUACAGUUCACAGAUAUAUGCAGCGCCCGAUUGUGGUUCCUUCCUUCUGCUGGGAGCUCUUCAUCACUGAAACUCAAGUUGUUGCAUGCAGUGAUGUUCCCUACUAUUCCGCCAAACUGACCCACCGUUACAUCAUAAUCCACAAAAGCUUGUUCUAAAACCUUCAUUAAUGCAUCUUUAUGGGCCUCAGAAUUUAGUAAUAAAGACAUUAUGGAUAUUUUGGAUGGAGUCUGCAUCAGUUGGUCAACAACCUUGUAUUCGCUCUUCUUUAUUAACUUGAGAAUCUCAUCAAACUCUGCACUUGUACCAGCCCCAUUGGGUUGAUCCACUUCUUUGGCGAUACCAGCAUCUUUAGUCCGAACCUCCUUGUUUACUGUAGCAUCAAUCCUCCUUGGGAACACUAUGGGGACAACGCGCCCAUUUCUCAAAACUCUGCUGUCUUCAACAAUAUUAUCCACACUGGACAGAGGCGGUAUUGGAACCUCGCGACCCUCUUCAAUCAUGGUGGCAUUGUAUUUGUAUGGAACGGCUUUUUCAGAAACAUAUGGCAGUGGACCUGGUAAGCAGAUUACCAGAGGGGUGAUAGUUGACUUUCGACUGUCGUAAAAUACCUCCAAAGGUCCUUCGGGAGUUAUUGCACACACAUCAUCGCACUUCCUUUCGACCACAAGCUCUCCUCGGUCUAGAAGCCCUUGAAUAUCAUUUCUUACUUUCUGACAUCCUCCGGAGUUCAUAAGGCAUAUUUCACAGAGAUCAUGAUCAUGCUCGAAAAGGUCGACUUUGCAUAACUUGGCAUGUAACGGAACCAAGGGUGUUCUGAUAUGUUGAACAUCCUGAAUGGGACGAGUCUUUUGACAAUCUUCGAUCAUGUUGACUGUUGCGGCACCAUGAUUCGGCAAUGGGUUUGUUUGAACAUUUGGCGCCGAAUCUGUGAAAGUUAUUUUUCCAUCAUUGAUCAACCUCUGCACUGUGCUUUUAAAGGCAUAACAAGUUUCAAUGUUAUGGCCACGGCCCCCUUCAUGGAAGUCACAAGUUUGGUCAAGUCUAUACCAAGAUGGUAGUUUUUCUGGGAUAGGAGGAGCUGUUCUGGUUUGGACAAGGUUUUUCUGGAGUAAGCCGGGAAGUAAUUCUGCAUAGGUGACCGGUAUUGGGUUAAUCGGCAUUCUUGGUGGUCGAGGUUGUUGUGGGCGUUGUUGAUAAGGUUGUUGUUGGAAAUUUUGUUGAGGGUAUUGUUGAUAUGGGAAUUGUUGGUAUGGUUGUUGUUGGUAUGGUUGUUGUUGGAAAUUUUGUUGUUGGACAUUUUGUGGUUGGACAUUUUGUGGUUGGACAUUUUGUGGUGAAGGAUUUUGUGGGAAUUGAGGAUAUUGUGGUAUUUGAGGAUGGUUAUUUGUUUGUUGAAAAGGGUGAGAGGUGGGUGUGAUGGCAGCAAUGUGUUGAUAGGCUGGAUAAGUUUGUUGAGGCCCUCCAUGAGUCACCAUACCGACUUCUUGUUCUUUCUUCCUCGGGAAAUGGUUCCCGGUCUUCUUGGUCCCACUGGCCGGAGUUGUAUUCUUUACUAAGCGUCCUUCUCGGACUCCUUCUUCUAACUGUACUCCCAUACCAACCAUCUCCGCGAAGCUCUUUGGUGUACUCCCGACCAUCUUUUUGUAAUAAAAAUGAUUCAAAGUUUUUAGGAAGAGCUUGGUCAUCUCUUUCUCCUCAAUUCGUGGGCUGACUUGGGCAGCGGUGUCUCUCCACCGUUGGGCAUACUCUUUGAACGUCUCUUUAUCUCCCUGAGUCAUGGCUUGGAGAUCACUUCGGUCCGGAGUCAUGUCUACAUUGUAACUGUACUGUUCCACAAAAGCUUCGCAAAGGUCACGGAAAGUUUGAACUCUUGUUUUGUCUAGGUUUGUGUACCACUUUGAAGCAGGGCCGGUCAAGCUUUCUUGGAAAUAGUAAAUAAGAAUCUGAUCAUCUUGGGCGUAUGCUGGCAUCCUUCUCACAUACAUUUUUAGAUGUUCCUCAGGACAAGAACUCCCUUUGUAUUUCUCGAAAUCUGGAAUCUUGAAUUUGUGAGGUACCUGCACACUUGGUACCAAACAGAGAUCGUACGCAGUCUUCCCGAAUUUCCCUUUUUCAUGGAGAGCUUUCAUGUCUCGGCGUAGUUCAUCAUACUUCUCUCGUAGGUCACUUACCUCCCCGUAAGCCUCUGCAUUCCCUGAAUGAAAGAUAGGCUCUUCAGCUUGCGGAAUUGUAUGCAUCACGGGUGCUGAGUAGGUUAUGGUGGCGGGAGUGGCCCUCAUGGCAGGUAGGGGUACUUGAGCCGUGUACUGGUGAGUGGGCAUCUGAGCUUCACAAGUGAUAGGACGAAAUAUCUCCCCAGCAGUGAAAGGUGGAAACCAAGGCGUGGAACGUUGCGGAGCGGACUGCGUUGGAGUGUCAGCACAUAGUGUCCAAGAAGAAGAUGCCUCGGCCUGAGUUCUGACAGGAGGAGGAGGUGGAGGUGCUUGUGAUCGGGCCUGCGCCUGAGCUUGAGUUUGAGCUUGUGCCAAUGCUUGCGCUUGUUCUUGAAUCUGUGCUUGAGCUUGAGUCUGAGCUUCCGCCAUUGUUUUUAUUAAUUCAGCCAUCUCGUCCAUCCUAGUCUGCAUGGCUGUCAUUUCUUCACGAAGUACCCGAUUUUCCUGCUCAAGAUAAUCCAUCUUCUUUUUUACGUUUGCCCGAGUGUAGUGAGUACGGGUUGACUUGUAGAUGAUACGUGGGGCCACCGUAUGAAACGAGUUGACCCUUUUUCUGGAAAAGGAAGUUUGUGUGAGACUUUGAUUUGAGACUAUGAAAUGCAGGAUGAUGCAUGAUUGUUUAUGCAAAAAUGGACGUAUAUUUUUUUUAUCGAAGGACUUAUGAAAGUAUUUUUGUAAAUAUCAUAGUUGAGAGUUCCAUUUGAAUAAUUUACAUAUUACGAGAUAAUUCCCUUUCUAAACAACGAAACCAAGGGAUAGACUUUGCAAAUAAAUAAGAUAAAUAUCUAACUUAAAAAAACAAAAAUAAAAGAAAGACUGGGAACUCUCAAGCUCUUUGAAGUAGACUAUUCAUCAGAAUCUGAAUGUGCAUCUUUGAAGAACUCCCAACGCUCCCCUGCGCUGAUAAAUUGUGAUAGCCUUGUGCUCUGAGCUCGGAUCUGAACAUUCUUUUUUACUAUUUGCCGUCUCAGCUUGUGAACCUCAUGCUCUUGUUGUUCUAUCUCACCACUCAUAGUUUCCAUUUUGAGCAUAGCUUCAUCAUACUUCCUCUUCCAAGUAGCACCCACACAUUCCGAUUGGGCCAACCUCUCUUGACAUUCCUCCACAGUUGCGGGGGCCAAGGGUAAAGCCGGCGCUGGGGUUGUUGAAGAUAGGUACCUCGGCAAAUGAUAUGGUAAGACCAGAUCGGAAGCUCUAUUGAUGACCCAUUGAGUGUAAGACCCCUGUAAAGAGUCUGAUCUCCUCGCCAAUUGGCUUCUAUUGAGUGUGCGAAUGGCAUGCCAUGCUUGGACAAAUCUCCCUCUUUUGUUUGAGGGAUCUUCAUGGUUGAAGUAGAAUUCACCCUGUAAGUAGAUGUUAUCUGGCUUAGCUUCCAUCGGGCAUCCGAACUGACGUUUGGCAAGGAUAGGAUUGUAGCUGAUUCCUCCUUGCGUACCGAGAAGGGGUACAUUUGAGUAUUCUCCACAACUGACAAUGAUGUUCGUGAAGUUACAAGUGGCACGGUACCAGGUUAUGUCGGAUGGGGUAAGGGACAUGAUUCUUUUGGGCCAGGAGAGAUUUUCUGGGUUGGCUUGAAAGGAGUGGGUCUGAGGUAAGUGAGAGGUAAACCAUUUGUAUAGUAAGGGUGCGCAACCAAGGAUAGCUCCACGACCUACCUGGGUUCGAUCGUGAAUGGAAUGAUAUAUAUCAGCUAACAAUGUGGGGACUGGGUUCUUUGUGAGGAAAAUUUGGAUGGCAUGGAUGUCAACAUAGUUAUCAAUAUUCGGGAACAAUACUAGGCCAUAGAUGAGUAAAGCUAGGAUAGAGUAAAAGGCCUCAACAUUGUUUGUUUUGGAAAAAUUGAAGGCUUGUUGGUAAAGAAAUUUAGUAGGUAAGCUUGGGAGAUUCCCUUUUAGGGUGAGUUUUUCUUUUAUGAGGGAGGUUUUGAGAUGGAGGGCAUUUGCAAUAGUGGCGGCUUUGGGAAAAGGUUCUAAACCAGUAAAAGGUACCUUAUCAAGUACGGGUAGGCCAAUUAAGUGAGAGUAUUCUUCGAGGGUAGGCAUAAGCUGGUAGUCAGGAAAAGUGAAACAGUGGUAAGCAGGGUCAUAGAACUGGACCAAGGUCUCCAAGCACCCCUUCUCGAUAUUUGUCCAGAGGACACCAAGCAACUUCCCAUGACGAUCACAAAAGUUCUCCAAGUUAGUUACUUCAAAUGCAAGCUUCUUUAAGUUCUCUAGAUCCAAUUUCCUGAAUGUAAACUUCCUAGUAUUUCUUCUUUCCAUGCCUAUGAUAUUUACAAAAACAAGUAUAAGCCCUUCGAUAUUUUUUGAUGAAAAAAGAUAAAAUUAUGAAUGAAUGCAUGUAUGCAUGAUUAUGCAUAGGUUAAGCUUAUCAUGUUGGAGUUUAAAGGUAGUAACCCCCAUUUGGUAAGGACUAUGGUUUCAUUUGUACCUGUAUCACGGGUUCUAUUAAGUUCCCAAAGUCAUCAACUACUUCCGAACGUUAUCAGGUUACAAGACUACUCUCGAUCCAAUAAUAUCCGUAAGAAAGUUUCAUUUGAGUGUAGUAUCGCGUAUCAACUAAUUCAAGACUACUCUUGAUUAGCCACCGCACUACGUCCUAAAAGGCUAAGAUGGGUUAAGGGUAACUAAAGGUCCUCAACUUCGACGGUCACUUGAAAAUAUAAUGCCAACACGACUAUUCAUGCCAACAUAGAUUACUUUCAAGAUUCCUCCAUUGAGUGGGGUUGUACCACAUGAACCUAAACACGAGACUUGACUCUCGGAAAGGCACUUUGGUUAUACCACCGUCCUAUCUUAUGUUUCUCUCAAGCCCGGGUGUAGGGCUUUAUCUCACCACUCAUAUUUAAAAAGAAAGGAAGAAAGAGAGAAGAUAAAAGAUAUAUACAAUUUAUUUCCAUCUUUAUUUUUUUGUUUUUUUUUUGUUUUAAGCAAGUUAUAGCACAAAGAAUUAAAUAAAGCCAAGUUAGGCUCAACCCUCUUAGGGGGGGGUCCCCAGUGAAGUCGCCAUUUCUGUCGCGUCAUUUUUGGAGAUCAAGGCUAUUUGAUUAGCUUUUGACUCACUAAUUAUUUCACGACUGAACAUUUAAUUUUUAAGGAAAAGGGGAAAAAAGUUCAAAACACCCCAUAUUGAAAAGAUUUAGGGUUCGGGGGUUAGUUACAUAAAGGGAAGGUAUUAGCACCCUUUACGUCCGUAGUACUCUACGGGAACCUCUUGGUUUUAUUUAAUUUAAUGUGCUAUAACUUGCUUGCUUUUGAAAAAGAAGUUAAUGUGAUGAUUAAAAGAAAAAGAAAGUGAGACCUAAUUUAUCUACAUUUUUUAUUGUUUGGAAGGACGAGUGUCCUCUGCCUACGUACCCGUGAAGGAUCAAAACCUCGUAGUUCGGGGUAGAAAAUGACGCUUGAUUGGUUUUGUGUUUUUUUAUUAGUUUUUGAAAAAGGUUUUAAAGAUAAAAGCCAAGUGGCAAAUAAGAAUUUGUUUGUGUUUUUUAAUUUAAAUGAAAAUAAACUCAAGGUAGAAUUAAAUUGAUUGAUGUUUGAUUAAGAAAAGAAAAUAAAGAUGCGGUCACUUGAUUUGGAUCAAGGUUUAUUAUAAAAAAUAUUUUUUGUGAUUUUUUUUUUGGUUAUUUGCAUGUUUUGUGAUUUUUUUGAAAAUAUUUAAACUAACGGAGCAUAAAGAAUAAAAGCGUGGCUACCCUAAGUUAGAAAUAUAAAAUCUAUGACUAUUACAUAAAAACCUAUUUACAUUCUAAGGUCUGCAAUAAAAUUAAAAUGCUAAGAAAAAUAAAUAAAUACGAAAAAGAAUAAAAAAAGGUCCAAACACAUGGUGGGGUGCAGUGGUAAACAGGGGUGUGCAGAAAGCAGAAAAAAAAAGGAUUGGGCUCAAGGAAAAUGAACCGGGUUGCGGGUCAUGGGUCAUGGGUCGUGGGUUGACCCGUUUGGGGGGUAUAUAAGGGCUGUUGGGCCCUUUUUCUUUCAUUUUUCUUUUUCCUUUCUCUCUCUUCCUCACCGGUUCUCUCUCUUCUUCUCUGUUCUCUCUCUAACUCUCUUCUUCUCCGGCGGAGUGGGGUGGGGGUUCCGGCGGGAUUCCGGCGCGGUGGCCGGCGAGCCAUCGCGGCUGCGCCGCCGCGCCGGAGCUAAAAAAACUCCCCCUUUUUUAUUUUUUCGCUCUUUCUCUUCCUCUUUUCCCCCCUUACGUGAUACUAAACCCAAAAAUCCCAAAACCUUUACUCAAACGUCUAGAUCUAAAAAGAAAGAAAUUUAUACCUUUUUGUUUUUUUGUUGAUCCGGUUUCGUGAUGUGAUUGUCGCUGUUGUGACGGUUUGUGCGCCUCUGUGUGUGCGUGUAUGUGCUGUGUUGUGUUGCCCGCGGCCGUAUUCCCGUUUCUGUGCACGUGCGUGUGUUGUGGCGUGGACUGGUGCGUGUGUGUUGUGCGCGGACUGGUACGGUUUGGACUAGUGCGUGGCGUGAGUUGUUGGCUUGUGCGACUGUGUUGUUGCUUGUGCGACUGUGUGUUUGGCUCUUCUUGCUGCUUCUGUUGUUUGUGGCCUCUUUUUUUCGUUCUGCUGCGUUUUUUGUUGUGUUUUUAAUUGUUGUGCAGGUCUCUAUUUAUAGAGUGGGUUUGAAGCUUGAAUUUGUUACUGAUGAGCACAAAAUCAGUGGCUUGUGGAGGAGAAAAAAGGAAAUGUGUCUGUUUGUUACUGGAUUUGUUUCAGAGGAAGCGUGAAUCCGGAUUUGGAUUAGAAUGGAAAAGGAACAGAACGUGUAUAAGGAUUGAGAUGAAUUUGGACUAUUUUGUUGGACUUAUUUUUGGACAAUUUUGGGAUUUUAAUUAAAAAGAAAAAAUUAAAAAUAAAAAAAGGAUAAUGUCUAUAUUUUUGGUUUUUAAAAAGGAAAAUUUAAAAUGGGAAUAAAAGGAAUUUAAUCUAAAUUGGACUAAAAUUAAAAUUAGAGUUCUAAAUUAAAAAUUUAAAAGAUGGAAAUAAAUAAUUAAAGACUGAGAGAAGAGGGCCCGAUUCGGAACUUUAUGAGGUAUUUCAAAAUACCUCCCUGCCGAAUUUUUCACUGAAAUGCGAGUCUGGUCCGAGUUCGGAGACGUGUGUCAGUGGGACCUUAGGUCAAAAUUUGGGGUAUGACACACUGCAAAGAAGAUUGACAUCGAAUGUCUUUUUCGCAUUAGACAAGAAACAUACCUUACCUGGGAGGGUUUCCUUUUACCCUAAGAGGGUUUCUUUUUACCCCAAGAGGGGUAAAAAGUUCUUGGGGUCAAAAGAAGCAGAUUUAGUACUACCCAGGGUUUCUUAUAAUAGAAAUUUUUGCUUUACCCCUUCACCUUCAUGUUCUUCUGAAGUAGAUUUAGUAUGAUCCUAAUCCCCCUUCCCUAGACAAGAAACAUAUCUUUUUGUAAAUGUAUCAAUUAUAUUAAUAAAAUGAGAUUUUAUGUGCUAUAUUUUUGUUUUUUAUUUAUAUUUGCAUUUAUUUUAUGAUUUUGGCAUCUAAAUAAAAGUUGUGUAUUUAAUAAAUAAAUUCGAAUAAAGACUAAUUAAACCCAUCAUGAAUUUGAAUAAAAAUUGCAUAUUGAAUAAAUAAAUUUGAAUAAAGUCAAUUCAAAUAAAAGUAGCAUAUUGAAUAAAUAAAUUCUAAUACAAACUAAUUAAACCCAGCAUGAAUUCGAAUAAAAAUUGUGUAUUGAAUAAAUAAAUUCGAAUAAAGUGACACAAGUACACAAAAUCAAUUAAAAAAAUACACAAUUUUAUUUAGUUUUAAUUUCAUCUACAUUAUUUUAUCCCUAAAUAUAUGUGGUAUCAUCAUGAUGUUGGAUUUAAAUUUAAUUCUUGAAAGUUUGCUAAAAAAGUUGGCAUGGAAGUGUCGUAUACUUCGGGUAGAGAUUUGCAACACCUUUGAAAAGUCAAAAGAAUGAAGAGAACACAACACAUGUGUAACACCCCGUUUUCCCAACAUAAAAAUUUCACAUAAAUAAUCAUAGUAUUCACAUAAACGGAAUGUCACACUUCUUUCGUAAAUUAUAAUCGGGAUAAAAUUACUAUUUAUCCUUCAAAAUUCAAUAGCAUAAUCAUUUCAAACUUCGCAGCGGAAUUAUUUCAACAUUUAAACAGUCUUUGGUACGAAGGCCUCAUCAUAAUAUCUCAUAUGCUUAAAUAUGCAAACUGUCCCUGUAAAAAAAAAAAAAAUUAAUUACAUCCCUGUAAUUUUUUUUUUUGUUUUAAAAAUGUCCUUGGCCCCACUUCGCUGGUGAUGUGGCAACGUUUUGGGCCACGUGGCAGUUGCUGACUAGGCAACUGAUGCCACGUGGCAGUCCAUAUAAUUAAAAAAUUAAAAUUAUUUUUUUAAAUUUAAAAAUAUAAAAAAAAAACAUUUUAAAAAAUCUGAAAAAAUAAAAAAAUAUUAAAAUAAUUUUCUGAAAUUAUUUUUAUCAUAUAAUUUUUAUAAAAAAAUAUUAUUUUUUUAAAAUUAUAAAAUCUGAAAUUUCUGAAAAAAAAUGAAAUGAUUUUUUAAUUUUUUUUUUAAAAUAUGAAGAAAAAAAUAUAAUUUUCAAAUUAAAGUCGAAAAUUUAAUUUUAACAGUUUUUUUUUUUCAAUUUUUAUAAUGAUUUUUGAAUUUAUUUUCAUAUUUUUUUAAUUUAAAAAUAAUUUUAAUUUUUUAAUUAUGUGGACUGCCACGUCGAGUGCCACGUGGCAGAAGUUGCACAGUCAGCAACUGCCACGUGGCAAAACCCAUGCCACAUCACCAGCGAAGUGGGGCCAAGGACAUUUUUAAAACAAAUUUUUUUUUACAGGGAUGUAAUUAAUUUUUUUUUUACAGGGACGAAAAUCAAAAUGAGCCCAAAUUACAGGGACAGUUUGCAUAUUUAAGCCUAUCUUUUAAAUCAAUCAUAAAUAUCUCAUAAGUCAAAUCCAACAAUCUAGUCAUAAAUCCUCAUAGAGCAAUACAUAAGGAAUAGAAAGAAAAAAAAACAAUAACAAGUUUCAAUCCCGUUACGUAUCAGAGCACCUAAAGACACACGUGAGAGAGUCCACUCACGACCGCAACUAAUCUUGGUUACCUGCAAGUUACCCAUGUAUAGAGGCAACAUUUCAAAGCAGAAGGGGUGAAAUUCACAAACAAUAAUAUUAAGCAUAUUAUUCAUCACUUAUAUUUAACAACAUAAACAUCUUCAACGCAUCAUAAUAUUAAUUCUCAAUAAACACUUCAUUAAAAUAUCACAACUUAACAACUUGACUUGACAAUGCAACUUCAACUUGACUAUGCAACUCUAUCUUCUUAAUCAUGCAUGUGGUACCAAUCCAGGGCAUCAAGCCCUCAACAUAAGAGUAUAAAUAUACUCACAGGGCAUCAAGCCCUCAACGAGUAGAGCAAAGGCUCACAGGGCAUCAAACCCUCAACGGGUAGAGCAAAAGCUCACAGGGCAUCAAGCCCUAAACAUAAAUGAGUAUGCAUGGACUCAACAUCUUACAACUUAGAAAACAUCGACAUCUUAUGAUUCCAAUAAUUUGGAUCAACAUCUUACAUCUUAGACCGACUCAUGCAGCUUAAUCAAUAAUAAACAGCAACAUAGGCAGCACAUAAAACAGCUCAUGAUAUAGCAAUAUCAAAUGAUAAUCAACAUCAAUCUUAAACAUCUCUUAUAAUUCGCAUACUGUAUAUACAAUUAUAUCACAUUAUUAGCAACAUCAAAUCAUUUAUAUCAGGCUUACUGAAACAGCAGCAGUAGUAUAAGCAACUUCAUUUCCUACCCCAAGGAUCAUCUCACAACAACUCGUGCGACAAAAUCACAUAAAUCCUAAACAAGGUAGUUUGUCUAACAGGAGCUCGCGAGGCGAGGGCCUCUACUCGCCUGGCGAGUUCACAAAUUUGGUUGUUCGCCUUGGCGAACAAGCAGCUCGCCUUGGCGAACUAUAAACUAGGUGCUCUCGGGAACUUGACAUUUUUCACCCAAAAAUCCCAUUUUUAACUUCCCUGUGUUCAAUCUCAGUCUAAAAACUUGCCUAAUCAUUCUUAUACAUAUUCUGGCACUCAAAACCAUCUAAAGCUCGACUAAAGGAUUAAUUUCCAAAAUCAAGGUUGACUCAUUGGUCAACUCGCUAUGGCGAGUGACUUGCUCACUGUGGCGAGCAACUUCUAGGUACUCGCGUGGCGAGCGAUGAACUUCAUCCCUCGCGAGGCGAGACAUGCUGCUCGCAAGGGCGAGCGAUGAAUAUAGGCUUGGGCAGAAUGCAGAUUUUCACGAAAAUCCACCUAAUCACAUGGUUUUAAGCUUAACAUUGAUUCCUGUAAUCAUCGUAUGGCUUAUCUAAGGUCUGUACACGCUUUCUCCAUCAAUUCAAUGGUUUCUCACCCUCUAAUCAUCAAUUCUCACUCUUAACCCGAAUUCUUAAAUUCUCAAAAACUAGUCCUACAACAUGUUAAAUACAACUAUCAGAAUUAGAGGCUUAAGAAAAUUGAGUGCUAGUCCCACCCUUACCUUAAGGAAUCGAUUGGACAGCCUCUCUUGGUUAUUCUCUUCUCUUGUUCUCCCUUUUCUCCAAAAACUGCUUGUACGUGAAAACUUUUCUAAACCUAGUUCUCACCUAUUUAUAUCUCCCCAUCUAUCUUAUCUUAUUCCACUUUUUUCCACAAAACUCUCUAAAUUCACAAAACAACCCCUCAUCUCAAUAUUUAUUUUAUUUUCAAAUCUUAAUCUAUUAAAUAAUAAAAUAAGCCACAACACCUCAUAAAAUUUCUAAAAUCACAUGAAUCACAUAAAUAUAUUUCAAACUCAAUAAAAUAAUUCAAAUAAUCAAAGUGGGCGUUACAACAUGUAUUCUAUCAAAUCAACUAUAUAAAUUCUCUUUCUUAAAAAAAAAACUAUAUAAAUUCUCACAUCGAAUUCCCUCAUAUAAAAUGAGUAUUCACACAAAGGAAUGCAUUCCAAGAGGUUGCUUUGAACUUAAUCUUACUGCCCUGCCAACUGACAAGUUUCAAUUGACAGAGGAGCAUGAUCAAGUUCAAAGGAACCUCUUAGAGGUGCAUUCCCGUCAUUCUUUGACUUUUUAAAGAAUAUGCAAAUAUCUAUCCUAAGUAUACGACACUUCGAUACUAACAUCUUCAACAAACUAACAAGAAUUAAACUUAAAUUUCUAACAAAAUAAAGACAAUACAUAAUAACGAUGCUACCUAAUCAUAAUCUUUUGGCGGAAUCAAACUGUUGAGAAUAUCUUCAGGCAAUCUCAUCAACGUGACAAACAUAUCAAUCCACGGAAACAUGUUGUGCUGCCAAAAAAUCGAGAACAUGCUCCUCACGUCGUCAUCGUUCGUUAAUUCUAGCCAACUGAAUGUUAUUCUGCCCCUCGUCCAACGUUGGGCAUUCAUACCAAAUGUAUUUCACUCUCCUUGUGUCUCCGGGGUUGAGUCCUUAGUUGAUUUCAUUCAGUUGAUCCUUGAGACCUUUUAACGUGACAUUAAUGUAAAGAACCUUGAACAUCUGAGGAUUUUCACCGUUGAAGCGUAUGCAAACAUUGAACAAAUCAGCCAUUGUUUCAAAUCUACACCAUAAAAAAUUAAACGAUCAAUGAAAAACUCAUUCAAACAUUUCAUCAAACACUUGGAGUGCAAAUUAUACAUAAAUCCUAAAACUAAUAACUACAACAUCAACAUGCAAACAUCUAAACAAUUAAGGAAUAUAAAUCAUUUACAUGUAAUAUUGUAUCAUUGCUUGCCAAAAAAAAAUGAAAAUUUAAACAAACCCUAAAACUAAAAAAAUUCUAAUGUAAGAAGAAAAAUCCAACAUAUAAACAUAAAAAGGUUAAUGGUGUUUCAUUAUGAAAACUUACUUGUUAUUGGAGUGUUGUUUGAUUUAAACUUGAAGGAAUUUUGGAUUUGGGUGAUUUGAGAGAGAUUUUGGAGAUUUUAGAUGGGAAAUGAGGAAAUAAGGUUAUGUCUGCCUUUAAAAUAACACGCAACGUGAGUUAAGUCACGCAAAAUUAACACUAGCAUGAGUUAACUCACGCAGGGGUAAUUUUGAAAAUUUGGUUGGAAAUGAGCAAAACAUGUUGGGAGAAGAGCAUAAUUCCAAUGACGAUGUGGACCGACCCAUCUCAUUUAGACUUGUCCUGCUGGUAGCCAUAAAAAUGGGACUAUUACUUUUCCCACCCUAUGCCUUUACUCGCGAGCCCUAUUUUUUUCCAAAAUUACCAUCUGAGCAUUCCGGAUUUCAUAAUCCGGAAUGGUAUUUUCCUUUGUUAUAGGGUGAAAAAUGGAGUUACGGGUUUUUCCGGAUUUUGUAAUCCGGAAACUUCAAAAAAUAGGGCGCGUUACAUGAUGUUUCCGGAUUACAUAAUCCGAAAACCCCCUAAACACCCUUUUUCAACGUAAAACAUUUCAGAUUAUAUAAUCCGAACUGUAUCAGCACAAAUUCUAAACAUGUUUGUAACAUGGAUAGUCAUUUUAUGGACAAUAUUAUUCUUCCUAAUUCGCAUCCUUCUGUUUUGGGUCAUUGUUACAUGUUCUUAGUCAAAAAUCGGGUUUCCGGGCUACUUGACCGGAUUGCUCCGAAACUUGCCCAGAAAAUCAAAAAAAAUUCAAGGACCAUGCCUCCCCUAGAAGGGACUUCCAAUGGGACUCCACCCCUCAAAAUCCAAAAUUCCAUCGUUUAGACCAAUUUUUAAUUUUUUUAAUUUUUCAUAUUUUCAGAAAAAUCCGAAAAAAUUUGCAUUAUUUUUAUUUGAUUUUUAGAAUUUUUUGAUGCUAUUUUUAUAUUUUUAUGAUUUUAUUUGAUAGGUUUUAAGCAUUUUUUACUUAGUUUUUUUUUUGUUGUUUUGAAAAGCAAAACUCAAAACUGUUAAAAUGUGAGAGAGUCUGAUGUCUGAUUAUACAUAAGAAUUGUCCGGAUUAUAAAAUCCGAAAUAAUAAACAUGAAUCCGGAUUUUAAAAUCCAGAAUGCACAAGGGCAUUUUUGAAAAAAUUAUAGGGCGCAGGAGAAGGCGAUAAGAUGGGAAAAGUAAUAAGAGUAAGGCGAGACGGGUAAGUUUGAGGUAGUGCGUUCAAACACAAAUUUCAUUUUAUUAAAAGACAUAAUAACGAGUUUUAAUUAUUAUUUUUUAGGGCGACUGAGGAGUUGGUAGUUGACAAAAAAAAUUAGGAAGAAAAUUUGCAACAUUUUGUUUUUUUAAAAAGCGUUGUCUACGAAACUUAAACUUUUAUAUGUAAGAUAUAAGAGCAUUUCUUAAAACACGGAAAAAAAGAAAAACGUUAAGAAGGAAAUUUGCAACAACUUUUUAUCUCCAAAAAGUUUUUUUUAUUGAAGGAAUGAUUCUAAAAAUUUUUCUUUAUUUGAGGGAAUAUCUCUAAAAAGUUGUUUAAUUGACUUAACAAGUUUUAAAGAAAAAAAUUAGUAAGAAAUUUUCAACAACUUUUUUUCUCGAAAAAGUAGUCAGAUAGAUUUUUUUUUAAAGAAAAGUUGCCUAAAAGAUUAAAGAACUUUUUUUUCCCAUAGAAGAUAAGAUAUCAUUUUAAAAAAAAAAAAAAUUAGUUAAAAAGGAAAUUUGUAACUUUUUUGACUGUAAAAAGUUGUCUAAAAGACUUAACUUUUAUAUAUAAGAUAAGAGAUCAUUUAUUUAAAAAAAAACAAAAAACAAAAAGUUAGCAAGGAAAUUCGAAACAAUUUUUUUUUCUCAAAAGAGUUGUCUAAAAUCAUAAGAACUUUUAUAUAUAAGAUAAGUGAGAGAAUUCAAAAUAUCAAGAAUAGGAGUAAUCUUCAACUCUUCUUUUGACUUCAUUUCUAAUAGGUUACUUGCAAUCAUACAUAUAUAGUAUUGACCUUGAUUAAGGGUGUCGAGUUUACUUGAUAGCAAAUUCAAUCAAAUGUCAUUUAAUGAUUUGAAUUACUAUGUUUUAAGCUUCUAAUCUUUCAUUAUAAAUGACCUUUUUUGUCUUUUGAAAAAUAUUUAUUGUUGCAGUAAUGAAAGCAGUGUUGUGAAGGAAAUAGUUGGCAAUGUUUUGAAAAAACUAGACAAGAAAUACUUGCCUAUCCCAGAUUUUCCAGUAGGAUUAGAAUCCCGUGCGGAAAAAUUGAUUCAGUUUCUAAGAAAGAAUACAAGAGGAGUUUGUUUAGUAGGGAUUUGGGGAAUGGGAGGGAUUGGCAAAAGCACCAUUGCCAAAGUCGUCUACAAUAAUCUUUGUUAUGAAUUUGAAGAUCAAAGCUUCCUUGCUAAUAUUAGACAAGUUUGGGAGAAAGAGAGGGGGCAAAUUGAUUUACAAGAACAACUUCUUUCAGAUAUCCUUAAAACAAGAAAUGUAAAGGUGCAUAAUGUUGAGUGGGGAAAAGCUAUGAUCAAUGAACGACUUUGCACGAAACGGGCACUUGUUAUACUUGAUGAUGUCAGUACACGCGAGCAAUUAAAUGCAUUAUGUGGAAAUCGAAAUGGGAUUGGUCCAGGAAGCAUAAUAAUCAUCACAACAAGAGAUGCACGUCUACUUGACAUCCUUGGAGUUGAUUUUAUUUAUGAAGCGGAGGGAUUGAAUGUGCACGAAUCUCGUAGGCUUUUCAACUGGCAUGCGUUUAAGGAGGCGAAUCCAAGUGAAGCUUUCCUCAUACUCUCCGGAGAUGUAGUUUCCUAUUGUGGUGGACUACCACUAGCUCUUGAAGUCCUUGGAUCUUACUUAUUCAAUAGGAGAAAACGAGAGUGGCAGAGUGUAAUAUCCAAGCUACAAAAGAUACCCAAUGAUCAAAUACACGAGAAACUAAAAAUAAGCUUUGAUGGUUUAGAGGAUCAUAUGGAAAAGAAUAUAUUUCUUGAUGUCUGUUGUUUCUUUAUCGGUAAGGAUAGAGCUUAUGUUACAGAGAUACUAAAUGGGUGUGGACUUCAUGCUGAUAUUGGAAUAGAAGUGCUGAUAGAGAGAAGCCUCCUAAAAGUUGAAAAGAAUAACAAGCUUGGAAUGCAUGCUCUGCUACGAGACAUGGGAAGAGAAAUUGUUCGUGAAAGUUCACCUGAGGAGCCUGAGAAACGUACUCGAUUGUGGUGUUUUGAAGAUGUAGUUGAUGUACUGGCCGAACAAACCGUAAGAAUUCUACAUUGCAUUUUGAAUUUUUGUCAUCCUUCACGAUCUUUGAAGAUAAAAAUAAAACUAUGUUUCAGAAAUGUUUUUUUACUUUUCCCAUCUAUUGGCUGAAAAUUGUGGGAUUCAUCAUCUCACAAGUGUUUGUCCAAAGUUUUUGGAGAAGUUAGUUCAUGAGAAAAAUGUCAUUUUAUAUAUGAUUGGGUAAGGGUUUAAGCAGAAAUUUUAUGUGUUGCUUUUUAGUUACCAAAUAGCAAGUUAAGGAUUCCUUUUUAUUUUAUUUUAUUUUUGUUUUUUCUAUGGUCUUUCUUUGUGUCACAGGGAACAAAAGCCAUCGAGGGAUUGGUUUUGAAGUCGCAAAGGACCAGUAGAGUUUGCUUCAAUACAAUUGCUCUUAAGAAAAUGAAGAAAUUGCGAUUGUUGCAACUUGAUAAUGUACAAGUCAUCGGAGAUUAUGAGUGUUUUUCGAAGCAGUUGAGAUGGCUUUCUUGGCAAGGAUUUCCUUUAAAAUACAUGCCAGAAAACUUUUAUCAGAAAAAUGUAGUUGCUAUGGACUUAAAACACAGUAAUCUUACACAGGUUUGGAAGAAGCCUCAGGUACAUAUGACAAUAGAUAUUCCUUUUAAAAUUAAUGGUUAAUGGAAAUAGUUAUUUUGCAUCUUAUUCUCUAAUUUUUAUUUAAAACAUUUAUUUUCUUGUAGUUGAUAGAGGGACUGAAGAUCCUAAAUCUCAGUCAUUCUAAGUACUUGAAAAGAACCCCCGACUUUUCAAAAUUACCAAACCUAGAAAAGCUAAUUAUGAAGGAUUGUCAAAGUCUGUUGGAGGUACACCCGUCCAUUGGAGAUCUCAACAAUCUUCUUCUGAUAAAUUUGAAGGACUGUACGAGUCUUAGCAAUCUCCCAAGAGAGAUCUAUCAAUUGAGAACAGUGAAAACUCUCAUCCUUUCUGGUUGUUCAAAGAUUGACAAAUUAGACGAAGAUAUAUUGCAAAUGGAAUCCUUGAAAACUCUAAUGGCAGCAAAUACUAGAGUCAAACAAGUGCCUUUUUCGAUCGUCAGAUCAAAAAGCAUUGGAUAUAUAUCUCUAUGUGGAUAUAAAGGAUUAUCACAUGAUGUUUUUCCUUCUCUCAUUAGGUCUUGGAUAUCACCAGCAAUGAAUUCCUUACCAUGCAUUCCCCCUUUUGGUGGCAUGUCAAAGUCUCUUGCUUCCUUGGAUAUAGAGAGCAAUAAUCUGGAUUUGGUGUCUCAAUCACAAAUACUUAACAGUUGUUCAAGACUUAGAAGUGUUUCAGUACAAUGUGACUCAGAGAUUCAACUGAAACAAGAAUUCAGAAGAUUUCUUGAUAAUCUAUAUGAUGCAGGUCUUACUGAAGUGGGAACAUCACAGGCAUUACAAAUUUCGGAUCUUUUCAUGAGAUCCCUUUUGUUUGGUAUCGGAAGUUGUCACAUUGUCAUCAAUACUCUUGGCAAGAGCUUAUCACGGGUUUCUUCUCCAUCCUCCCACCUUUACUGAUAAUUAUUAAUUUAUUACUUAGGAAAACAUAGAACUACUUUCCAUUUGCAUUUUUUUUUUUUCAAAUGGUAAAAGAUUUUAAAAUAUACAAAUUUAUUCAAGUAUCAUAAGAGAAAACAUAUUUUUUCUACAUAUCAUUUUUUCUUUAAAUUUAUCUUCAUUGCAUUUAUUUGCUACUGUUAAUAUUUAUUACAUUUGUUUAGCUUAUUCAUAUAUUCGUAACACAUGUUUAACUUUGAAAGGAUAUUUGAAUAACUAUUGAAGCUAUACACGGGGUUUAGUCGUUUACAUAUUGAACGAGAAAGAGAAACAGAAUAAUAAAAUUAUAUUUUUGUUGGUCUGGAUGGUUAUAUUGGAUCUUCUUGCCAUACAAAACAAAUCACUAGCUCGACAAUUGUUUUAUAAAAAAAGUUUAGUACAUAACUACAAUCUAAAACGAAUAAGGUAACUAGAUAACUUUUUACCUAUAUUUUUUGAAGUGCAAGUAUAUGUUAUGUUUUUGCUCUCUACAUUAGAAGGGAUCCAUGACCAUGUAAGCUAAUGUUGCUACAAUGCUACCUUUUAUUAGAAAUCAAAGCUUCCAGAUGUUUCAUAUGUUAGCUCACAAGCCUUUUGUAUUCAUGAAAGUGAAUCGACUGUGUGUGAAAAGGAGACAAAUUACUCUACAUAAACGAAAACAAUACUAUUCCUAAUGUUUUGAAGACAGAAAAUGAUUGGUUUUUCUACGAUGUUGAUACUAGGCCUUACAUAUUAUCAGACACUCUUCAAAGAAGGGAAUACAAAAGUAAAGUGCAAGUAGAGCUAGUUAAUGAAAAAUCUUCUUAUGGAUUCAUAAGAUAGUAGAACCCUGAGAGUGUGUUUGGAUGGGGGAAUGUUUUGAGGGAAUGUAGUGUUUUGAGGGAAUUCAACUACUUUGAGUUGAAUUCAAAUUCCCUCAAAACAUUACAUUCCCUCAAAACAUUUCCCCAUCCAAACACACUAUGAGAGAAUUUGUAGACAAACAUACAUAUGUUAUUACAAUGGUUACUGUGAAAGAUGAGUUGUAGCCUGUAGGAAAGUGGAAAGAAACUAUACUGCAUUUUCCAUUCAAUCUGUUUCCUUGUUUAUAUUUUUUUGUACACUAUUUUAAUUUUUAACACAAUAAAUUGCAGAAGUUGUCCAUUUGCGUAGCAUAAUUAGAAUUGCAUAAGUAAGUAACGAAGCAUAUUUUCAUGAUACAGGGAUUGACAACCAAUUUAGGUGAUUCCCUUCCGGGUGACAAUUAUCCUUCUUGGUUAGCCUAUAAAGGUGAAGGACCUUCAGUACUUUUCCAAGUGCCGAAGGAUAGUGAUUCUUGCAUGAAGGGAAUAGCUUUAUGCGUUCUUUAUUCAUCAACACCUGAAAAUUUGGCAACUGAAAGUCUCACUAGUGUCUUGAUCAUUAAUCACACAAAAUUCACUAUCCAGAUUUACAAACGAGACACAAUAAUGUCGUUUAAUGAUGAAGAUUGGCAAGGCAUAGUGUCAAAUUUAGGAGUUGGUAACAAUGUGGAAAUAUUUGUAGCUGUUGGGCAUGGAUUUACUGUUAAGGAAACUGCGGUUUAUCUAAUAUAUGAUCAAUCUAUUUCUACGGAAGUUGAGCCAUCAAGUACUAUUGAAGUUGACCCAUCAACUAGCACAAAUAUUGAGCCAUUACAUGAAGUGGAAGUGCAAUCAUCACUUAGUGUGAAAAUGGAGGCAUCGGCCGAAGAGCAACUACAACCAUCACUUGAUGUGAAAACGGAGGCAUCAGCUGAAGAGGAUGUACAACCAUCACCUAAUGUGAAAAUAGAGCCAUCAGCUAAAGAGGAAGCACAACCAUCACCCGAUGUGAAAAUGGAACCAUCACUUGUCAAGAAUGAACCAUUACCGAACGCAAAUAGAAAAAUAUUUACAAGACUUGCAAAGAGAGUGGGAGAAUGUUUAUGCUUGAACCAGAAAUGAGUAACAACUUUUGAUUGGGCAUGCCUAUUGUCCUGAUAUGGAAUUCCCAUGUAUGUGUUUUUUGCUUAAUGAAAAUAUGUAGAAAAUAUGUGUUUAUGCUUGAACCAGAAAUGAGUAACAACUUAAUGAACCUAUUGUGCCAAGUUGCUUGCCUUUGUUUCAUCUUCAAAUACACCAUUUUUGCACGUCUACUAUUCUGAUGGAAUACCAAUUACAUGAAUGUCAUUCUUUCGUCAAUUGGUUCAUUUGGUUCUUGAUUCUGAAAAUUUGACUCAUUUGUUGUGUUUCCUUCUACCUACUGGUUCUUAUUUUUCAUUUCUUUUACUACUGGUACUCUGGUAGCAUGUGUUGGAUCAAAUUUACAUUCUCACUAUAGUUGAAAUUUUCAUGGAGAGUAAUAUGCACUGUUAGUCUGUUACUCCUGUUAGUCCUAAACCGAGAUUCCAAUAUUGGGCGUACAGUAAAAUUUGAAGUAAAAACGACCAUCGUAGUUAAUGAAGUAAACUGGAGAAUGCAAAAAUAGUACAUUUCCCCUUAAAAAAAUAGUACAUUUCACAAAAAUUCAAAUAAAAAAUAAACCUAAAAUGCACACAUUAUUUUUUUUUCUUUCAGUGAUAUAAUAUAUACUAAAAUUAUUUCUAUAAAAAAUAUUACUAAAAUUAUUGAAGGAAAAAAAAAUUGAGUGAGAGUGAGAUAUUGUGUUUGAAAUGAUUUUGAAUGGUAUGAAAUGCCAGUGCUUUGUUAUAUCUUGGUUUUCUUCCAAACUUGUUUUAUACUACUAUGUUUUAAGUCAAUAACAAGAUUUCUUUGAUAAAAGUCAUCAGGUAUUUUGUUGAAGGUAAAUCCUUUCCAAUGUAUUCGUCUCAGGUCAUUAGAAAGACACUUAUAAUCUCUAGUGAGGUCGACAUGAUCAAGUUGUAAAAGUCUCGUUUCUUCAUCCUUUUUAAAGAAUCAGUACUGACGAAAAGUUAAAUGCUUUGCAAACUUCAAAGCCAAGUCAUUUACAGGUUCUGUUUCCUACAAAAACAUAGAAGUGUAAAGUGAAACCAUUUUCGCUUCCUUGCUAGAGAAAAGUAUAACAAGCUGCAGAGAUGCAAACCGAGCAGAAGCUACUCAAGUCGAGAGGGAAUCAAUAAAUACACUGCUUGAUGACUUAAGACAUAUAGUUUUUUCAAGUAACCUUUUGAAAUAUCUUCCAAAUCACACAAACUGUAGAGAAAAGUUAAAACAUUUAUUAUUCAAAAUCGGAGAUAGGGUUGAUGAACUAUCUGAGAAACAAGUUUUGGGUCUUACUUAGUUCACUAAAAUCUUCAAAGAAACAAAUUCAAUUACUUAAGGAGCAAGUAAAUAAGCUUCAUCAAGAAAAGUCUGUCUUGAAAGAUACUUGUUCGAAAUGUCAAGAAAAAAUGGUCGACAUUCUGAAAGAAAUCAAAAACUCUAUCAUCCAAUACUUUAAAAAUCCUUGAGAAAACUUCUCUCCUUGAAAAGAAAGAACAAAAAUUCAAUUGGAAUUGCAAGAGACUCCAAGAGCACUAUACCAAAAUGAAAUCAGCACCUCCUUGAAUUUAGAUCUUUUUAUCAUUUGUUUAACUACUUUAUAAUUUGCUAUAUGGUAUAUAACUAUGAUUACCAUAUUUCUUCUCUUUGUUGUAUAUAUGUAAUUGGGAAUGAUAGUUUUCUAUCUCAAUACUGAAGUUAAAUCGGAAACAUUAUGUAUUGUGGUUGUAUUUUUCUUCAUUCAUCUCUGUGAGGCACUAAGAAGUUGUUUCAAUCUGUUUAUUUAUGUUAUCCCCCAGAUAUAUUCAUUGUUUUCUAUUGUUUUGGCUUGAAAAAUGAAGAGAAAAUGAAUUGUCUCCAGUUGAUUAAAAAACACUACAGGAUUGAUACACUUUUAUAGACUUUAUUGAAUCUAUCCUAAUUAAUGAGAUAGAAUAUAAUAAAAUCAGAAUAUAAACUGUAAAUAUGAGUGAAUAAAUAAUGUGAUAUAGUUGCUUCUUGUUCGUUAUAUGUUAGGAGCACAGAUAGCCAAUAUCAGUAAUGGUGUAUUGCCAUAACAUUAUGAUGCUCACAAAGCAGAAAGUAAAAUAAAACUAAUUGUUUUUUCUUUCAAGCGGUAGAAGGCUUUCCUUAUAAAUCAUUAUCCGGCAACAUGAGUCACCUUUAACACCAAGCUCUUCGAUUCUCUGGGUGCUUAAAUCAAACCAAACUAACUCAUUAUCCUUUUUUCUGAAGAAUAUAUCGCCCUUCUUACAAAUUCCAAUAGGAUGUUCAAUGCCAGGCAAAGGACCUACAAUAAAGAGUUUGGUCCAUGACUCUUUGAACCCAACUUCACCCAAAAUUGAUAUGUGAAAUUUUGAUUUCUUCAGUUUAAUUUUUGAUAAACAUCAACUACUACUACCUAUAUAUUUCUUCAGUUUAAUUUUAUUACAUGACUAUAAUCCUAUUGCCUUCAACAACAAUCACACAACUCAAUCCUUCACCAAAAAUCAAUUUUCACAUAAAAUCCAUUUUCACAUGCAUCAACCAACCACAACAAAUCUAAAGUUCAAAAAAUAAGACAUAAAAUAUAACUACCUUAGCAUCCUGAUCAAACCUCCUUAAGCAUCCCAAUAGAACCAGGAUCACAAGCAUCAUAUGUGUCAUUGAAAAAUCAACAUAAACCCAACUUUUAUUGGACUAAAGGUAACCACACAAGUACUUUUGAAUUAGGAGGAACAACCUAUGAAUUAGGAGGAACGACCUAUACGCACUGCAACUUGAUCUUGAGUGGCCAUGAAGUAAGAGAUAUGAAAUCAGCUAAUAUAUGUUUUUUAUAAUUUGUAGUCAACAGAAUCAUCAACUGAUAUAUUUGCAUCAAUUUCUUUGUUACAAAAAUGCAGAUAUUUUUGUAAGAAUUUAAUACCAGAAGUUUUGCUCGUCCUAUGAAUAUUUGUGCACAACUAUUUUUUGUGAACUAGAAACCUCAUUGUUCACAUUGAUAAUAGAAAGAUCUUUGAAGCGUUUCUUCAUUGAUUUUGCUCCUUUAAUAAACAAAAGGCAUGUCAUAUUAACUAAAUAGUAUGUCUUUGGUUAAGCUAAUUAGUAAUUAGAUAAUUGAUUGAAGAUUAUUAUGUUCUAUUAGAGUAUGUCUUUAUUUCAAGGAAUAAAAAAAAUGGAUAUAUGUUGAAAUUAGAAGUUGUUGCUAACAAAAAUUGAUCAAUACUUGUUCUAUUGAAUUGAUAUGCUUGUCAUCAAUAGGAAACUGCAUUAUUAUGUCUUUAAAUUUUGGCACAUAUGUUGUGCUUUCAAACCACAUCUACCACAAAAUAUAUGUAGCUGGUUGUAAUUUGUGGCAUGCCUAAAUUUUUUUUUUUUUUGGUGUUGUAACAAAAAACACAUAUAUAUAUAUAUAUAUAUAUAUAUAUAUAUAUAUAUAUAUAUAUAUAUAUAUAUAUAUUAUGUCCUGAAUGUUUAUAUAAUUUUUUUUAUGGAAUUAUAUAUAUAUAGGGGUUUGCUAGAACACACCCACUAAUUUUUAUGUGGGAGUGUUUUAGCAAAGCUACACCUUAGGGUGUAUUUAACCACUUUUUAGUUAUUAAUUUGCUAAAAUACUCCUUCUAAAAAAUAAGUGGGUGUAUUCUAGCAAAUGCCUAUAGGAUUUGCUAGAACACACCCACUUGUUUUUUUUAGAAGGUGUGUUAUAGCAACAUACACCUUAAGGUGUAUUUAUUAACUUUUAAGUUGUAACUUGCUAAAACACUCCCACAUAAAAACUAGUGGAUGUGUUCUAGCAAAUUAUAUAUAUAUAUAUAUAUAUAUAUAUAUAUAUAUAUAUAUAGCCGAGUAGUCCCAUUAUCCUUAAUCUUAGUUAUCUAAUUCUCUUUUCUCUCUUUACCUGAUCCAUGUGAUUUCAACAUAGUACCAAAGCCAUAUUUAAUUCAUAUUUUGUUAAAACAAAUCUACUUUUUUAAAGAUUUUUACAAUAUUCUACAUAUUUCUGCAUAAUUUCAUUAAAAAAAAUACAAAUAUUACUCAUGAAUUGACUUCAAAAUUGGGACCAAAAGUGGAAAUUGAAAAUCUUAUAAGGACUAAAAGUUGAAAAAAAUAAAUUAAAGGAACUAAAACGAAAAAUUGAUAUAUUUAUUGAGACUAAAAAAAAUAUUUAACUUUCCAAUGUCUCUCCUCCUCUGUUUGGACUCUUUAUUAAUUAGAGGUGAUUUUAAACUUCAGAUGUUUCUCUUGUUGUUUUGAGAUUUGCCAUUAAGCACCAUGUUUGGAUUGCCUUUUUUCCUUCUGAUAUAAAUUGGUUCUAUUGUGGUUUUGUUUAGCUCUUUUAUUUUUUUUACCAUUGUUGCUUUUGCAUUAGCACCUUAUUCUUAUUUUUGUUUGUUUAAAGGAAUGAUCAAUAUAAAUGCUUCCGGUUGUUAUACUUAUGGUAGCUUUUAUUUAUAGAUAUUUAUGAUUAAUUUAUAGAAAUAUAUAUAUAUAUAUAUCAAGGAUUAAUUACAGAUGAAUAAAAGACAAGCGAACAAUAAGUUGCGUCAUUAGGCCUUUAAGAAAGGCAAAAUCAAUCCUCGUGAACACGACAUUCAUGGGCCUAGGAGACAUGACAUUGCUAUACAUGACCAUUUUGAACUCUAUAUAGGUCAACAACCUCUCGUGCUAGGAAAGUCAUCAAAUGUAAAAAUGGAAUAAAUUUUGUUGGAUGUAGUAUAGAAUUUGCCCACAUAUUAUUCCGUUCAUGCAUGUGAAUGCUUUUGUUGCGGCCGACUCAAGUAUUACUGCAUCUCCACGGUGGACGCCAAAUGUUCUUGCUGGUACACAUGGAGACGAGCCAUGAGAUAUUUGUGCCAUUUGGAUAAAAGUUAAUUAUUUAAUAUAUAUAUAUAUAUAUAUAUAUAUAUAUAUACACUCUUUUUUAAAAUUUUAGUCCCUAUUAAAAUUUAUUGAAAAAUUUAGUUCUCCAUAAUAUUGUAGCUUAAAAUAACGGUUCCUAUUUUAAAAAUAUUUUACUUAAAAUGAAUACUUUUAGUCCUCAAAAUAAUCGACAUAAAAGGAAAAUAAGGUUUCAAAGUGAAUAGAUUUUUUUGAAUAACUAAAUUUGAAAGCUCCUGUUUUUGUACUAAGAUAUUUAUAACCAGUAAUAAAAUAAAUUUGUAAGCCAAAUCUUGAGAAAACAAUUGUCAAAUGUAAUGUUGUAAACUCUUUUUGAAAUCUUCUUUUACGUAUCUUAUUCUUAUGCUUGAAGGCAGCGACGGAUCUAGGAUUUUUUAAUAGUGGAGGCAUCAUAUAAAAAAAUUUGUAGCAUUAAUAAUUGUCCUCUACAAUUUUUCAUAUUACGGAAACUUUGAACGGUUUUCUUAUUUUGAAAAUCAAUAAAAAUAUAUUUCUCUAUAUAAAUAACUAAACAAUCAUUUAACCGAUCAUCUCUCAUUCGAUUUUGCAUCCAAUUCUUGAUAAUAUUCAUACUAUCAAAAAAUAAUUUGAGAUAUAUGAUGAUAUAUGUGGGCCAAAAGAAAAAUAAUUUGUGAUAAGUGUAGACCGUGUGGUCAAAAUGUGAACUAUUGAUACAUUAUACUACUAAAAAUAAUAGUUUCUAAAAAUUUAAUGUAGGCACAAGCCCACACAUGGAUGAAUGAACAUACAUCCGUCCCUGCUUGAAGGACUUGUGAGCUUUGAUUAUUUUUAUUUUAUUUUGGCUUUUAAAAAAAAACAGAGAAAACAAUUGUAAAAAAAAUUAAAAAAAAUCCUGCAAAAGAGUCAACAAAACACUUCUUGAGUAUUUAGUUUUCACGUAUUUGCAAAAUCUUGCCUUAGCAAGCCUUAACUCAUAACAACCAUGUCGUUCUUUCCCUCUCGGACUCACACGAAAAAAAGUAAAUUGACUAUUACUUUUCUCACCUUAUGUACUUUUCACACGCCUUAUUUUUUCCAAAAUAUCAUUAGUUCGGAUUUUAUAAUUUAAACAAGAUUUCAAGAAAUAUUCAGAUUAUAUAAUCCAAAAAUGUCUUUUACCAAAUUUUUAAUUUGAGUUUAGUUUAUUUUAUAUUAUUUAGAUGCGAAAAUCAUAAAAUAAAUGAAAAAAAUAAAAGAACAAAACGAUAUACAUAAAAAUUUUAUUUUAUUAUUAUAUCAAUACAUUUAUAAUAAAGUUGAAGCUUAAAGCUUAUUACAUAGAACAUUCAAACAUAAACCAACCUAACACUCAGACAAACCGUGCUUCUUUGUAGCGCGUUGUCUUCCCCGUUACCCGUUCAUACAAUCCUUGAGUUUCCAAAGUAGCAUCUUUUUAUGAAAUGCCAACGAUGGAAACACAUUGUUGUAUAAGGAAGAUGAGGAGAGGAUGAGAGUGUGAGAUGAUGGUGUGAGAAAUGGUGAAGGUUUGAACGCUAUUUAUAGGGGGAAUGGUUGCAUAGAGUGUAUCUACACUUAAUGUUGAGUAAAAAAAUAUGGUUCAAAGGGGUUUUACCACCCAUCAAUGCUGAUAAAAACCUUUGAAAACAUGUUUUAUGUGGUUCAGACCACCGGCCAAGAAACUGACUUGGUUCAAAUUAUAUAAUCUGAAAUCAUACCCAUGGUUUUCGGAUUAUAUAAUCUUAAUUUAUUCAAUGUUAGGUGGAAAUGAAGGAACUUCAUACCUUAUGCAGGGUGAGAGACAUUUCGGAUUAUAUAAUAAGAAAAUGUUUAGGACAUGAUUUUUUCUGUGGUCCACAUUGCACCGACAGUUUAUGUGCUACAAGACACCCAAGUACCUCUAUAAAUAGGUGUCCCUGUUUUCAUAACCAAAAAACCACACACAAAAAAAAAAACAUGGAAAACUCUCUUUGAUCUGAACACCAAGCUAGUUACAGUGUACUACAACGGGGAGAAACCAAUCCAUCUAUUUAGGAUUCACACUUAUGUCGCCCUCUCUGUGUUGAAGGGUCAGCUGGAUCGAAUCAACCGCCAACUCAACUAAAGAGACACACGGAGGGUGGAUGGUGUUCAGUAUCGACAUCCAUCGAUCGACUCAGCCAGGAGUGUGCGGUUCACCCGGAUGAAGCUUAUGAACGGCGACGUGAGAACCAUAUUCUUGAUCUUUGGUCAAUACAGUACUAGAGGACCGAUCGAGUUGGACGCUUCGUUGGUCAGAUAUGUUGAACAAAUUCAUAAAAGUUUGAUCCGACCCAAGAACUACGAAGAGAUUAGGGCACUCUUGGACGCACCAUAUGAAGACAUUAAUUUAGCUGAUCUGUGGUAUGAAUGUCAUCAAAGGGUCCAUAUUGUCUCUGGUUCCCAUUCUCUAUUUUAUGGUUUUAUGUUGACGUGUAAUGCGUUUGAAUCAGGUACCUUAUUGGGAAUUCGUGUCUUACAAUUGGACCUUGACCCGGUGAAAAACAAUACCUGAAAAAAGAAAAACAAUGUGCUAGUUAUUGGCUUAUGCAGUUAAUACUUAGUAAUUCAGUUUUUCAAAGAUCACUUGUUCUUUAACAUAUUUGAAAACAUAUACUAAUGUAGAACAAUGUUAAAAAAUGUCAGAAUUGUUAACCUCUAAUUGUUGCAUAUGAAACAACAAUUACAAACCAUCACCAUCAAAAUAUAAAAUUGAAUUAUAAACACUUUUGAUGUCUAAACUACCAAUUUAAAAGUUUUUCCUCUAUAUUUUAUUUCAUUUACUUUUAUUUUAUAAACCCUCUAAUUCUUGCCUUUUUUACAGUUCAUAUAUAUAUAUAUAUAUAUAUAUAUAUAUAUAUAUAUAUAUAUAUAUAUAUAUAUAUAUAUACACUCACAAUUUUGUCUAUGCAUUAAUCAUUAAUGAACAUGAUGAAGUUAUAUCAGUUUGAAUUGCUCUUAUCCUUUCUAUUCAUCAUUGUCAAUACAACCCUUUCGGGUUAUAUCCCUCAAUUGCCUCAUUCUCUUGUCAAACAAAUAGACAAGAUCAAACAAUCUCCUCCAUCAGAUGAAGAUUCAAGGUCUAUCUCAAAUCAAAAAACAUUUGAGCACUUUCGGCUACUUCCGACAAUUUCUACUGAAAUUUGAUGAUGUUCUAGACGAGGAAACAAUAUCCGCUAUUAAGACCUACCAACAAUUUUUCAAUCUCCAAGUUACUGGUAACCUAAACACCGAGACUUUACAAAAAAUCUCGUUACCGCGAUGUGGUAUUCCUGAUAUGAGAUACGAGUAUGGCUUCGAUGUUGGAAGUGAUGUAUCAUUUCCGAAAGGAAACAAGUGGUUCCCUAAGGGCACAAAAAAGCUGACAUAUGGUUUUCUUCCAGGGAAAAAAUUCUCGUUACUGCGAUGUGGUAUUCCUGAUAUGAGAUACGAGUAUGGCUUCGAUGUUGGAAGUGAUGUAUCAUUUCCGAAAGGAAACAAGUGGUUCCCUAAGGGCACAAAAAAGCUGACAUAUGGUUUUCUUCCAGGGAAAAAAUUCUCAUUAGACAUGAUCGAAGGGUUUAGAAAUGCCUUCACACGAUGGUCGCAGACCACUAGGGUCCUAAAUUUUAGCGAGACUACAUCAUACGAUGAUGCUGACAUUAAGAUUGGAUUCUACCAUAUUUACAACAAUGAUAUUGUUGAUGAUGUUGUGGUGGGUGACUCUUUCAUCAGCAGAAACCUUGAUUCGAAUGUGAAAUCAGGUAUGAUACGUUUGGAGCGUUCAAAGUUUUGGGUGUCGCCAACUACCACCUACUUUAAGAAGUGGGAAUUGCAAGAAUUCGAUUUGGAGACUGUUGUCAUGCAUCAAAUAGGUCAUCUACUAGGACUUGAUCACUCUUCUGAUAAGGAGUCUAUUAUGUACCCAUUAAUAGAUCCAUUGCAAGAAAAGAAGGUGCAAAUAACAGAUUCAGAUAACCAAGCUAUACAACAACUCUACACCAACACUGCCAAAGCCAAUCCAAACUCUGAUCAUAGUGGGUGCUUUAAGCUUUUUGAGUCAAGUAUGUUCUUAUUAGCUUUUUGUCCCUUGGUUUUGCUUUUGUAGCUCUCGUGAACUUGGCUUCCUAAUUAAUAUAUCAUUUGAUUAGGGACUCACUUUAAUAUCCAUUGGAGUGCAAAAAUCACUUCAACUAGACUUUCGACCUAUCGACUAUAAUAAAGACCAAUAAGUUAGAUUAUCUAUUUUUAUUGAUGUUAAAUAAGUCGUAGGUUGUAUUAUCCUAAACUACAGUAUUCCCUUCGUCCCAUAAUAACUGAGCUAUUUGCACCCAAAAAAAUGUCUCAAAAUAACUGAGUCAUUUCACUUUUCAAUACAAUAUUAAUUAUUUUUUUCUUUAUAACUCUAAUUAAUACUACUUUCAUCACUCCAAUUCAAUAUGAUAGUGGAAAAUACACAAAUACUUAACAAGAGCGCUUAAAAUAAUUUUUCUCUCUCCUUCAUUUAUACAUUUUUUUUAAUAUAUGUGAAAUAAGCAAAUGACUCAGUUAAUCCGAGAUUGAGGUAGUAUGAUAAACAUUCAUAUAUUUUAGGAAUAAGGUGCAAACAACGUUAGUUAUUAUAAAUAAAUAAAAAAUACUUCUUUAUUACAGUCAAUAGGACCCGUGCAAUGUAUAUUAAAAAAUACAAAAGAACUAAAUGAAGAUAUAAUAUUAAGAUUAAUAUUGUCCUAUUACGACUUUCAUUGACAUUUAAAAAAAAAUAUGAUAUGACCAUGGUGAUUAACAUUCCUAAACAAAAAAUUUAAAUUGAAAUAGUACAUAAUGAUGAGUUCACUCAUUUAAACAUAUAUCAAAAGUUAAACUUAUCACCAGCUUACAGCCACUUUACUUUACAAACUGAUCUAUAUCCAUGGUAUAUAUUUGUUUCUUUAUUUCAGUUCUUUAUAACAUGCACUCGUAUUUCAUUCCUUAACCUCGACUGAAUUAAUUGAUAUACAUUCUUUUUCGAAACAAUGCUAUUCACAGUGCAUAGAUUUUGAAAAACUCACAAACUAAGAAUUUGAGCUUUGCAAAUAUAGAAAAAAAAGUGUAAGUGCAAUAAAUUGCAAGUGCUUUAUCAAAUAAACCCUACUUUUAUUGACUAAAGGCAAUUAACCACACAAGUACUUUUGAAUUACAAGGAACAAAAGGCAUGUCAUGUUAACUAAAUAAUAUGUCUUUGGUAUUAAUUAAGCUAAUUAGUAAUUAGAUAAUUCAUUGAAGAUUAUUAUGUUCUAUUAGAGUUGGUCCAACAUCCUAUAUCUAUUGGAUCACACUUAUCAGAGAUUUCAGUUGCUAUGUAGCUCAUGCUUUUUGUAUAUAUAACUGCAUCAAGGAAUAAAAAAAAUGGAUAUAUGUUGAAAUUAGAGGUUGUUGCUAAUAAAAAUUGAUCAAUACUUGUUUUAUUGAAUUGAUAUGCUUGUCAUCAAUAGGAAACUGCAUUAUUAUGUCUUUAAAUUUUGGCACAUAUGUUGUGCUUUCAAACCACAUCUACCACAAAACAUAUGUAGCUGGUUGUAAUUUGUGGCAUGCCUAAAUUUUUUUUUUUUUUUUUUUUUGUUUUGGUGUUGUAACAAAAAACAUAUAUUAUGUCUGGGAAUGUUUAUAUAUAUAUAGCCGAGUAGUCCCAUUAUCCUUAAUCUUAGUUAUCUAAUUCUCUUUUCUCUCUUUACCUGAUCCUUGUAAUUUCAACAUAGUACCAAAGCCAUAUUAAAUUCAUAUUUUGUUAAAAAAAAAUCUACUUUUUUCAAGAUUUUUACAAUAUUCUACACAUUUCUGCAUAAUUUCAUUAAAAAAAAUACAAAUAUUACACAUGAAUUGACUUAAAAAUUGGCACCAAAAGUGGAAAUUGAAAAUCUUAUAAAGACUAAAAGUUGAAAAAAAUAAAUUAAAGGAACUAAAACGAAAAAUUGAUAUAUUUAUUGAGACUAAAAAAAAUAUUUAACUUUUCAAACAAUAUCUCUCCUCCUUUGUUUGGACUCUUUAUUAAUUAGAGGUGAUUUUAUAAACUUCAGAUGUUUCUCUUGUUGUUUUGAGAUUUGCCAUUAAACACCAUGUUUGGAUUGCCUUUUUUCCUUCUGAUAUUUAUUGAUUCUAUUGUGGUUUUGCUUAGCUCUCUAUUUUUUUUACCAUUGUGGCUUUUGCAUUAGCACCUUAUUCUUAUUUUUAUUUGUUUAAAGGAAUGAUCAAUAUAAAUGCUUCCGGUUGUUAUACUUAUGGUAGCUUUUAUUUAUAGAUACUUAUGAUAUAUAUAUAUAUAUUUCUUUUGCGGGGAAGUCAAAAGUUUCAAAUGUAAAUGGAAUAAAAAUAUCUUGAUUGUCAAAAACACAUUUUCUCAUGUUUGGUCACUUUAGCGCGGCUUUUAGAAUUGUUUGUCAUAUUUUAAAACCCCCGACCUCUAAUCCCACAAGUGAUGAAACCCCGAUCGAAUAGAAAUAAGAGAAAGAAUGAAUGAAAACAUAAUUGCAAUAAUUAAUAGAGUAGUUUAGAGAUUACAAAGCAAGAUUACAAUAUAUCAAGGAGAGGAGUGGGCUCUAAUUGCAGUAAUCAAUCAAAAUGUUGCUGAAAUUUCAAUUAUCCAAGAAGUAACUAUCAUGUUCAUCAAUGGAAUGGGAUGAGGGGUUGUGAGGUCUCAAAUGGUUGCUAACCCUAGCUGGAAACGACCGCUGAAAUUGGGUGAAGAUUUCAGACCAUUAACAACAUUGUCAUCAUCCUAGUACAAGUCUUGUCUAUACGUCCCAAGUUAUUCCCUUUGAUAAUUUUCCAUGUGAGGUGUCCUAGUCUUAUCCUUUGGGAAUCUCAUAUUCCUUAUCCUUUCCAGUAUUGCUAACCAUUGGUGAUUCAUGGAGCUUCGUUUGCAAGUAUCACUAUUGAUGGACCCACGUUUUACAAUUGUACUAGGUACCGGUUUAUCAUACUGCAACUUCAAAUUUAAUUUAAAUACCAUGCCAAUAUUUUUUGUCAUUCUAUCUCCACAAUCAAUAAUAGCAAACAUAUAUGUCUGUGGACAAAAACCAUCUUCAAAAAAAAAAUCAUGCUUAAAGUCAUGUAACACUUAUCCUUCAGACUCAUUCUCUUCACACAAUCUCACCAAAGUUCUCUCAAGUGUUUAACGGUUAAGCAAAUCACUCAAAGCGUAGAUCAUGCAUCCCACUACCGUAGGCUUGAACAAAUUCUCUACGACGUCACAAAUACAUGGUUUAGCACAAAUACAUGGUUUAGGAGUAUAUAUUGUAUAAAACCCAUAUAAAACACUAAUAAGUUUCAUUUCGAUAAAUGUUAUUUGAAAGUUAAACUAAAAACAACUUAGUUUAACUGAGUUUAUAUAGACUCAUUUGUUUCUUCAAUUUAUGAGGUUUACAGUUUACGCGAAUUGAGUUGUUUAUAGUAUAGUACAUACAAGUACGUAAACUCAAUUUACAUACACUACAGUAAAUCCAGUUUACAUGACUUACGUAAACUGAGUUCACCUAGACUUAGUUUGUUGAAUAAUAUAAUGGAUCAUUUGUUUUAUUUUAAGAGUAUUUUAAUCAUUUUAAGGUGUAAUCAAUUUUUUUUAGGUAUGACUAGAAAAAAUCUAAACAUAACUAGUAGAUCAAAUUUUACAAAUUCAAAACGCACUAAGUCAUUAACCCAUACAUUCAGUUUUGUUACUCUAGCAUACAACUAGCAUGUGCAAUUAAACAGACAAUCAGCCAUAAUCGAUUAGAGAAAAAUAAUAACGCAGAGAAUAAAUAUCACACACAACGAGUUUUAGUUGAAAAUUUUCCUUCAAUAUGUGAAAAUAAAAACCACGGAACGUAGUCCGGUUAAACCUUCAUUAUAAGCAAUAAUAAUAAAAGUCAUAGAACCUAGUCUUCUUCAACGGACCAGGGGUCAAAUGGUGGUGGAAUCCGGCGUGUGUUUCAAGAAGUUUCUUUUUUUCUUUUUCGGGUGUUUAAUUGUACUCAGCGGUGGUGAGUUGAUGAGAAGUUGAAGUUAUGUUUUCAUGGCUUUUGAUUGGUUUGAUAGUUUUUGAAGGGUUUUAUGUUGAUCGGUGAAAGAUAGAUUAUUGGAUUUUGUUUAUGCUAUGUGUUGAUCGGUGAAAGAUAAAAAGAAUUAGAGUCAACCUCUUAUUCUAAAAAACAUACUCCCUCCGUUUUUCGGUAUUAGUCGUUUAAGGUUUAUGCACGAUUAUUAAGGAAAUGUUUAAUUGUGUUGAUUUCAAUGGUAAAAUUAGUAGCAUAUUUACUAAAACACCUUUAUUAAUUGUAAUCAGUGGAGUAGUUAAAUUGGAUGAAAUUUAAUAAAUAAAGGCAUAAUAGUGGAAACAAGUAAUUAAUGUUGCAUUGGUAUUGUAAAGUGACAGUUAUUUUGAGAAAAAUAAAAAUGCUAAAGAGACAAUAAUUGUGAGACUGAGGUGGGUGACUUUGAGUUUUUGUGACAUUAGUAUUUUUCUUAGAGUAAAUGAUUAAAAAAAGUAAAAAACCAUUUUGAUCAGAGGGAGAAUGAAUGAUUAUAAGAGAGAUAGAAACAAAGUUACCAAUAUCACCAAAAGUCAAAGUCAUAUCAAAUUGGCAAGUGGAAUUACUUGAUCAAUCUAUAUAUAAUACAUACACUCAGUUAUGUUUGUUCAUUAACCAAAAUGAUGAAAUUAUAUCAAUUUGAAUUUCUCUUAUUCCUCCUCCUUAUCAUUGUCAAUACAACCCUUUCCAUUUCUUUCUCUACACUCUCUCAAUUUACGAAACCAUUGGAGAAGUUUGACAAGGUGAUUAAUAGUGAAGGUUCUGACAUAGCAUGGGAUAAGUUUGUAAUGGACCCGCUCAAGGACAAAGUCAUGGAAUCUGAAGCGAAGAAGAUGGUGGAAAAUAUCAAACCGUCCCCUCCAUCACAAUUACUAAAAUACAAAGGUCUAGAUCAGAUCAAACAAUAUUUGCAAAAUUUCGGCUACCUCGAACAAUCUGGGCCGUUCAAUAACACUCUAGACCAAGAAACAGUCUUAGCCCUUAAGACCUACCAACGAUAUUUCAAUAUCUAUGCAGGCCAAGAUAGCUUACGCAAAAUUUUACAACAUAUAGCAUUACCACGAUGUGGUGUUCCUGAUAUGAAUUUCACGUACGACUCCACCAAUGAUAUAUCGUAUCCGAAAGGAAACCAAUGGUUUCCUAAGGGAACGAAAAAUCUUACCUAUGGUUUUGCUCCCAAAAAUGAAAUCCCACUCAAUGUGACCAACGUGUUUAGAAAAGCCUUGACACGAUGGUCGCAGACCACUAGGGUCUUAAAUUUCACAGAGACGACAUCAUACGAUGAUGCUGACAUUAAGAUUGUGUUCAACAAUAUGACUUACGAUGAUGGAAUCUAUGAUGUUGUCGUGGCUGUCACUCUUAUCAAACUUGAUUCAGCGAAUAUGAACACGGGUUUGAUAAGUCUGGACAUUACAAAGCACUGGGUGUUUCCAACUGAGGACGGAGAAUUGGAUUUGGAGACCGCCGCGAUGCAUCAGAUAGGUCAUCUGUUAGGACUUGAACAUUCUUCUGAUAGCAAGUCUAUUAUGUAUCCAACUAUAUUGCCAUCACAGCAAAAGAAGGUGCAGAUAACAGAUUCAGAUAACUUAGCAAUCCAAAAACUCUAUUCCAGCUCUACAAAAGCCAAUGCAAACUCGGAUGAUAGUAGUGGGUGCUUUAAACUUUCUGGGUCUAGUUCUAGCCUCUUUAUCUCUUUGUCCAUUGUAUUUGCUUUUGUGGCUCUGUUGAACUAGCAUUUAAAUUAUGUCAUUUGAUUAGAGUCUUUUUUUUACAUAAGUUUAAUAAUUAAUGUGUAAUCAAUUACACAUUUGGGAAGAAAAAAAAUUGUCUUGUGGUUUAAUGAUAAAUAAAAUUUUUAGUUUUUGUUAUGUUGUUUGCCUUCGGUUUAUCAAGUUGUUGAAAUAGUUUUACAAUCAAACACAAUACAAUUGAUGUUGUCAUGUCCAACCCAUUAAAAACACUUAUUGUAAUUUUUUAUUGAAAAACAAUAAUUAUUUAUUAAAAGGUAUUAUAUUUAAUAGAAAAUGUUCAAAUUUCAAUACAAAUUUACUAUUUUGAAUUUCUUGACAUGUGUAAAUUUAAACAUGAUAGAAAAAACUCAUCUAUUAUACCUUUUGAUGAUUAAGAAUCCAUUUCACAUGCUAUCCCAUAAACACUGCUUCUUACCCAAUCAUUAACAUCAUUUAGUAAUGAUUUCACAAAUAUGGAAAGGAAGAUAUCCAGCUCUUCUUGAAAAUUGUUUUAAGGUCCUUAAACUGUUCAGUGCUGCUGAAUUGUAUUAAUGUCAAGUCCCUUCAUGCUUCACCACUAAUUCUACAUGUCCCUUUAGAGUAUGAAGUUCCCUAAGCCUGUCACCCAUUUUAAAAAAAUUGUUAAAGGAACCUUACUUAUCAACCAUGCAAUAAUAUCCCCCAAUAUAAUUGCCACUUGCUAAACAUAUUUUUUUGGUAAUAACUUGAUGCUUGGCUUGUUUUGCAGUCUCCUAAAGUACCCAAUUGUUAUUCUUUUCAUUGUUCUUUGUAGUAAAGGUAGUUUGUGAUGAGAGAAGCAUGAACAUGAUUAGAUCACAUUGAUUCAACCAUAUGAUAUCAUAUUGAUUUUACUUGGAAAGGCAUUUUAAUAUAUCAUAUUGAUUUUACUUUGAGGGUUGCUCAAUCCAAGGCCCGUUCAUUACAUUCAAUAUACUGCAUGCCUCGCUAUAUUGAAGAUCUGGCAACAGCUUUGAUGUAAGUAAGAAACACCUACAUACGAUUAAUCAUCACUUACGCGUUAGAAAUUAAUGUGGGGGAACAAAGCCCAGCAGUGGCUGGCAAAUCUGCAAAGAUCAACCUUCAUUUCCAAGUUAGAACGAAUGCCAAGCAUCACAUUCAAAAUAUAUGGGCUUUUUUGCCUCACAUAUAUUACUCUUAUUAGUGUUUCGUCUAUGUGUACUGGGUUACAGGCUCGGCCCUAGUUAAUCCAAUAACUCUUACAGCAUUUCACUCUUUCAAGCUUCAUGCUUGGCCCAUAUCGUCAUUAUUGCCUAAGCCCAUUGGCCAAACUAAAGAGCCCAUCAUCCGAGACCUAUACACUCCUAAUGUGGGGAGCAAGGUCCCAGGCCCUAAGCGAAAUUUAGGAGCAAACAGGAUAUACUUUAGGAACAAGCAAGAAACCCUGAAAUUCUCCUAUAUAUAUAGGGGUCACUAGCUAACCCAAUUCUCAUCUACUUCCUACCCGCCUCAUACACAGUGUACAAGGCCUAGUGAACGGCUCAUCGUAGGCUAGGUCAGACAUCAGUCUAAGCAAGAACACCAUGCAUGCAUUAAAGAGUGUUUCUCUUCAAGCUGAUGUGAUGUGACACCAGCCAGUUGAUAUAUAUAGCCAUUGUUUAUCCUCCUUUAGUUCAAAAGUCUUAAAAAAUGAAAAUACGGUCUUUUACUGACUGAAUUAGGUAUUAACAUGCAUUUAUCAAGUUUUAAUAUCAAAUUUUAAACAAAGGAACCAAAAAGAUCAAGUAAUAGUAGUUAGUAGUACUCGCUGUGGCGUAUUUGGCUUGCUUGCUGCUCUCACUAGUUGCUGAAACAUCUUCCUCUCAUUUAUUGGGUCCAUCCCUGAUGAAAAUAGAGUCAAAGAUCAUUUCAGUUCUGAGCCGUUAAUCCUGAAAGGAUUUACUUCAAAGAAUAACCAACCUUGAUUGAUCUCAUCCACAAAUCAAAAUGGGCAGUUUGUAGGAUCUUGAAGGGAAACAAGAUAAACAAUAGUUGAAACUGAUCGCUCCUGGAUAACCAAAAUUAGAGGUUAAUUAGUGAGAGUGGCGGUGGGGGAGCACAAGUUUUGUACCGCAUACAACUACAAUAAGUAGUGUACAGUACAUAAAUUUAUGAAAGCAAAUAUUUCAUAACAAGUUUUGUACGGUACACAAAUCUAUGCAUUCAAAGUUUUGCCCUUUGUUUCUAGCAGGUGUAUGUGUCUUACAGUAUUUUCUUUUCCUGUUUUUCCGACACUUAUUUUGUUGCCGAGUUAUGCCAACGAUGUUUUCACUGUUUAGUCUUAGAGUCCUGUUUCCUGAGCUUGCUGUUUGUUAUUUUUUCUGGAAUUUCUUGUUGAAUAUUUUUGCUGUUUUAUAUUCUGUUUGAGAAGGAUUUCACAGCAACAGAAAUAGAGAUGACAGAGACAGAUUUAAAAGAAGGGACUUUGACCACUGCAGGUACAGCAGCACCCUGUCUACGCCUCAUUCCGCUGUUUCAGAGCAGCGUUUUCCACAGUCUAAUGCAGCCAAUAUUGCGAGAUCAUAGUGAUGCUGUGAUCCUUAGUCCCACCCUAGCUAGUCGUAGCCCAGUGUGGCCAUUCCCUCGCCAUCUGUGGCCUCUCAUAACGAUUACAUUAAUCAUAAUAGUCAGACUGAUAUCAACAACUAUGUAGGCUUAGGCGGGGUUUCCCUCUUAACAAUGAAGUUGACUACUAACCAGAAGUUACAACAACCAAUAAUAAGAAUGAACAGUAACCACUUAAAAGUACAUUCUUAGAAACAGAAUAAACAAAAUAACUGGUUCAGAAUAACACUCACCUGAAUUUGACUUUUAUAAGUAUUCCAAAUUGAUCAAAAUCCAUAUCAUUCAUUAUCGGUGUUGUCUUAUAGUGCAAGAAAAUUCAACCAUAAAAAGAAAAAACUUCAGCAAUUUAAAGAAAAACUCCAAAGAUCGUUCAUUAUCAGUGUUGUCUUACGGUGCAAGAAAAUUCAACUGAAAAAAACAAAAACUUCAGCAAUUUGAAGCAAAACUCCAAGGAUCAUUCAUUAUCAGUGUUGUCUUACUGUGCAAGAAAAUUCAACCAGAAAAAGCAAAAAAACUUGACAAUUUGAAGCAAAACUCCAAAGAUCAUUCAUUAUCAGUUGGUGGGUGACCAUUUCUUUCUGCUAAAAUAUUUUUCUAUGAUUCUCAAUUAAAAUUUUGUGCAGCCGCGCAGUCCAUUAUCAAAUUGACAAGUGGAAUUACUUCAUCAAUCUGUAUAUAUAAUACAUACACUCAGCUUAGCUAUGUAUUAAUUAACAUGAUGAAGUUAUAUCAAUUUGAAUUGCUCUUAUUCCUUCUCCUUAUCAUUGACAAUACAACCCUUUCACAAAAAAUUUCUCCUAAAAUUGUCUCUUCUAUUCUCAAACCAAUAUUGAAGGAGGUUAGACAACAAGCUACUGAGUAUGCAUUGAAGAAGUCAUUGGACAAGAUCACACAAUCUCCUACUCCAGAGCAACAAGCCGAAGUGAUACAAGGCCUAUAUCAAAUCAAACAAUAUUUGUACUAUUUCGGCUACCUCCAACAAUAUGGGCCAUUCAAUAAUGUUCUAGACCAACAAACAAUGUCAGCCAUUAAGAUCUACCAACAAAAUUUCAAUCUCCAAGUUACUAAUGGCUACCUAAACACUGAGACUUCACAACAAAUCUUGUUACCACGAUGUGGUGUUCCUGAUAUGAAUUUCGAGUACAGCUUCACCAAUGAUAAGUCGUUUCCCAAAGGAAACAAGUGAUUUACUAAGGAAAAAGAAUAUCUUACCUAUGCUUUUGCUCUGACGAGCCAAAUCCCACUCGACAUGACCAACGUUUCACACGAUGGUCACAAACCACUAGGGUCCUAAUUUAGCGAGACGACAUCAUACGAUGAUGCUGACAUUAAGAUUAGAUUCUACAAUAUUAAUUACAUCGAUGGGGUUGAUGAUGUUGUGGUGGGUGACGCGGUUAUCAAACUCGGUUCGAAUGUGAAUUCAGGUUUGAUACGCCUGAUUGCUUCAAAGUACUGGGUGUUGCCAACUGACAACUACAUGUGGUCAUGGCAGAACGGAGAAUUUGAUUUGGAGACGGCGGCAAUGUAUCAGAUAGGUCAUCUUCUAGGACUUGAUCACUCUUUCGAUAAGGAGUCUGUUAUGUAUCCAGCCAUAUUGCCAUUACAACAAAGGAAGCUGCACAUAACAGAUUCAGAUAACCAAGCCAUACAACAAAUCUAUUCCAAUGCGAACUCUGACAAUGGUGGGUGCUUCACAAUGUUUGGAUCCAGUUCUGGUCUCCUUACCUCUUUGUUCCUUGGAUUUGCUUUUGUGGCUCUCUUGAACUAGCAUCUUAAAUUAUCCUUUAAUUUUGGAUAUGCUUUUUUAAUUUGUGUAAUACUUUACUUCAUGUGCCAUUUUUCGUUAAUGCUAAUUAUGUUACGGUAUCCACUACUCUCUUAUAAUGAAGUACAAAAAUUACAUUAUUUAUGCGCAAAUCCUUCAACCACCUUAUCGCAUAUGACACACCUAAAGCUUCUCCUUCAUCAACUUUAAGGAUGGGUGAAAUCCAUUUUGUUUUUGCUAAAACGAAGCUUCCUUGAUCGUCCCUGAUGCAUAUACCAAUGCCAACUCUAUUAGUUGCCGUUGAGAAUGCUGCACCGACGUUGCAUUUAUAUCUUCCUCUGUCUGGCUUCUUCCACGUGUGAUUGGAAAUAUGUUGCUGCUGUAUCAUCAUCGUUCCACUACGACACACCUGCGCAUUUUGCCAACAGAUUUGUUCCCCUUGCACAUACUGCCACCGUAAAUUAUUUCACUCCUCCAUAUCAGAUAAUUCAUUUGCUUCCAAAUUGACCAAAUAGUGCAACCAAACACAGCUUGAAGAUUCUUACUUAAUUUGUGUAAAACGUUGAAAAUCAAAGAACUCACACUUAGCUCAUCUUGUAUCAACGGUUGAAUUACUUGUCCAAUGGCCAAUAUGUUGCCAACAAAAACUGUUGUUGGAGCAAUGAAAAAAGAUAUGCAUGCUGACUUCCAUUCCACCAUCACACAAAACACAAUUAUACAGACAGUUGACACCGCAGUCGUGACUUCUUACCCUUGUAGGUAAACAGUUUCGACAAAACCGCCAGAGAUUCUUGACUUUUAAUUGAGCUUGGAUAAAGAUUCUUGACUUUUAGGUGAGCUUGGAUAUUCCAGAUUUGAUUCUAGUUGUCUUCUACUCUAUGAUUAUUCAAUGCAAGAACUUGCUGCAAACUAAUAUGAUAGCCACUCCUAACAGAAUAUAUACCAUAUGUCUCAAAUUUCCAGAUUCUCCUAUCAGUUUGAAUAAAACCGGUGUUUGUAGAAUUCGCUGUAAAUCAACAUUGGUUACCAAGCUUUGAAGUGAUUUAAUAUUCUACACCCUCAAUUUGAGCAUUCCAAAAGUCUGCAAUUGUAAAGCUGUUAAGCUCUUCAGGAAAGUCUGCAGGUUUGUCAAUUGCAUUACCGUCAACUAGCCAAUUUUGAUCCCAAAACGGAAUAGUUUCGCCUGAAUCGAUACUCCACUUUUUUUUUAUCCGAUACUCCACUUAUAUCUAUCUUUGACCCCAAAUACUACGCCAAACGUAACUUGGGUUGUAUCCACUAUAAAUAGCAAACAUGCUUGCGGAGAAAAAACAUCAUGCUCAGAGUCAUUUUCAUCCACAAACAACCAAUAAAAAAUGCAACACAACUCAUUUAUUACUCAUCCUUCAGGCUCAAACUUUCUCUUCACUUAGUCUCACCAAAGUUCUCUCAAGUGUUCAAUUGUUAAGCAAUUCACUCAAAUUCUAGGUCAUGCAUCCGCCUACCAUAGGAUUGAAAAAAAUUCUUUACAGCAUAAAAAAUAUAACAUGGUUAAGGAGUAUAUUGUAUAAAAACCCAUAUAAAACACUAAAAAGGUUAAUAUAAAAAAAUACAUCUAAAGUUAAACUAGAAACAACUAAUAAAUAUAAUUAAUACAUUAUAUGUUACAAAUACAAACCUUACUGUUGUAUCUUGACGAAGAAAAAGAACCUCACCGUUGUACAAGCAAUAGUAGCAACAACGGUUUUAAUCCUCAUAACAGCAUAAACAAAUAGGAAAGAUAUUUUUACAUUCUUAUAGGUACACAUUCAAUCCAAUCAAUGAAACAAAAGCAAGUUCACCCGAUUGCAGGCUAAAACUUUCUCCAAAAAACUAUACAAAAUGCUAAAUAAGCGCUAUUGCUCUGCAUCGCUGCAACUCCAUAGUGUUUUUUUUACUUUAACAUGAAAUCUCUCCAACAUGUCCAGUGAUAAUACUCCAUCGAUCACCAGUAGUCCAGGCUGAUUUACAACGAAAAAAUGUAUGGUAAGCAAUAUCAACAGUUAAAGAAAGAGAAUAUAUGCAGUUUUCAGUAUGAGAAAUUACCCUUCGAGGGCUUCUCAAUCCAAGGGCCAUUCAUUACAUUCAAUAUACUGCAUGCCUCACUAUAUUGCAGAUCUGGUAACAGCUUUGGUGUAAGUAAGAAACACCUGCAUAAGAUUAAUCGUCACUUACGCGUUAGAAAUGAACAAAUGUUGGGGAAAAAAGCCCAUCGGUGACUUGAACUAUUGUGUAGCUAGUAUGAAUGACAAGCAUCACAUUCAAAAUUUACGGGCUUGUUUGCCUCACAUAUAUUGCUCUUAUUAGUGUUCCAUAUACAUACUACGUGGACUGAGCUAAAGGAUCGGCCCGAGUUAACCCAAUAACUCUGAACAUUUCAUCCUUUCAGGCUUCAUGCUUGGGGGUUGUGAACUGGGCUAUGGUCUCGGUCCAUAUCCUCAUUGUUGCCUAACUCCAAUGGCCAAACUAAAGAACUCAUCAUCCAAGACCUAGAUACUCCUAACUUGGGGAACAAGGCGGAGCCGGCCCUAAGAGAAGAUUUAGAACCAAGCAAAAGACCCUAAAAUUCUCCUAUAUGGGUCACUAGGUAGCCCAAUUCUCAUUCACUUCCUACCCACCUCAUACACAACGCACAAGGCAUCGUCUAACCCCAAUUCUAAGCAAGAACACUAUGCAUGCAUUAACCGAGUGAUUCGCUUCCAGUUGAUAUAAAUAGCCCUUGUUUAUCCUUCUGUUGUUAAGAAGUCGUAAAAUGAACAGUCUUUGACUUACUGAAUUAGGUAUUAACAUGUAUUCAUCAAGUUUUAAUAUCAAAUUUUAAUCGACCGAACUGAAAAUAUCAAGUAAUAGUAGUUAGGAGUACUCACUGUGGUGUACUUGGCUUGCUUGCUGCUCUCACUAGUUGCUGAAACAUCUUCCUUUCAUUUAUUGGGUCCAUCCCUGAUAAAAAAGUCAAAGAAGAUCAUUUGAGUGUUGAGUUCCGUUAAUCCAGAAAGAAUUUACUUCAACAAAUAACCAACCUUGGUUGAUUUCAUCAACAACUCGAAAUGGGCAGUUUGUAAGAUCUUGAAGGGAAACAAGAUAAACAAUUGUUGAAACUGAUCGCUCCUGGAAAACCGAAAUUAAAGGUUAAUUGGUGAACGGAGAACAAGGGGAGCACAAAAGCACUAAAAAGAUAAUCUUUAGUACCCCUCCAGAUUGAUGAUGGGCGCUGAGAACUUUAAGCUGUCCAUUUUCUCUGAUAAAAUAAAAAUAUACUGUAAAACAAAUAAUAAGAGAAACUGGAAUGUAAGGUAUGGGAGAAUAAAUAUUAUGAGGAAAUUCCUUUGGAUUCCUUUGUUUUUAUUAGGAUAUUGGUACCCUUAAAUGAGUAGAAACAUGACAACCACUGCACAUACACCAACUGAAGAUGAUAAUCAAUUACUUUUACCAAUUUUUUGUAACGAUCAUUUUCAUAUUUUCUGAAAUAAAUGAGGCCUACAAUAAUUGAAAAUUUAAAGAGUUUUGUACCAUACACAAACCAUUUGGUUUUUGUAACCUAGAAGCGACCCAAAUUAUGAUGAGAAUCGGAAUCAAGAUAACGAAUUAUUAGCAAUAUUUAAAAGUGCAGAUUACAUUAAUCAUAACAGUCUGACUGAAAUCAAAAACUAUGUAAUCGUUGUAGGUUUGGUUUCCCUCUUAACAUUGAAGUUGACUGCUAACCAGAAGUUACAUCAACCAAAAAUAAGAAUGAACAGUGACCAUUCGUAAGCGUGUUCUUAUGAACAGAAUAAACAAAAUAACUGGUUCAGAACAACCCUCACCUGAAUUUGACUUUUACAAGUAUUCCAAAUUGAUCAAAGUCCAUAUCAUGCUCAUCUGAGGAGUGGAGAAACAUAGGUAAGGAUGGAAGCAUAAGAAGACCAAAUAAAAUUAAUUUCAGUUUACCAUUUGACAUACCUAGUGAAACUUCUCCGGCAACAGCCAUCUGUUGAAAAUUUCGAUUAAAAGUUUCAUUUAUCUGAGCCACAAGAUUUCUGAGAGUUGGAAGCCACUUUUCCUGCAGAAGAACUUAAAAUAUUUGAGCUUUUCUCAAGAACCAGAAACACAAAAGAAGAUCAUGCAGACCACAUACUAUAAAUCACAUUAUAUAUGCAUAGAAAUCAGGACAUAGCAUAUUUCAGGUGUAAAUCCCAAAUUCACAGGAAAUAUAUUAUCUCACUCUUUAACCCCUGAUCUAAAAGAUUAACUCUUCAAGUCAAGUUAUUUUUGAAAUAGCAUCAAUACUACUUCAGCUACAUGCUAACAAUUCUGGACUUGAAUACUGGCUUCUCUCAAUUAGUUCUGAAGAUUUUAUCACGAAGAACUAGCAAGCUUAUUUAAUAGGAUGGAUCAAAUUAUAUCAUAUCAGUACAUUAACUGUAUAGGUCGACCAAUCCAUUUUGGACCUCUUCUCCCUUUCUCUCUAACCUAGAGAAAAAAUAGCUACAAACAUUACAAAUGUAUAUGCAAGCAUACACAUGUUCUGCAAAACACAUAAAAAUAAAAACAUGUUUGUUCUUCUUUGCCUUUCUCUUUUUAGUUUUUACCAUUCCAAACGCAUUUUAUUAAGAAAGAUUGAUCUAUUUAACUCUACACAAAUGAAACUUAGCAAACAGAUGAUUAGGAACUUUGCAAAUUUAUAAUUUUACAUCCACAUACAUAAAUACAAAAAAAAUAUAUAUAUAUUGGGUAUGAAUUUGUUUGCCGAAAUCCAUACAAUCUAAUAACAUUCAGUCAAACAGACAAAAAUUGCUAAAACUAACGUAGGAGAGAGAUUUUCUAAACUAAUCCAAAAUAUUAGUGAAAGUGCGUAUAGAAAAAGAUGACAGGAUGCUGCAAAGAAGAGCUACUAGAAGCAUUCUCUACAUCGUAAAAUUCUAGUUAUGUAAAGAAACACUUUUCAGACCUUAAUGGUUUUCAAUUCUGCAAGACAUUUUGUAGCUUCCACCUUGUCUGUGUCAAGUUUUUUUGCAAGAUCUUCUAUCUGUAUAGUCACUGUAAAUAUAGAGGGCACAUGGAAAUGACCAAAAUAAAUUACAACAAUAAAGAGUACCUGUCUUUGACGAUCCUCAUAUUGUUGCAAUAUGUGAGGAUUCACAAAAAGCAUUGAAUUAGCUUGAGAUGUUGUAUAUUGAAUAGCUUCUUCCAACUCCUCAAUUGUAGUAGGCAUCUACAUUGAAAAACCCAAAUGUGUUUAGAAUUCCCAUUGACUUAGAAGUUACAUUCAUUAUUCGUAGAAUUUUGGGUUGAGUCUAAUAACCUUACAAAACCGGCUUGUAAGGUGAGGGCUUCCUAUUUGGGUCUUCCUAUUGGUGGUGAUCCGAGAAAAUUGGCUUUUUGGUAUCCUCUGGUCGACCGUAUUAAAAGAAGGUUGUCUGAUUGGAAAAGUCGUAAUCUGUCUAUGGGUGGUCGUUUGAUAUUGCUUAAGCCUGUCCUGUCCUCCAUUCCAGUCUAUUUUCUUUCCUUCUUCAAAGCCCCCUCAGGUAUAAUUUCUACCCUUGAAUCUUUAUUUAAUGCAUUUUUUUGGGGGGGAUGUGAGGAUAUUAGGAAAAUUACUUGGAUUAAAUGGGAGACUGUUUGUUCGCGUAAGGGGGAAGGCGGAUUAGGGGUGAGGAGAUUGAGGGAGUUUAAUUUAGCUCUUUUGGGUAAGUGGUGGUGGCGAAUUUUACAAGAGCGUGGCACCCUUUGGUAUCGUGUCCUUUGUGCCCGUUACGGAGAGGAGGGAGGGCGGCUUUGCUGUUCUUGUAGAGAUGGUGGUUCAGUGUGGUGGCAGACUAUUUUAGAUGUUAGGGAUGGUGUAGGUCAGAUUGAUUCAGGUUGGAUGCUGGACAAUAUUUCUCGUCGUGUAGGGAAUGGUUUGUCCACUUUGUUUUGGGUCGACCCUUGGCUGGAGGAGAAACCUUUGAGUUAGCGGAGAAUAAAUUAUACACGGUGGCCGAGUUGUUUGCGAGAGGGUGGGGAGUUAAUGGGAAGCGUGGAAGUAGCGUACGAUACUUUUCGCGUGGGAGGAGGGUUUGUUGGGGGAUUGUAUUACUCGUAUAUCUAAUUUCUCUUUUCAGGGUGACCGUGCAUAUAGUUGGAUUUGGACAUUACAUGAUUCUUCUUGUUACACUGUUAGUUCUGCUUAUUAUUAUUUAACAGACAUGGAGGUUGAUGAGCAUCAUCAGCAUAAUAAUAAUUAAAGGUUCUUAUGGCUGAAAGCGGUGCCUCUUAAAGUAGUAAUUUUUGCUUGGCGCCUGUUCCUCAACCAGAUUCCUACUAGAGACAAACUUUUUCAUCAAAAGGUUUUGCUUGCUUCUGAACAGGGGUGUAUCGCUAAUUGUGGUUUUAAUGAAGACAGAGAUCAUUUACUUCUCACAUGCGGUUUCUUCGCCCGUGUGUGGCAUAUCAUUGCGCUUUGGCUUGGUUACUCAACGGCUUUUCAUUGUCACUUCUUUGAACAUUUUCAUCAUUUUAGUGGUUUGCGUGGGUUCUCUAAGAAAUCGAUUGAGUCCAUGCAGAUUAUUUGGUUUGCGGUAUCUUGGACAAUUUGGAAAGAACGGAAUAACAGAAUUUUCAAAGGAAAGGAGGAUAACUUGCUAAAGCUAGGUGAAAGGGCAAAGCUUCAAUCUUUUUGGUGGUUGAAAUCGAAAUACACUAACUUUGAUUUUGACUAUCACGAAUGGCGGCGGAGUCCUCUAACUUGCUUAAACAUUAUUUUCUAGCUUGUUGUUUCUUUGUUUCACUUUGUUUCUGCGCCUUUUGGCUUGUACAGGAUUGUUUUGUGUACUCAUUGUGGCUAGGCGUUUUGGCACGCCUUGUGCUUUAGCGUCUAGGUUUAUUCAAUAUAUAUUCCAUUUUGGCUUUUUCAAAAAAAAAAUUAUAUAUAUUAAGAUUAAUAUUGUCCUAUUACGACUUUCAUUGACAUUUUAAAAAAAGAUGAUAUGGCCAUGGUGAUUAACAUUCCUAAACAAAAAAUUUAAAUUGAAAUAGUACAUGAUGAUGAGUUCACUCAAUUAAACAUAUAUCAAAAGUUAAACUUAUCACCAGCUUACAGCCACUUUACUUUACAAACUGAUCUAUAUCCAUGGUAUAUAUUUGUUUCUUUAUUUCAGUCCUUUAUAACAUGCACUCGUAUUUCAUUCCUUAACCUCGACUGAAUUAAUUGAUACACAUUCUUUUUCGAAACAAUGCUAUUCACAGUGCUUAGAUUUUGAAAAACUCACAAACUAAGAAUUUGAGCUUUGCAAAUAUAGAAAAAAGGUGUAAGUGCAAUAAAUUGCAAGUGCUUUAUCAAAUAAACCCUACUUUUAUUGACUAAAGGCAAUUAACCACACAAGUACUUUUGAAUUACAAGGAACAAAAGGCAUGUCAUGUUAACUAAAUAAUAUGUCUUUGGUAUUAAUUAAGCUAAUUAGUAAUUAGAUAAUUCAUUGAAGAUUAUUAUGUUCUAUUAGAGUUGGUCCAACAUCCUAUAUCUAUUGGAUCACACUUAUCAGAGAUUUCAGUUGCUAUGUAGCUCAUGCUUUUUGUAUAUAUAACUGCAUCAAGGAAUAAAAAAAAUGGAUAUAUGUUGAAAUUAGAGGUUGUUGCUAAUAAAAAUUGAUCAAUACUUGUUCUAUUGAAUUGAUAUGCUUGUCAUCAAUAGGAAACUGCAUUAUUAUGUCUUUAAAUUUUGGCACAUAUGUUGUGCUUUCAAACCACAUCUACCACAAAACAUAUGUAGCUGGUUGUAAUUUGUGGCAUGCCUAAAUUUUUUUUUUUUUUUUUUUUUUUGGUGUUGUAACAAAAAACAUAUAUUAUGUCCUGGAAUGUUUAUAUAUAUAUAGCCGAGUAGUCCCAUUAUCCUUAAUCUUAGUUAUCUAAUUCUCUUUUCUCUCUUUACCUAAUCCUUGUGAUUUCAACAUAGUACCAAAGCCAUAUUAAAUUCAUAUUUUGUUAAAAAAAAAAUCUACUUUUUUAAAGAUUUUUACAAUAUUCUACACAUUUCUGCAUAAUUUCAUUAAAAAAAAUACAAAUAUUACUCAUGAAUUGACUUAAAAAUUGGCACCAAAAGUGGAAAUUGAAAAUCUUAUAAAGACUAAAAGUUGAAAAAAAUAAAUUAAAGGAACUAAAACGAAAAAAUUGAUAUAUUUAUUGAGACAAAAAAAUAUUUAACUUUUCAAAGAAUGUCUCUCCUCCUUUGUUUGGACUCUUUAUUAAUUAAAGGUGAUUUUAUAAACUUCAGAUGUUUCUCUUGUUGUUUUGAGAUCUGCCAUUAAGCACCAUGUUUGGAUUGCCUUUUUUCCUUCUGAUAUUUAUUGGUUCUAUUGUGGUUUUGCUUAGCUCUCUAUUUUUUGUUUUACCAUUGUGGCUUUUGCAUUAGCACCUUAUUCUUAUUUUUGUUUGUUUAAAGGAAUGAUCAAUAUAAAUGCUUCCGGUUGUUAUACUUAUGGUAGCUUUUAUUUAUAGAUAUUUAUAAUUAAUUUAUAGAAAUAUAUAUAUAUAUAUAUAUAUAUAUAUAUAUAUAUAUAUCAAGGAUUAAUUACAGAUGAAUAAAAGACAAGCGAACAAUAAGUUGCGCCAUUAGAUCUUUAAGGAAGGCAAAACUAAUCCUCGUGAACACGACAUUCAUGAAUCUAGGAGACGUGACAUUGUUAUACAUGACCAUUUGAACUCUAUAUAGAUCAACAACAUCUGGUGCUAGGAAGUCAAAAGUGUCAAACGUAAAUGGAAUAAAAAUAUCUUGAUUGUCAAAAACAUGUUUUUUUUUCAUGUUUGGUCACUAUGACGCAUCUUUUAGGAUUGUCUGUCAUACUUUAAAACCCCUGACCUCUAAUCCCAUAAGUGAUGAAACCCCAAUCAAAUAAAAAUAAGAGAAAUGAAUGAAAACAUAAUUGCAAUAAUUAAUAGAAUAGUUUAGAAAUUACAAAGCAAGAUUACAAUAUAUCAAGGAGAGGAGUGGGCUCUAAUUGCAGUACUCAAUCAAAAUGUUCCUGAAAUUUCAAUUAUCCACGAACUAACUCUCAUUCUCAUCAAUGGAAUGGAUGAGGGGUUGUGAGGUCUCAAGUGGUUGCUAACGGUUAAGCAAAUCACUCAAAGCGUAGAUCAUGCAUCCCACUACCGUAGGCUUGAAAAAAUUCUCACGACGUCACAAAUACAUGGUUUAGCACAAAUACAUGGUUUAGGAAUAUAUAUUGUAUAAAACCCAUAUAAAACACUAAUAAGUUUCAUUUCGAUAAAUGCUAUUUGAAAGUUAAACUAAAAACAACUUAGUUUGCAUGACUUACGUAAACUGAGUUUAUGUAUACUUAUUCGUUUCUUCAGUUUAUGAGGUUUACCGUUUACGUGAAUUGAAUUGUUUAUAAUAUAGUACAUACAAGUACGUAAACUCAAUUUACAUACACUAUAGUAAAUCCAGUUUACAUGAUUUACAUAGACUAAGUUCACCUAGACUUAGUUUAUUGAAUAAUACAAUGAUCAUUUGUUUUAUUUUAAUCAUUUUAAGGUGUAAUCAAUUUUUUUAGGUAUGACUAGAAAAAAAUCUAAACAUAACUAGUAGAUCAAAUUUUAAAAAUUCAAAACUCACUAAGUCAUUAACCCAUAGAUUCAUUUUUGUUACUGUAGCAUACAACUAGCAUGUGCAAUUAAACAGACAAUCAGCCAUAAUCGAUUAGAGAAAAAUAAUAACGCAGAGAAUAAAUAUCACACACAACUAGUUUUAGUUGAAAAUUUUCCUUCAAUAUGUGAAAAUAAAAAUCACGGAACAUAGUCCGGUUAAACCUUCAUUAUAAGCAAUAAUAAUAAAAGUCAUAGAACCUAGUCUUCUUCAACGGACCAGAGGUCGAAUGGUGGAACCCGGCGGUGUGUUUCGAGAAGUUUUUUCUUUUUUUUUUUUCUUCUUUUUCGGGUGUUUAAUUGUACUUGGCGGUGGUGAUGAGAAGUUGAAGUUAUGUUUUCAUGGAUUUUGAUUGGUUUGAUAGUUUUUGAAGGGUUUUAUGUUGAUCGGUGAAAGAUGUCUUUUGCGGGGAAGUGUGGAGGUUUGAAUUUGAUUUAGAUGUUUACUUUAUUUUCUUAUGACUAGUUUUUUUAUUGGUGUUUGUGGAAUUUUUUUUUUUUCUUCUGAGAGAUGAUGUUUGAGAAAGUUAGUUGGUGUUUUUAUUGUUUUCCUUUUGAGUGUUUCGCCUCUAUGGGCCCGUUUGUUAUAAAGAUUCUAAAAAAAUAAAUUUUCCUUUGUAUUUUUAAAAAUAAAUUUUUUGGAAAUAUACUCAAAAAUAGUAUAAGUUAUUUCAAAUUCAUUUGUUAUAAGUUAAAAAAAGAUAUUUUAACAUUCACCAACCUAAAUAUUCAUUGUUCGAGAUUUUACAUAGUAAAAAUCGAAUAUUUUUUCAAAACAAUAUAUUUCAAAAAUGAUUUUUAUGAAAAGACAUUUGAAAUAGCUUUUAUUUUAGAGAUUUUUUCAAAAUUUUAGUAUCCAAAAAAAUUAUAACAAAAUGAUAAAAUAUCUAGAAUGACAUUUUAAGAUAAACUAUUCAAACCAAUUUUUUAUUUGAAGCUUUCCUUAAAAUUUUCUUUGUUAAAUUUUUUUUAACAAAAAUAUGUUACACUACAAGAAUAUAUUUUAUAAAAAAGGUAUAACAAACGGAUAUAUGACGCAUUUGUUUUUGAGUUUAUGUCAGGCAAUCUCUAUUCAUCUUAUAUAAGAUUUGAUUAUUAAUAAAUUUUACCCUAAAAAAGAAUACACAAUAUUCUUUGAAGUAAACAGUAGAGAUCAACAAACAUCACCAAUUAUAAAAAUCAACAACAAAACAACUUUUUCAUAAGAAUUGAUAAACCAACCAAUCUAUAAAAACCCAUAAAUAAAAAAAACAAAAACAAAAACUAACUAAGCCAUAAGAAUCUAAAACUUCUUCUCUCUAUAGGUUUGCCGCCGCUGCAUUAUUCUUUUUCUUUCUCGUGAUGCUACAGUUCUUCUUGGCUUCAUGCGACAACAUGGUAGCAUGGCAAAAUCCAAUAAACAAACUAACCAAACAUAAUAAAAAAUAAAAACUUAUUAUUCAAUUCACCGCUAAAUACAAAAAUUAAUGAAUUACUUUAUCUGCAACUUAGUUUAAACUAAAAAAAUAUAUAUAUCGUAAAAUCAAAACCAAAAGUAUAGUCAAUAUAAUGAAAAGCACCUAAAAAACACCUAAAUAUAAGGAAAACUGACUCAUACUUUUUUGUAUGGUUUUUAGCUAAAUUCACCAUAAUUUCAUCCAAUAUAAAUAUAUUUUAAAGCAAAAAGGAAACUUUUUAUGCAUUUAUUACACAAUUUAUACAUUGAUUACACAACUUUUAAUAUAAAAUACUACCUGAUUUGACUCUUAACGAAGCACUGAUUGAAGUGUUUUAUUUUCUCGCCGGUCAUUUUCACUUGGUUCGUAUACAGGAAACUUACUUCAGCAAUUUGAAGCAAAACUCCAAAAACCAAAGUUACAAAUAUCACCAAAAGUCAAAGUCAUCUAAUUGAAACUUGGUACUCUUGUUAUGGCAGCCGCGCAGCCCAUAUCAAAUUGGCAAGUGGGAUUACUUGAUCAAUCUAUGCAUAUAAUAGAUACACUCAGUUAUGUUUGUUCAUUAACCAAAAUGAUGAAAUUAUAUCAAUUUGAAUUUUUCUUAUUCCUUCUUAUCAUUGUCAAUACAACCCUUUCCAGUUCUUUCCCUACACUCUCUCAAUUUGCGAAACCAUUGGAGUAUAUUAAGAAAACAACGGAAGCUGCUGACUAUAUAUGGGAUAAGAAAAUAAAGAAGUUGGUCGAGGACUUAAAAGACAAGAACUUGAAAAAUAUCAAACCGUCCCUUCCAUCACAAUUACCAAAAUACAAAGGUGUAGAUCAAAUCAAACAAUAUUUGUCCGAUUUCGGCUACCUCGAACAAUCUGGGCCGUUCAAUAACACUCUAGACCAAGAAACAGUCUUAGCCCUUAAGACCUACCAACGAUAUUUCAAUAUCCAACAAGAUACUCUCAGCGAAAUUCUCCAACAUAUAGCAUUACCACGAUGCGGUGUUCCUGAUAGGAUUUUGAAGUACAACUUAACCAAUGAUAUAUCUUUUCCGAAAGGAAACCAAUGGUUUCCUAAGGGAACGAAAAAUCUUACCUACGGUUUUGAUCCCAGGAAUAAAAUCCCACUCGACAUGACCAACGUGUUUAGAACAGCCUUGACACAAUGGUCGAACACCACUAGGGUCUUAAAUUUUACAGAGACGAAAUCAUACGAUGAUGCUAACAUUAAGAUUGGAUUCUACAAUAUAACUGACGAUGAUGGGAUCAACGAUGUUGCCGUGGGUUUCACUUUUAUCGUACUUGAUUCAACGAAUGUGAAGUCGGGUUUUAUAACUCUGGACGCUACAAAGUACUGGGCGUUGCCAACUGAGCACAGAGGAUUUGAUUUGGAGACGGCCGCGAUGCAUCAGAUAGGUCAUCUGCUAGGACUUGAACAUUCUUCUGAUAACAAGUCUAUCAUGUAUCCAACUAUAUUGCCAUCACAUCAAAAGAAUGUGCAGAUAACAGAUUCUGAUAACUUAGCAAUCCAAAAACUCUAUUCCAGCUCUACUAAAGCCAAUGCAAACUCAGAUGAUAGUAGUGGGUGCUUUAAACUUUUUGGGUCUAGUUCUAGCCUCUUAAUCUCUUUGUCCAUUGUAUUUGCUUUUGUGGCUCUGUUGAACUAGCAUUUAAAUUAUAUCCUUUGAUUAAGAGUCUCUUUUUUACAUAAGUUAAAUAAUUAAUGUGUAAUCAAUUACACAUUUGGGAAAAAUAUUUGUAUUGUGGUUUAAUGAUAAAUAAAAUUUUUACUUUUUGUUAUGUUGUUUGCCUUCGGUUUGUCAAGUUGUUGAAAUAGUUUUACAAUCAAACACAAUACAAUUGAUGUUGUCAUGUUCAACCCAUUAAAAGCACUUAUUGUAAUUUUUUUAUUGAAAAACAAUAAUUAUUUAUUAAAAUGUAUUAUAUUUAAUAUAAAAUGCACAAGUUUCAAUACAAAUUUACUAUUUUAGUUUUCUUAACAAGUGUAAAUUUGGAUAUGAUAGAAAAACUCAUCUAUUAUACCUUCUUGAUGAUCAAGAAUCCAUUUCACAUGCUAUCCCAUAAACACUGCUUCUUACCCAAUCAUUAACAUCAUUUAGUAAUGAUUUCACAAAUAUGGAAGUGUCCGUCUAUACCUUGGACUAGAAGUUAACAAAUUAUUUUAUUCGAAUAGUUAUAAUUAUGGAGAUAAAUGAUGUUACAAAGAAUUAGAGUCAACCUCGGAUUCCUGGGAAUAUCUCUUGGUGACUAUGAGUUUUUGUGACAUAGUGAUUUUAGUGUAUUUUGAUGAAAAUAAAUAAUUUUGAUGAGAGGGAAUGAUUAAUUAAAAAAGAGAUAGAGAUAAAUAAUCAAUAUCAUUAAAACUCAAAAUCACCCUAAUGAAAGCAUGUUUUCUGAUAUGAAUUUCGAGUACAGCUUCAGAUAAGUUGUUUCCGAAAGGAAACAAGUGGUUUACUAAGGAAAAAGAAUAUCUUACCUAUGCUUUUGCUCUGGCGAGCCAAAUCCCACUCGACAUGAUCAAGGUGUUUAGAAAUGCCUUCACAUGAUGGUCUCAAACCACUAGGGUCCUAAAUUUUAGCGAGACAACAUCAUACGAUGAUGCUGACAUGAAGAUUGGAUUCUACAAUGUUAAUUACAUCGAUGGGGUUGAUGAUGUUGUGGUGGGUGACACGGUUAUCAAACUCGGUUCGAAUGUGAAUUCAGGUUUGACACGCCUGAUUGCUUCAAAGUACUGGGUGUUGCCAACUGACAACUACAUAAAAAAAUAUUCUGAAAAUUUUAAUAAAAAUGAAAAGGAAUCUGGUAAAAAAAUAAUAAAAAACGAAAAAAACAUAAAAAAUUAAAUAAAUUCAGGAAAAAUUAAUAAAAAUGACAAAUAUUCAGAAAAAUAAAACGAAAAAAUUAAUUAAAAUAAAAAAUAUGAUUAAACAAAUUAAAAAAAUUCUGGAAAAUUUAAUAAAAUAAAAAAUAAUCUGAAAAUUUUAAUAAAAUGAAAAAGAAUCUGGUAAAAUGAAAAAUAAUGAAAAAGUUUUGGAAAAAUUAAUAAAAAUUUAAAAAGUUCUAGAAAAUUUGAAAAAAUAAUAAAAAAAUCUGGAAAAAGUUAAAAAUAUGAGAAAAAAAUAUAUAUUUCUGGAAAAUUUAGGAACUUAAUAUAUUUCGAAAUUCAUGAAUAUAAUAAGAAAAUACAUUUUAUUUUUUUUAAAAAAAAAGUUCAAAUUUUUCUUUCGAAAUUAUAAAGUUUGUUUUUUUUAUUUUUUAUACAAAAAAUAAAAAUAUUGGAAAAUAUCUCAAUAAUUAAAAAAACAUAACAUUAGAUCAUGAAGAAUAGAAAUUAAGGGCUUGUUAUUCAAUAGUAUAACAUGACUUAUAUACCGGUGUCAAUCAAAAUCCAUUGUAUCUUGUUAUUUAUCUAGAUUAUAUUUUCGAAUAAAAUAAAAUUCUAGAAAUAAAUUUUCAUAAUCAAAAUAACUAUAUAAUAUUAUAUUUUCGAUUUUUUUAUAAUUUUAAUUUAAUUCAGAGUUUUUUUAUAUUUUUUGAAAAUUUUGAUAUAUAUAAAUUUUUUCCAGAAUUUUUUUUUUUUUUAACUUUUUCCAGAUUUUUUUUUUUAUUUUUGUGAUUUUUUUCUUAAAUUUUCUAGAUUUUUUAAUUUUUUCAGAUUAUUUUUUAUUAAAUUUUCUAUAUUUUUUUAUAAUUGUAAUAAAAUUAAAUAAUAAUACAAUCAUCACGCCACAUAAUCAGCUAUGCACAGUCAUCAUGCCACAUCAGCUCGCCACGUCAGCAAUUCUGCAGAGUCACAUAGGUCAGGGGCUAAAAUCAAAGAAUCUUAUUUUACAGGGUUGGAAUCUAAACUUUUUUUUUUUACAGGGGGGUAAACCGGAACUCGCCUAAAUUAAAGGGGGGUAAAUACAUAUUAACCCAAUAAUCAAUAUCAUUAAAACUCAAAGCCACCCUAAUGAAAGCAUGUUUCCUGAUAUGAAUUUCGAGUACAGCUUCAGAUAAGUUGUUUCCGAAACUAAACAAGUGGUUUACUGAGGAAAAAGAAUAUCUUACCUAUGCUUUUGCUCUGGCGAGCCAAAUCCCACUCGACAUGACCAACGUGUUUAGAAAUGCCUUCACACGAUGGUCGCAAACCACUAGGGUCCUAAAUUUUAGCGAGACG